rnacentral:lncRNA from 1 species
UUGGGGUUGGUGGCUUGUGUUCUGGGAGUGGUUUCUCUCCCUUGGGAGGUUUAGUGGGUGACUUGUGUUCUGGAGGUGGCUUCUCCACCGGAGGCUUGUGCUCCGGUGGUGGCUUCUUGGUUGGAGGGGGCUUGGGGUAAUCAGCAAGAGAUGGGGGGGUGAGAACCACCACUCCAAGGAACAACACUAGCAAGUAUGUGGGAGACAUUUCUGAGUUUGAGCUGAUCAGAUGAUGCAAAACUAGAAGAAUUACGUGACCUUUUAUAGCAAGUAGCUCCCAAUACCCACAUGACACGUGUUACUGUGACCAUAAAUAUUAUAGGGUCCAUUUGUGCCCUACCGGGUUGAAAACUUGGACGCUUGGCCGAGGACACACCGAACUAUGGAGGACUAUUGACGUGUGAUCACAGCUUUUGGAUUUUUCUUCCUGUGCAGCUGUCUAGCGGUUGGCAUUAUUUUUUUAAUCUUAAAUAAAGGCAUAGUUAUAGAGUACAUUUAUAUAUCUUCAGAUAGCCAUUAAUAUAUUUGAUGAAGAAAGACAAGUGCAUACAACAUGUAUACGGCUUGCUUCAAUCGAGUACAUUUAUGAUCAGUUUUCCAGUGCAAGUAAACCAGUUUUUUGUUCCACAACUAUUUUGGAAUCUUGUUUAUCAGUUUCUAUCAUUAUAAUGUCACAUAGGCUGCAAACUUGGGCACCCAAAGAUCUAGUUGGGCAAAUUUGUUUCAGAAUUUCAAUGGUGGAUUCAGUAAUUGUUAAAAGGUGUUUCUUCAUUAAGGAAAGAGUCCUGUAAAAAUAUUGUUAAAAGGUGUCAUAGAAACUAUAAUAAUUAAAUAACUUCUUUUCCCCGUGGGUGGUGUUUCUUCUGGGGAUACCCAAAAUGAGUUCAGAUUAAAAUUGGUUCGAGUCAAAGCUGUCUCUUUUGUCCAGAAAUCAACUAUUUUGCGCAUUGCAUGAAUCGAUAAAGAAAAAAUGAAAGCCAAAUCACACCUCCCCUGCAAAACCUAAACCCCGGUUGCUAACUUUCUAUGUUUCAGUCCUAUUCAUACAGGAAUAUUGGUUCAAGUUUGAGAAAAAUGGCAACUUACCUAGGGAUUACUUGGUUGUGGUUUGCGACGACUAUUUACGCAACCAACCAUGAGUUUGACUUUAACGUCAUGGGUUGAAGCCUCCUACAAUCGUGUAUGAUAGUUCAAAGCUCGUAGUAGAAAUUAUACAGGAAGGAAGAAACCUCCAAAGCUAGCUCCAAAAGAGAAUUAUCACAUCGAUAGCUCCAGAGAUUCCCAAGGGGACUGAAUCAAAGACAAGUUCCUCACUUUUUCUUCUUUUGAGGCCAAAUAUGAACCAAGGAUCACACGACCUCAUUCAACUUCAUAAGUUUGAUUUCAUGCAGUUGAACACUGGGUGAAGGCCAUGACAAGAAUUGAUUAAAAAAUUCUACCACUGUUUUAAGUAAUGGAAGAUUAUUAUCUCUGAUUGGCACCACAACAGCACAUGCUGCUAGAUCUUUCUAGACACUCCAUGCAAUGAAAGUACAAUGGAUCUUGUAACGAUAGAAACUAAGCCAUGCUACAGUACUAGAUGACGAGGUAAAACUAUUAGACAUGGGUGGCAGCCUAUAUGGGAGGGACACAAGUCUAAUUGAUUUGCAUUUCAGCGUUCUAGAUGGGUAUGUUUUGGAAGAUUUGUUCUGGAAAUACCGCACCAAGUAGGAUUCUUUUUUCUCUUGAGUGGGUCCACUUGCAUGCCAAUUAUCGAGUUGAAAAGUAGAGCACCUACCUCGUGCUCGUGGAACCGAAGGUCAGUGAAGUGGGGCUCCUUUUGGCCUCUUGUGUUUCUGUUCCAACCAAGGCGGCGGAGGGAAAAACAGCAAUAUGUCUCCGCUAAAUAUCAACGCAUGAUAGCGAAUGAGGGAGAAAAAAAGUAAUUGGCAUCUCAAUCUCACAAACUUGGUACAGUAGUGACAUUAAUAGUCUUCCACAUGGUUUUUAUUUUAUUUUAUUUUAUAUUUUAUAUUUUCCAUUUUUUUAUUUUUUUGUAUGUCAAGGCUAAUGAAUAAAAUGCGUUAGCUUGUUUUGUGAUUGGAACUGCAAAUGUCCAAAUUGGAGUUUCUCCAUUUCUCAGUUCGGAUGGUUAACUUUAUAAACAAGAUAUAGGAAACAUGUGAACGUCUUGAGGAACAAUUCGAAUUAUUGAUUAGAACUCCUAGGUUGAGUUCCAAGAUUUAAAUCAGACCCCUCUAGCAGCUUCAGGGGUACCUAGCAAUUAGAACAUAUUAAUGAAGAUUUAGGAUUUAGACUCCGGAAUACAAAUUAAUAUGUAUCUUAUGCUCUGACUAGCUUCCCUGCAUAUGCACAAAAUGGAGAUGACCCAAAAAAUAGCAGAAUCGCCUUAGUUUAUGUGGUUAAGGUGAUUCUCCGGUUAAUAUCCACAUUGGCUCAUUAUGCAAAUCAACUGAGCUAUUUUUUUUUUAAUGUCAAAUAGGAACUCCUAAUUAACCUAACCAUUGGCCUGUGUAAAUUGAUUUCACAUGCACAAUGUUGUAGUAGAAGUCCACAUUUUGAAUUUUAUUUUUGGAAAGGUAAGGAAAAUGAAGCAUUGUGUAAUUAUAAAAAUAACUUCAUUGGAAUUCACAAGGUUCACCCAAAAUGGAGCUACAUCCGUAUUCUAUCUUACAGUAGACUAUAUAGAUUGUACAAUAGUAAAUUGCAAAUACAAUUAAUAAGUCUUGUGUUUCCUUACUAAUAAUCCUUUGACAUAAACAUUGCAGCACUAAGGUCCUCUUGGGCAGACACCUUGCACCCAUGAGAGCACUAAGAGGAAGCAAGGCGGAGUCAUGGGUGCAAUGUCAUGACUUGUUGCACUAAGAGAGGCUUGGUGAUGGCAUAGUGCUGCAGUAGCAAGAAUGUUGCCUUGGCAGGGACACGAUCUAGGGACAGAUGCCAAGAAAGGCUUAGCACUCACAUGAGUUGCACAAAGAUGAAUGAAAUAGAACAUCAAAGAGACAUCUUGGCAAGCUCAAGAAAGACAUGUGGGUUGGUAAAUGAAUGGAUGCAAGAGGCAACAACAUGAGGAGUUUCAAAUGGAUAGGGAAUGAGUCAAAGACAUUUGAAAGCUACAAGUUGGAUUCUAAUUACGAUUGCAAUUUGAGUUUGAGUAGGAGUUUAUAUUAUGAUUGUAAUUGUAGUAUGAGUUGGACUAGGAUUGCUUAUCCCUAGUCAAAAUAGGAGUUGUUCAUGCCACACCCUAUGAAAAGAGUUUGAGUAGGGACUAGGAUUGCUUGCUCCUAGUCAAAUAUGGAGUAGGUGGUGCCACACCUAUAAAAAAAAAAGGGACAACAUGAGAGAGAGAGAGAAUGAAUUCACCAAAGAUAUUGUGGGAGUUUUGCUUUGUUACAUCUUGUAUUAUUAUUUAGAAUAGUAAUAAAAUACAAGUUGGGGCUAGAGCCCCAUAAUCUCGUGUGCCUUUGUGGGUUAUUCUUUAUUUGCCAUCUCGUGUGGAUUGGAUUAGAUUGAUGAGGCGAAAUAUUAUGUGGGAAAUUUAUGUUGGGACACUUACCAUAACCAGGUAAAAUCUACCAAGUCUUUUGUAAUAUCUUCUACAAAUAUUUUAGACCAGUUCUUCACAAAACAUCAUAAUAUGUUUUGUGUUUCUCUUGGAUUUUGAGUUGAAUUGUCUUAGAUCAAUUGAAUGCAUCUCAAUAUUAUUAUCUUGUUUGAAGGCUUGAUGAUUUUCCAUUUAACUUUACUUUCUUUAGGUUAUGCUUGAUUCCUUAAAAGUACUAAGGAAAACAAAAAAUAAAAAAAAAUAAAAAAUGCAGAGGGUUAGGACAUGUGUUAUCUAAUUGUCCUAUCCAAAGAUAUUAAGAAAGUCAUGUAGGAAAGUAAUUGAAAACUAGGUCAAGAAAGGAGCAAAAGGGAAUUGUUUUGGUAUUUUCUUUUUUAUUCUUGAAGGUGGCAGAGCUAAAAUUUGAGAAAUCAAGCAAAACAUACUGAAAUUACAUUGAAAGAAAGAAAAUGGUAGUUAAUGUCUUGCAGUACAUGAUAAGGACUUCAUGCAUGUAGUGUGACGACCCAUGUCUUGGACUGAUGCCACACUCACGGUUACACUUAUACCCUUGGUUCUCUCUUUACUACCUUGGCUAACCUAGAUCAGGCUAUGAGAUAGGCUCCUCACCACACCAUCACUUGCCCAGUAAUUAGUGACAUUUUCAAGCAAUGAGGUAACAUGGUGACACCAAGAGGGUUUAUCCCUCGCCCCAACAAGUCUAGACUCGGUCUCAAAAAAAUGGAGAAAAAUGAGGUGUCGUUAUGCAGAAAUACAACAACCAUGCCUUCCUUAUUACUUAGAUUCAGAAUGUGAAGGUGAAAUUGAGAAACAGAAACUCUUGAAACCAGAAUGAAAAUUGAUACUUUUACGAAGAAUUACAACAUUAGAGGAAGACUACAUUCUUCCUCUAUAUUCCUACGUUUCUACACUACUUCUACUCCACUCCAUAUUUCUACAUACAUCUUUAAUCAGUUUUCCCUCCUUUAUAUAGAGCCAUCUUCACACAAAUUCCGCAAGGUAGAAAAGAGGAAUGAAACUUGGAGCAAGGUUCGACUACUGGUUGUCGCUUGUCAAGGCUGGAAUUGAACUUUUUUUCUUGGCUUUUCUGGGCAUAGGUAGUAACUUGUGGUUCCUUUUUGGAAUGAAAAUGGUACAGCUAGAACAUGUGGCACUCUCUUGUUGGAUUAUGUGUCAAACAUGUGGCAGCCAUCUAGUGGAGAUUAUUUCAAUUUUGGGAUGGAGAGUUGGCAUCCAAUUGCAAAGAAAUAUGACAUCUACCAACAUGCAAUGUAAACCUAUAUAGAUCAUAUGGAGAUAGAGAGGAAACAUAUAGAAAUGGAUAUAUACCUAGAACUAGCUUUUUAUUAAAUGAGACGGAGAGCCAACAAUGAAGGAAAAUCAAAAUUUUUGGCUCAUAUCAAAGAAUUCACAUUGUGUUACCCUAGGUUUUCUUAAAGCUUGCACAAAGCCAAAAAGCACACAAAAAAUUAUAUUUUCUAGCUCUCUACCUUGGAUGGUCUCUUGAUCCUACUUGGAGAUGUGCAUAAAUAAAAGGAUUUGAAAAUGACAAUUGACUAAGUAUGUAGUCAAUCAAUUACUCAUUAAUUGACUAGUUGAUCAAUUAACUUUGCAACAUCAUAUGCAAUCCUAAUAGCUAGUCAUCUAAUCAACUAGGUAGUAAAUCAAUAGGCCAAAAAUAUGUUUAUAAUGACUAUUUUGUACAAAAACCACCUAUAUGGUUAAAUAUAAUGCAUUUCAUUUAUAAAUCUUCUAAUUCUUGAAUAACGAUCCUAUCAUCCUUUGAAAGUUUUUAUUACACCUUUUAUACUUUUGUUCUAAAACUUACACAUGUACAUCACCCUUAAUUGUACCAUGAGAACCUAGCUUUUUUUUUUUUUUUUUUUGUAAUUCAUCAAAGUUAGCUUUUGUAUUCAUUACUGUACUAUUUUUAUUGUAACUUAGAAAGCGAGUGUUUUCAAGUGAGUGAAAUUGACUUAUAAAUAUUGUAAAGAUUCAUUGAUGUGUAUCUUAAACUAAGUGUACAAGUUGAAACAUUUGCUAGUAGAUUUUCUCAAGAUUUAGAAUAGAGCUUGAGGCUAUUGAAAUAGGUGGGGUUGCACCAAACCACAUCACAUUGUUGUUUGCACCUUUUUUUCACUCUCUUUUACUUAGUUGCUCUAUAUUUGUUGUCUAGUAAUAUCCUAUAGGCUUGAUGGGUUAGGGAGCAUCCCUUUGUGAAAAAUUUUCAUUCAAUCCUUAGUUGUAUCACGCAUAUAUAAAAUGCCUCAUUGUUUUAAUGGUAUUCAGUCGUGGCAUCACAGAUAUGGGCAUCUAAAUUUUAAAAGUUUGAAACUUUUAUCUAAAGAAAAUAUGGUGCUUUGCCUUUUUGUAAAGCAUGUUGAUGAAAUCCAUGAGAAUUGUGUACUUGGGAAGCAACAUCGAGAUGACUUUUUUUUUUUUCAUUUUUUAUAAUGCGACACCUAAGUCCGGUUUCUAAAUGCUGAAGUGAAAGGGUAGGUAUGGACCAUUGAAAUCUGAUCACAACUUUUGGCCUUUUCCUUUCUCUGCAGCCAUGUUGUCUCUUUUUUCUUUUGCAUGAUUUUCUUACCUAAACAGAAUCAUAGACUUGUUUAAUCUCUAAAUGGUAUUUCAUCCAGCUUUAAGCUACUGUAUUAUAUCUUGGUGGAGGACUUUUAAGAGUGAAACCGACAUAGAGCACAUGCAAGUGGGUAUAUGGGACAUGAAAUUUCUUCUUAUAAAGACUGCAUGGUUUUUAUAUUAGAGUUGUUGAGGCGCAAUGUAUUUAGCUUGUUUUGCAGUUAAAUUAAUUGGAUAAGUAGACAUUGUCGUUUCUAAAUUUCCCACCUAAGAUAGUGACCUUAUCCUUGACUGCUUGAUGAGAUACACAAACAAUUAUACCUUCAAAAUCUACUGUGAAGUGCUUCAUGUAUGUGUGAAGUAUUAGAAAUUUCUUUCUUGGCAACUUGUUUUUUCUUUGCCCUCUACUGAUAGGUUUGACUCAAAUUAAAUUCCCUGUCAUGCUAAUUAAUUUUCACGUGCAUGCUCAAAAGGAUCACGUCAACUCUGGUUUCUACUAUUCAGGUCCAUUCCCAGAUAAACUGGUUCAAAUUUGAGAAAAUGGCAACAGCCCUUUAGUGAUGUUGGUUUGGAGCCAGUAGCCAAACCCGCCCUGAGCUUUACCACUAAUGUCAAGGGACAAAGCCAUUUGAACAAAAACAAUAGCUUCAAGAGACUGAAUCGUGGAUGAAAUCUGAUCCACAUUUCUUCUCAUUUUGGGAACAAAUGAGAACUUAACUACAAAGAUUCUACUGCCUCAUAGUGCUUUUCCUGAUCUAAGGUUGGUUCGUUUCCCAAAUUGUGAGGUACGUGCCAUUCUCACGCUCAGGAGUGUAUCCACGUGGUGGACAUAAGAUGGUGGCUUAAUAUCUGGUGUCGGUGGCUUUACUUUACUAGGAGAGUAGUGUGUCUUCAUCUCAUUCACUGCCGGAGGGUGGCGUAAGCAGUGACGCUAAGGUGGGGCACAGUCAAUAUCAUUUGCAUUUGACCAUUAUAGUUUUCUCCCGGCUUGAAAGUAACCUUAUCGUGAUAAAGGAUUACUAGCACUAGUUCAGAUGACAGUCAUGUUAAAUUCGGACCAUGUUUGUGUCACAUUAUCAGCAACCAUGUGUUUAUGGUUCAUGCUAUCUGCAACUAAACUUGAUAUAUAACCACGUGAACUUCAAUCUAAAUUCUGGAAGUACUCUUGUGAUAGAUGGUGCCUGUCUGCAGAGUCCAUCAAUUGAAAAAUGGAGUGAGUGUAUCUAUAAGAGGGAAGGCUUGGCAAAUGUUCAGUUUUCUGGGAACUCAACAAGGAUCUAAAAUAGAUUGUUUUCUUUGCUGAUUUCAAUGGUUGAAAUUUGAGAAGAUUGUGUCCACAUAACACAACUAUUACUGGUCCUUCUGUUGCAAUUUAUCCUCUAAGGCUCUAACAUGUCUUCCAAUUCCCACUUCCCUGUUACUCCAGGAAAGCUAUUUCUGUCAUUGUGAAGAAGAAAAGAGAAUGUACAUAUCGAUGGUUUUAAGUGACUGGGGCAUUCAUAUCAGGUGGUCUGCAGCCAUAUAUGCCACUUUGUGAAGGUUGGAACAGUCAAUCACCAGGCUAUAUUAGUGUGGCCCAGCCACUUCAAUCAAGGACAAGUCUUCAUACUUAAAGUCAAAUUCUGCCUUUAGUCUCAUUAUAAAUUGCUGUUUAAAUAUUAAGCAAACAUUUGUUUAAUGCGAUUAAGACAGUACUAACUCAAUACUUGUUCUAUUUUUGGAUGCAAAUGCUUGAUGGUUUCAUCAUUGGAUGGGAUAAAGGUGCAUUCAUGAUUAUGAAUACUUGUAGUUAUAUUUUCAUUCUCUUUUUUCUCAAUGAGACUUGUUGGCACAAUUUUGCUGUUCAGAAACCUACCUCUCCAUCGAAAAUCAGUUGUGAUUGAUAGUACUGGAUAUAUUCAAGAAAGCUAAAUAUAGAUAGCACCAAAUAUUAUCGAUAUAAAUAGCAUUAACAGCGUACGUAUGUCUCAAUGCUCAUCAGCUAUAAGCAACGGGCAAACACUUACUAUGAGCAACUUGCGUCAAAAUUCCAGAAUAGGACAUAGAAGUGACAGAUCUAUAUAUAUAUAGAACACUGCAUAUGAGUCACAAGAAAGGAAAUUACGGGUGCAUAGCAGCUCUUAUUUUACAUCCUACUCAUACUGAUCAAAGUCACUCAGUUGGGAUGGGUGGGAGUAGGAGGUUUGUGGGGUGGCUUGUGCGGAGGAGUUGGCAGCUUCUUUCCAGGACCUGGUUGCUUCUCUGCUGGAGUUGAAGGAGGCUUAAUCUUCCGAGGUGGCUUGUAUGAGUCUUCAGCAUUCUCAGCAGGAGGGUGACCAGGGUUGUGACCAUAAUGUGGUGGCUUCUCUCCCUUAGGUGGUUUGCCAACUGGGGUUGGUGGCUUGUAUGAGUCUUCAGCAUUCUCAGCAGGAGGGUGACCAGGGUUGCGACCAUAAUGUGGUGGCUUCUCUCCCUUAGGUGGUUUGCCAACUGGGGUUGGUGGCUUGUGUUCUGGGAGUGGCUUCUCCCCCUUGGGAGGUUUUUCCAAUGGGGUUGGUUUGUGUUCAGGAGGUGGCUUCUCCACUGGAGGCUUGUGUUCAGGAGGUGGCUUCUCCACCGGAGGCUUGUGUUCAGGAGGUGGCUUCUCCACCGGAGGCUUGUGUUCAGGAGGUGGCUUCUCGAAUGGGGGAUGCUCAGGGUAAUCAGCAAGUGAGGGGUUGGUGAGAACCACCAUGCCAAGCAACAGGACUAGCAAGUAUGUAGGAGACAUCUUUGGGUUUGGACUUAAGACAGUGGAAAACUGCGAGAAUUCUCUAGCCUUUUAUAGCGGGUCGACCCAGUACUCACAUGACACGUGUCAUUAUGACACAUGUGCCAUGGGGUCGAUUUGGGUCCUACAGUGUUGAAAAGUUGGGCAUUUGAGGUGUGAGCACAACUUUUGGCCUUUGCUUUCUCUACAGCCGCCAUGCUUUUCCCUUUUUUCCUUUUCCUUUUGUUUUCCUCCUGCCUCGUGUUCUCAACUAAACACAAUUAGGUUGUUUAAUUGUUAAAUGAGAUUUUUGUCUGUCAAUCAUAUUAUAUCCUAUCAAGAGAGAACAGAGUGUAAUGUAGUACACAUAACACGAGGCAGUAGUAAUUUUAUCAUUUAUUUUUAUAGCUUGGACCACCGCAUUUUUUCUUCUAAAAUAUUCUGUCUUGUUAAGAGACGCAAUAAUACACAAUUUUAUCUGCCAUUCAACAUUUACUGUAAAGUUCUUUUAUCUCUUUGUAGUUCUAGAAAAGUACAAAAUGGAACAUCAUGUAUAUGGUGCCUUCUGUCCUAAAAAAGAAACUGGACAAAUUAUGAACUGCAUGCUAAAAAGAGGCAAAGGAGCUUAAUUCGCAGCAUAAUUAUUUUGGUUUCUAGAGAGCCCGGGGCCUUUUGGUUGGUUUGGGGUCAGAAAAUGAACAUCAUAGGGAUUGUGCCCUUAACUGGCCUUGUUACUACAAAGAAAUUGCCAUAGAAAUUUAUUCCAGGCUGAGUAUCUCCGGAUAGACCCCAGAAAAGAAGAGUCAUAAUGAGAAUCAACCUUUGUUGAGUUUGAUUCCAUGCCUCCAUUGUGUUCAUUUCAUGAAUCUGAUUUGCAUUUAACAUUACAGUUUUGUUCUGGAAACAAUCAAAGGAGCAUCGUUUGCUUCUUGGGUGACCCAUAGUGGUGGGUGGGUCGAUUUGCUUAGUUGAAAAUUGGACAAUUGGCUCCAUCGCCUACCUCUUGGAUUCCAUGCUCGGAUAAAACGACAACAAAUAAAUAUUUAUAACUUACAACUGGGGAAAGGAAAAAAUAGUACUAAAUUCAUGGUACAUGAUAGUGAGAGAAGGGGGUGUUACACUCAGCUAAAGUUCUUUUCUAAAUAUUGCAUGGUGUUUAAUUUUAUGUGUCGGCGCGCGUGUGAAUGGAACCUGCAAAAGUCCAAAUUGGCGUUUCUCCAUUUUCCACAUAGGAUGGUGACGUUAAUAGACAAAGAUACAAUAUCUGUAGACAUUGCUUAAAAAUCGAUGUGAAGUAUUAGAAAUUACAGGCCACUGUACUGGGGGAGCGGCUGCCCCGCCAAAGGAAGAAUGUAGCAAUUUCUUCUGUUAGCCAGGCCUUAGGAUUUAUGCAUGGGAUGCCUAAUAACAAACAGAGAAAAUAUGCUUUUGGGGAAGGUAUCCAACAACAGACACCAUCAUUCAGAUGGUGGGAAGGUAUCCAACAGAUGCCAUCAUUCAGAUGGUAACAUAUAUAUACAUUUAUUAGUGAGUUUUUUUAAUACCUAUAAAAAAAAUAUACACUUUGAUAUUGUGGCUGAAUCCAUUACAUACUCAACUAACCUUGCUCAUUAGGGAUUUGACGUAACAAGGGCAACGUUGCAGUAAAAGCUCGAAACUUUAUGCAGGUGACAUUACAUUUGGUAAAGAAGAGGAAAAUAAGGAAAGCCAUCCAUAAAAGCAAAAUUCCUCAUGGGAUGAAAUUCACAAACUUCAUUUACGUUAGAGUCGCAUCCAGGCAAUUAAUUCCACAUUAGACCGCCUUUUGACAUGUGUACGGAUCUUUUUUCAAAAAUUAUUUAUAAAUAAUUGAUACUUACAAAAAUAAUUUAAGAUUUAUAAAGGAUAAAAAAAUAUUUUCAAAUCUAUGACAAUUUAUAAAAUAUUAAUAAAAAAUUAUCUCUUAAACUUAGUAUAGUUUUAUCGUAUUAAACUUUUAUUUUGAACAAAUAAUUUUAAUCUAAGUUUUAAAUUCUAAAAUUAUUUCCUUAAAAUAAAAUUUUAAAAUUCAACACUUCAAUUGAAAUUGUCUUUUAAAAAAAAUAUCUUCUUAUUUUAAUCCUUAUAAACUAUAGUUGAUUGAAAAUACUAUUGAAGUUCUCUCUUCAAAAAAAGUCUUAUUUUAAUCUUCAUAAAUUGCCCUUGAUUUGAAAAUAAACUUUGGGUUAUCAUAUUUUAAAUAAUAUAUAUAUAUAUAUAUAUAUAUAUAUAUAUAUAUAACAAAUACUCUAUUUUUUUUUUAAAUGAACUAAUUUUAAUUAUAUUUUAUUUUAUUUUUUUAUAUAUUUUUAAUGAUAAACCAAACAUAGAAAAUCAUUUUUCUAAAUAUUUUAAAAUUUCUAAGCAACCAAACAUAAUCUUCAAAAUAAAAGGAGAAUAAGGAGGGACAAGUGAGAAAUGGCGAUUAAAAAAAAGUGUACAAAAGCUCAAUUAAUUUUCUUCUAGUCUUUUAUAUAAAAAAGUAUUGGUAUGUAAAUUAAUAUUUGGAUUUUAAUAGUAUUUUAUUUGUCUUUCUCUAUCUCAUGUAAAAGAGAAUUUAAGAUAUUUCCUAAAGCAAAGCAUUAGUUAUCUGCAAUCAGUGGUGAUCAUGGUCCAUGUCAAUUUCGGACCCAUAUCUUAAAACCGUAUAAUUUGCGUUUCAACAUUACUGAUUUCUCAGAUGUUUCAUACUCCACAGAAGAGUAUUGUUAGUGAAAGCAUUUUGUAACUGUUACUCAUAGUGUUUUGACUCUGGCUCAACAACAUCAGCCAUUGACGGAUUUUCAUACAUGCAAAUCAAAUAGUCUUCUUCCUCCCUUAGGAAUUUCGGUUUAAAUGUUAUUAAGCAUACAUUUGGCUGACAAUUAUUAACCACUUCAUGAUAUGGUUUCUUACCCUUAAUCAAUGGUUUCUAAGUGAAUAUAUGCAGAAGGAAAUCUGAACUGUAGACAGCAGUAUUGAUAACUCUCAAUAUUCUUUAUAUAAGAGAAUAAACAACGUCAUAGUGAUCGUCGCCUACAAGAAAGGUACAUUUCCCAACAAGAUGUAGUGGUGACUGCUACAUGGACGCAAUUAACUCGUAGAAAAGGAUAAGACCAGUGCACGGCAGCUCUUAUUUUACAUGCUAAUUAUGCUAACCAAAGUCACUCAGUUGGGAUGGGAGGGAGAUGGAGGUUUGUGCGGUGGCUUGUGGGGCGGAGUUGGUGGCUUCUUUUCAGGAGCUUGUGGCUUUUUCGGAGCUGAAGGAGGCUCAAUCUUAUGAGGCGGCUUGUACGAGUCUUCUUUACUCUCGACAGGAGGGUGACCAGGGUUGUGACCAUAAUGUGGUGGCUUCUCUCCCUUAGGUGGCUUGCCAACUGGGGUUGGUGGCUUGUGUUCAGGAAGUUGUUUCUCUCCCUUGGGAGGUUUACCAAUUGGGGUUGGUGGCUUGUGUUCUAGGAGUGGUUUCUCUCCCUUGGGAGGUUUAGUGGGUGACUUGUGUUCUGGAGGUGGCUUCUCCACCGGAGACUUGUGUUCUGGAAUUGAUUAAAAAAAUUCUACCACUCUUUUAAGUAAUGGAAGAUUAUUAUCUCUGAUUGGCACCACAACAGCACAUGCUGCUAGAUCUUUCUAGACACUCCAUGCAAUGAAAGCACAAUGGAUCUUGUAACGAUAGAAACUAAGCCAUGCUACAGUACUAGAUGACGAGGUAAAACUAGUAGACAUGGGUGGUAGUUGAUUACUACUCAAAAAGUACUCUUUUAUAGUUUGAAACUAACUGUUUUAAACACUUUUGAGUAGUAGUUAAUAAAUUUUAACUCAAUUGGCACAUUAAGGAACCUAGCAAGGGUUACUAAUAAACUUUUGGCAAGUUUUGGUGUUUUUGGUAGUUAUUCGAUCAUUGAAACAAGCCAAGAAUGAGGGAGAAUUUUGUGAAGUCCAUGGCAAUGCAAGUUAAAGCUCAAAUACACGAAGAAUCCAAGCUUUGGAGCACUACAUAGCCCUUUGCCAAGCCAAUUAGAGAUGCAAGGAACAAAACCAAAGGAAGAAAUCCAACAACCAACAUUUUCGCAUGGUUGUGUGAAAUUUCGCACACCAUGCGAAACCACAAGAGGUAGCCAAAGAAUUUCACAUGGUAUGCGAAAUCUUCUCAUGCACCGACUCCGUUAGAUUUUUAUCUUCAGAUAUUUUGUGUAAUUUCCUAGUUUCUCCUUGUAACCAACCUAGAUAUUUUCUUUUAUAUCUUUUUUUAUAUUUUUUAGGUAACAUCAUAUAUAAGGGGAGAGACAUAAGGAGGAUAUGGAUGUUUUUCAUAGAACACUUGUAAAUUUUCAGUAGUAAGAAAUAUACAAAGCUUUUUGCUAUGCCUUACCUUCUCAUUUUGUUUUCACCUGUCUUUCUAGCCAAACAACCUCUAAGGAUGAUUUCUCAGGGGAUGAGUGGCUAGGUUUUACGUUUCUUGGAGUGAGGGAAGCUAGGUGAAGGACCUGAAUGCAAAGAUGAGAGUUUUCCUUGCUUUAAAUGAAAGUAGUUGUUAAACAUUAAUGGUUUUUAUUUUAAGGUUUAGCUUUAAAUCCCUUAAAAACACCUUGAAUGACCAAUACUUGGUAAGCUUUUCGGAUUCUAUGGAUGCUUAUUGCUAGAUCCAUGGAUGUCUAUUAGUUAUCAUUUACGAGCCUUUGGAAGGUGAUUCAAGGUGAGGGUCUUUAGUGUUUGAAGCCAUUAAUGGGAAGCAAUUACCAUUUUUUCAUGAAUCCUUUGGAUCAAAUCUUAAUUGCUAAAUAUAAAACCGAUUUGGGAAAUAACCAUCCUUUAUGUUAUUAUCCCCAACGCAAGGAGAAGAUCCGGAAUCUUCCCUUUUGUCUAAGGAACCCGAUCCUAGUGACCUAAAGCUCCAAGAGACCUUUUCUUUGUAGUUAACUUCAUUUAUUGUUUUUGCUUAACUUAAAAUCAAUCUUUGCAACCACAAUUCCAUUUUCUUUAAAAGCUAAUUUUUAUAAGGAAAAACACCAUUUUAUUUCCUUCACUAAGUCAACUGUACGAUGAAAACCCAUCCCUGUGGACGAUCCUAGAGCCAUUAUACUAUGUUAGCUAUGCUACCCUAGUGUGAGGUGAUUUAGGUUUUAUAAAUUUUGUUGAUAACACCCAUCUGAGCCAGAAUCAAAUGGCACAACUGAACCAGGGACGAAUCAAAUGGCGCCGCUAUCGAGGAUGGUGCCAAAGUACAUUGACAUGACUUUUGGUGAACACUUGUGAUCUUCAUCACAAGUUUGGUGAUUUUUCUAUUACUAAUUUUUUUCUUUGUUUUUAUUUUAGCUUAUCUUUUAUUUAGUUUUUAGCUAACCUUAACUUUUUCUUAGAAUUGUAUUUCUUCUAUUUUCUUUGUUUUUGUUUCAGUGAUCUUUAGUUGUGCAUGCCCUAUUGGAUAAGAAAUAUUGAGGGAAUACUUGUGAAGAUUGAAAAUCCUCGAGAAACUGAGUUGGAAGUGUGAUUGAACAUCAUGGAUGUUCCACCUGAAGACCAGAAUAGCCAACAUGGUUAAGAGGAUAAUUUCAAAGCAUACCGAUCCAUGAGGGACUGCAUGCAUCCACCUCGUAUGAGUGCACCGUCAUGCAUAGUGCCUCCCACUGAGCAACUAGUAAUCUGACCUCACAUUGUGCCACUCCUACCUACUUUCCAUGGGAUGGAGAGUGAGAAUCUCUACUCGCAUAUUAAGAAAUUCGAGGAGGUUUGUAAUACAUUCCAAGAAGGAGGAGCUUCAAUUGACUUGAUGAGGCUCAAGCUAUUUCCUUUCACUUUGAAGGAUAAGGCUAAGAUUUGGCUUAAUUCUUUAAGGCCAAGGAGUAUCCGAACUUGGACUAAUUUGCAAGCCGAUUUUCUUAAGAAGUUCUUCCUUACCCAUAGGACCAAUGGUUUGAAAAGGCAAAUUUCGAACUUCUCAGCUAAAGAGAAUGAGAAAUUCUAUGAGUGAUGGGAGAGGUACAUGGAAGCUAUUAAUGCUUGUCCUCACCAUGGCUUUGACACAUGGCUCUUAGUGAGUUAUUUUUACGAUGGUAUGUCUUCUUCAAUGAAGCAACUCCUAGAAACUAUGUGUGGAGGAUACUUCAUGAGUAAGAAUCCGAAGGAAGCCAUGGACUUUUUGAGUUAUGUGGCUGAAGUUUUAAGAGGAUGGGAUGAACCAAAUGCUAGAGAGGUGGAAAGAAUGAAGUCUCAACCUAAUGCUAAGGGUGGGAUGUAUGUUUUGAAUGAAGACAUUGACAUGAAAGCAAAGGUUGUAGCUAUGGCAAGGAGAUUGGAAGAGCUAGAAAUGAAGAAGGCACAAAAAGUGGAAGCCAUUUCUGAGACAUCAGUGCAAGCUAUGCCUUGUUCCAUUUGUCAACCUAAUGCUAAGGGUGGGAUGUAUGUUUUGAAUGAAGACAUUGACAUGAAAGCAAAGGUUGUAGCUAUGGCAAGGAGAUUGGAAGAGCUAGAAAUGAAGAAGGCACAAAAAGUGGAAGCCAUUUCUGAGACAUCAGUGCAAGCUAUGCCUUGUUCCAUUUGUCAAUCUUAUGAGUACCUAGUGGAGGAGUGUCCUACAAUUCCAGUAGUGAGAGAGAUGUCUGGUGAUCAAGCAAAUGUUAUUGAUCAAUUCAAGCCUAAUAAAAAUGCUUCAUAUGGCAACACCUACAAUUCAAAUUGGAUGAACCAUCCAAAUUUCUCUUGGAAACCAAAGCUACCUCAAUACACACAACCUGCUCAAGCACCUUAGCAAUCCUCGAAUCUUGAACAAGCUAUUGUGAACCUUAGUAAGGUUGUGGGAGAUUAAAAGUCCAUCAAUGCUCAACUGAAUCAGAGAAUUGACAGUGUAGAGAGUACAUUGAACAAAAGGAUGGAUGAGAUGCAAAAUGAUCUGUCUCAAAAGAUAGACAAUGUCCAAUAUGCAAUCUCAAGGCUUACCAACCUCAACACAGUGCAAGAGAAAGGAAAGUUUAUUUCUCAACCUCAUCAAAAUCCCAAGGGUAUCCAUGAAGUGGAGGCUCAAGAGAGAGAAUCUUCAAAGGUGAGGGAAGUCAAAGCAGUUAUCACCUUGAGGAGUGGUAAAGAGGUUGAUCAACCCACAUCCAAGCCAAAGCAUAAUGAAGAGAGUUUUGUAGAAAAAGAAAAGAGAGGAAAAUAAAGGAAAGAGAAUAGAGAAAAGUACAAAGAAAGAUGACCAUGAGUCUAGUGUGGAUGAAGAGCCCAAGAGGAUAGUGAUCAAGGAAAAUAUGAUGAAGAAACACAUGCCUCCACCUUUCCCCUAAGCUUUGCAUGACAAAAAAGGAACCAAUAAUACAUCGGAAAUUUUUGAAGUAUUGAGGCAAGUGAAGGUCAAUAUCCCUUUGCUAGAGAUGAUCAAACAAGUGCCGACAUAUGCAAAAUUCUUGAAGGACUUGUGCACUGUAAAGAGAGGGUUGAAUGUGAACAAGAAAGCUUUCUUGACCGAGCAAGUGAGUUCCAUCAUACAGUGCAAGUCUCCAGUGAAGUACAAAUAUCCGGGCUACCCUACCAUCUCAGUGAGUAUUGGAGGUACUUGUGUGGAAAAAGCUUUGUUGGACUUGGGAGCAAGUGUGAAUUUGCUACCCUACUCUGUCUAUAAGUAGUUGGGACUUGGAGAGUUGAAGUCAACAUCCAUCACCCUAUCUCUGGCAGAUAGAUCAGUGAAGAUUCCAAGAGAGAUGAUAGAAGAUGUCUUGGUUCAAGUUGACAAAUUCUACUAUCCAGUGGAUUUUGUUGUUCUUGAUACGGAUCCGAUUGUCAAAGGAACUAAUUAUGUUCCUAUCAUACGAAGACCCUUCCUAGCUACAUCAAAUGCAAUCAUCAAUUGUAGGAAUGGAGUCAUGAAACUCACGUUUGUCAACAUGACAUUAGAGCUCAACAUCUUCCAUUUGUACAAGAAGCAUAUCCAUUCAGAAGAAAAAGAAGGUCUAGAGGAAGUGUGCAUGAUUGACACUUUAGUGGAGGAGCAUUGUGAUCGACAAUGCAAGAAGAUUUAGUUGAGAGUUUUGGGGAUCUUGAUGAAGGGUUACUUGAACCCUCAGAUUUGCUUGCUACCCUACUCCAUUGGAGGAAGAGAGAAGAAAUUCUACCCUUAUUCAAUGAGGAGGAGACACAAAGAGCUGCUAAAGAUAAGCCCCCAAAGCUUAUUCUUAAGCCACUACCCACAGAGUUGAAGUAUGCAUACUUGGAAGAAGACAAGAAGUGCACUGUUGUUAUAUCUUUAGCUCUUACCAUUCAUCAGGAGGAUUGUCUACUUGAAGUCCUUAGAAGAAGUAAGAAGGUAAUAGGGUGGCAAAUUUCUGAUUUGAAAGGGAUCAGCCCUUUUGUCUGCACCCAUCAUAUUUACAUGGAGGAUGAAGCUAAGCCAAUUCAUCAACCUCAGAGAAGGUUGAACCCUCACAUGCAAGAAGUGGUGAGAGUUGAAGUUCUUAAGCUACUUUAGGCUGGUAUUAUUUACCCCAUAUCAGAUAGCCCAUGGGUGAGUCCUACUCAAGUUGUGCCAAAGAAGUCGGGGAUCACGGUGGUGCAAAAUGAUAAGGGAAAAGAUGUCUCUACAUGUCUCACUAUAGGUUGGAGGGUGCGUAUCAAUUACAGGAGGUUGAAUGUAGUGACAAGGAAUGACCAUUUCUCGUUGCCCUUUAUUGAUCAAGUGCUUGAGAGGGUCUCUGGGCAUCCUUUUUAUUGUUUCUUGGAUGGCUACUCGAGGUAAUUUAAGAUAGAAAUUGAUGUUGAAGACCAGGAGAAGACCAUUUUCACAUGCCCAUUUAGAACCUAUGCAUAUAGGAGAAUGUCUUUCGGCUUAUGCAAUGCACCCACAACUUUCCAAAGAUGCAUGUUAAGCAUUUUCAAUGAUAUGGUGGAGCAUAUUAUGGAAGUCUUUAUGGAUGAUAUCACCAUAUAUGGAAGUGCAUUUGAUGAAUGCUUGGUCAACUUAGAAGUUGUUCUGAACCGAUGCAUUGAGAAAGACUUAGUGCUUAAUUGGGAGAAGUGCCAUUUCAUGGUACACCAAGGGAUUGUCCUUGGGCACAUCAUCUCCAAGCAAAGCAUUGAAGUUGACAAAGCAAAGGUUGAACUCAUUGUUAAGUUGCCAUUCCCAACAAAUGUCAAAGGAGUAAGGCAAUUCCUUGGCCAUGCCGGGUUCUAUAGGAGGUUUAUCAAGGAUUUCUCUAAGCUUGCAAGGCCUCUUUGUGAAAUAUUGGUGAAGGAUGUUAAAUUCAUAUGGGAUGAUAGAUGCCAAAGGAGUUUUGAAGAAUUGAAGCUAUUUUUGACAACCUCACCAAUAGUGAGGGCUCCCAACUAGCAACUGCCCUUUGAGGUAAAGUGUGAUGUCAAUGACUUUGCUAUAGGAGCUGUUCUUGGGCAAAGAGAAGAUGGAAAACCUUAUGUGAUCUACUAUGCGAGCAAGACAUUGAAUGAGGUGCAAAGAAACUACAUAACCACCGAGAAAGAAUUGUUAGCUGUAGUUUUUGCCUUGGAUAAGUUUCGUGCUUACUUGGUGGGAUCCUUCAUCGUGGUUUUUAUUGAUCACUUUGCUUUGAAGUAUCUAUUGACUAAGCAAGAUGCUAAAGCAAAACUGAUUAGAUGGAUUUUCUUGCUUCAAGAGUUCAAUCUCCAGAUCAAAGACAAGAAAAAAAUGGAGAAUGUGGUAGUAGACCACAUUUCAAGGCUAGCUAUCGCACAUAAUUCCCAUGCUUUGCCCAUUAAUGACGAUUUUCUAGAGGGGUCUCUCAUGUUGGUGGAAGUUGUCCCUUGGUACGCUCACAUUGCUAACUACCUGGUCACAAGAGAAGUUCCAAGUGAGUGGAAAGCACAAGAUAAGAAGCACUUCUUUGCAAAAAUUCAUGCCUACUAUUGGGAAAAGCCAUUUCUAUUCAAGUAUUGUGCGGAUCAGAUAAUAAGGAAGUGAGUUCCUGAAGAAGAGCAACAGGGGAUCCUCAGUCAUUGCCAUAAAAAUGCAUGUGGAUGCCACUUUGCUUAUCAGAAGACAACCAUGAGGGUGCUGCAAUCGGGUUUCUGUUGGCCAUCACUUUUCAAAGAUGCCCACACCAUGUGCAAGAGUUGUGAUCGAUGCCAGAGGCUUGGGAAGUUAUCAUGUAGGAACAUGAUGCCUUUGAACCCCAUUUUAAUAGUUGAUCUUUUUUAUGUUUGGGGCAUUGACUUCAUGGGACUUUUCCCUAUAUCUUUUGGCUACUCUUACAUCUUGGUGGGAAUAGAUUAUGUUUCUAAGUGGGUUGAGGCAGUCCCAUGCAAACACAAUGACCAUAGAGUGGUUCUCAAGUUUCUUAAGGAGAACAUCUUCUCAAGAUUUGGGGUGCCCAAAGCCAUAAUUAGUGAUGGGGGUACUCAUUUUUGCAACAAGCCUUUUGAAACUCUCCUAGCCAAGUAUGGGGUGAAGCAUAAGGUAGCUACACCUUACCACCCUCAAACUAAUGGGCAAGUUGAGUUAGCAAACAAGGAGAUUAAAAACAUAUUGAUGAAGGUGGUGAACACAAACAGAAAAGAUUGGUCAGUCAAGCUCUUCGAUUCACUAUGGUCAUGUAGAACAGCUUACAAGACCAUUAUCGGGAUGUCUCUUUAUCACCUAGUCUAUGGAAAAAAUGCCAUCUCCUUGUGAAAUUGGAAUACAAAGCUUGGUGGUCAAUCAAGAAGCUCAACAUGGAUUUGAGCAGAGCUGGGUUGAAGAGGUUCUUAGACCACAAUGAGAUGGAGGAAUUGAGAAAUGAUGCCUACAUCAAUUCAAAAAUUGUAAAAGAAAAAUUGAAGAGGUGGCAUGAUCAGUUGAUUUCCCGCAAGAAUUUUCAAAAUGGAUAAAGAGUCUUGCUCUAUGACUCUAAACUCCACAUCUUUCCGAGCAAGCUGAAAUCAAGGUGGAUAGGUCCUUUUACCAUUCACCAAGUGCAUUCAAAUAGAGUAGUGGAACUACUCAACUCCAACAACAUCGGGAGCUUCAAAGUGAAUGACCAUUGUCUCAAGCCCUUUGUAGAGUCUUUUUUCUCGCGACAAGGAGGAAUUCAUCCUCCUUGAUCCACAUCAAGCUUGACAAGACCAGUUUUUUUUUAUGGACUUAGUCUUUCUAAAGACUAUCGAGUCCAUAACUUUUUAUUUUAUUUUUUAUUUGAGAGUUUUUCGGUAUUAUUACUUGUUUUGUUUUUUAUUUUUCGUUUUACUUUUAUUUGGUUUGAUUUAACUUAGAUUUUUUAUGAUCAAUUGCAGGGGGGAUUUCAAAUAGAGGAAAAACCAAGAUAAUUCGCACACCCUGCGAAAAUUUCGCAAGGCAUGCGAAAUUUAUGGCUCAUUUCGCAUGGGAUGCGAAAUUUCGCACACCCUACGAACCAAUUUCGCACACUUUGUGAAAAUAAACCAACCCUACGAAAUCAUUUCAAAUACUCUACGAAAUUUUCGCAGAGCAUGUAAAAAAUUUCGCAGACCAAACACCAUUUCGCAUACUAUGCGAAAAUGUAAGGGGUCUACAAAACCAUUUCGCACCUCCAAAGCCAUUUCGCACAUUGUGCAAAAAUGAAAAGUCGCCCUAUCAUCCAUUUUUAAACCCCUUGAGCCCUGAAAUCCCCAUUUCGCAAGCACCCCUGUCCUUGCGAAUCCCUCAUUUUCCUCUGCCACCUUGCGACCUUGUCCCUCUCCAUUUGAUAUCGUGCCCUGCGCACAUCUCAUUUCAAAGACUCGCACUCUGCGCCCUCUCAAAGCACGAACCCAAGGCUCACAUUCCAUUUCCGACAUGGCACAGACCCGAGGAGCCCUUCCCGCCCCUUCAUCGAGACGCACACCAAGGUAGAGAGCCUCUUUUGCUCAGAUGCCAAGUGAUUCUCCAUUUCAGGCCACGGAGGCCCUGCGGAUUCCACAUUCCAAGGGUAGAACAGCCACUGGUCCUUCCUCUUCUAUUCCUCAGCGUAGAUAUGAGACGAGGAGACCACCUACUACACAAAGGGCGACUACUUCGCGCCAUGAGAAUUCGGUACGACACCCUCCUGCCAAGAGGGCCAGGACUUCAGGCCCAGGCGAGUCAUCCAAAGCUUCACAGCCUGAGCCUCCUGCAGAUUCCGAGGUUCCUACUGACAUAUCAUCGGAGUCUAUUAUCAAACGCCCGAUGCUCACAGCACCGCCCAUUGAGGGCAACUCUGAUUGUAGAGCGAGACCUUUCCACUUGGAGCUAUAUUUUAAUUAAGAGGCCAUGCCACAGCAGCCUGAGCUCCAAGACUCUUAUGGCUUACUACAGAGGUACCAUCUUGAGGACCUUAUGACUCCUCGUGAGUUCUUUUAUCCCAGAGUAGCACUAGACUUUUACCAGUCCAUGACUACUCGUGGCGUCCCGAGUCCUACCGCGAUGCACUUCACCAUUAAUGGACGUCAUGGUAUCCUCGAGGCCAGACAUAUUGGAGAGGCUCUACAGAUUCCUUUCGAGCUAGAGGACCCAUCUGUUUUCUGCCAAUGGUCCCCAAUAUCUCAGAGGGACAUGGUCCAUAUUUUAUCCAGGGGGACAUCUACAUAUUCGAUCCUUCUACGGAAGGAGCUUCGACCUGGGAUACUCCUCGUAGAUGUGGUGCUACUUUCCAACCUCUUUCCCUUUUAGCAUUCGAUACAUAGGCGAGGAGCUAUUUUGGACGCUUUAUUCUGUAUAUCAGAGGGCUUCUACUUUGGCCCGCACCACUUGAUCAUGGUUUCCCUCAUCCAUUUUGAGGAGAAGGUCCAUAGAAAGAAGCUUCAGAGGGCGAACACCAUUCCAUUACUAUUCCCGAGGUUGCUCUACUAGAUCUUGGAGUACAUGGGCUUUCCUACUGAGCCUCGGCUUGUGUGCCGCCGCCUUUGUCAAGAGCGAUCCACUCUCGACAAAUGGAAUCAGUUGGCGGGCUAUUCUACACCUCCAGGAGCCCCUCCCAUGGUAGCACCUCUAGUGUCCCCACAGGCAGAGUAGGGCAAGCUCCCGGUAGAGACUGCACCCCUAGUGCCCACACCUGAGGCUACUUCUGCUGUUCCGCCUACGACUCCUACUGUUCCACCAGUUGGUCCUUUUACAUCUGAGUCUUCCAUCAACAUCUCGACUUCGGAGUUUCGCGCCCUUGUGCAUACCUUUCAGACACUCACCACCACACAUACUGCUCUCUUCUAGAAAAUGGCUGAGAUGCGUGCCCAUCAGGACCAGCAGACUACUAUACUCCGCCAAAUUCAACAGCACCUGGGACUUCUGCCUCUGCCUCAGCUUGACCUUCCCACAUCAUCAGAGCCUCUAGCUCCAGUUGAGGAUACUAUUCCACCUGAGGACACUACCACAGUAGAGGUUCAGAUUCCACCACCUCAGGAGGCCACCACAGCUACAUUAGAGGAUGCAUCAUCUCCACCUGAGGCUCCCACUACUUGAUCAUAGGACAUCUCUUUAUCUUAUUGUAUUUACAUAUUAUAUUACUGGAGAUUUGUCUUUGUUUUGAUACUUUAUAUUCUGGCAUUGAAUGUAUUGCCUAAUGAUAUCUCAAUUGUACUUUCUCAUAUUAAUAUAUAGACAUCAAUUUUUUUUAGUAUACUUAGGAUUUUUCUAUUUACUCUACUCAUUACUCUUUUGUUUUUUUUUUUUUACUCAUGUGGUUUCUCCUAUACGACUCAGACUCCAUUUCACUCAGGAGGUACCACUUCUUCCCUUUAUUUUCAAUUGCUCUUGAAACAUUGAGGGCAAUGUUGAUCUUGGUUGGAGGGAGAGUUGAGGAAGGAAGUGAUUACUACUCAAAAAGUGCUAUUUCAUAGCUUGUAAUUAACUCUUUUAAAACACUUUUGAGUAGUAGUUAUCACCUUUUAACCCAAUUAACAUAUUAAGGACCCUUGCAAUCAAUUCUAAUCAAAUUGUGUUAAGUUUUGGUAUUUUGAUAGCUUUUUUAUCACCAAAGCAAUCCGAGAUUGAGGAUAUUUAUUUGGAAUCCAUGGCAAAAGAUGUUUGGACAGGACGUCCGGACACACCAUCGGAGGGCGGCGGAACGUGGGCUGUGGCAGGCUGUCGGAAUGACGUAGCAAGGCUUGUGCACUUUAGCCAAUGAUCGGGAUAACAUAUCCGAAAUUCUGCUCCGCCGACAUUCCACCCGGAUGUCUCACAUCCGGAAUUCUGCUCCGCCGACAUUACACCCAGAUGUCUCACAUCCAAAAUUCUUCUCCGUCGACAUUCCAUCCGAAUAUUUCACAUCCGACGCUUGACGCCGGAUGGGAGAGGAGGGCGUUUCAACUUCCCCGGUCAGACAUAUCCGAAUCCUUUGAUAACGCUUACCCGGAGAGUUUCGCAGCCAUUUUGCACAGUGCCGCGGUGUUCUCUUGAAGCUUCCCGAUAUGUGCGACCGACAUUUUGAGAUAUUUUGCUUUAGAUAUUUGAUGUCUAAAUCCCCAAACUCUCCUUGUAACCCACCAAUUAUAGGAUUCCUUAGUUAUUAAGUUUGGAAAAAUGGUGAAUAACCCCUUAUAUAUAGUUUGCAAUUUUCAUAAAAAAGAUAUGUAGAAUCUCGGGAGCUUGUUCCCAGAGAGACGCAUCCUUUGUACAGUUUUGGAAGGAAGUAAAAUACAGAGCACUUGCUCUGCUUUUCAUAUAUAUUUUUGUUUUCUCGUUCUUUUUAUUUCUAGCCAAUCAAAGUCUGAGGAUUUUUCCUCAGAGGAUGAGAGGCUAGGCUCUUCGUCUCUUGGAGUGAAGAAAACUAGGUAAGUUUCCACAUGCAUAAAUUGAAAGUUUUGUUGUUUUAGUUUUUAAUGAAGAGAAAGUGUGACCCGUUAAUGGUUUUUAUCUUUUUAGUUAACUUAAAACGCCUUUAAAUCACCCGGGCCAACACUUGAUAAGGCAAGUGGUCUCCAUCCAUUGAGAUGCACUAGUUUAUCUCUUGCGAGCCUUUGGGAGGUGGUUUGAAGGUAGGAUUUUCUAGAAUAACCAACACUUGAUAAGCUUUUGGACUCUAAGGAGACAUCCAUUAGUUAUCUCUUGCGAGCUUUUGACGGGUAAUCCAAGGUUAAAGAUCACCUUGAAUGGCAAGUACUAGGUGAGAGGUAUGAGCCAUUGCAAGAUGCAUUAGUGAGAGGGAUUUAGUGUUUGAACCCAUUAAAGGGAAGCAUCUGUACCACACCGGUUCGGGAAAUAACUAUAUGUUAAAUCCCCAAUGAGAGGAAAAGAAACAAGUGACCGGAACUCCCUUUUUGUAUAAGGAACCUGAGCCUAGUGAUCUAAACUCCAAGAAACACUUUUCUUUGUAAGUAAAAUCAGUUACUAUUUUUGGUUAGUUUAAAACCAAACCUUUUUCAUUCAAACAUCUUUAUGUUUUCUUUUAAAGCUAACCUUGAAAUGAAAAGGCACCAAUUCAUAUUUGAAUUAAUAUCAAUUGUGAAGUGAAAACCCAUCCCAGUGAACGAUCCUAGAGCCACUAUGCUAUAGUAGCUUUGUCUUUGCUACCCUAGUUCAUGGUUUAAUAGGUUAUAAAUUUUGUUGAUUACUCCCACAAUCAAAGGAGCACCAGUUGGACAUGAAUCAACUGAGACACUAAUUGGGCACAAAUCAGGAAGUUUUGUUAAUAAUGCUAGGUUAAUUUGUUAAUUUAGUUACUUUCUGCUUAAUUUUAAAAGUUUUCACUUUACUUUCCAUAGUUAUUAAGGAAAAAUUCUCAAAAUGAAAUGGGAGAAAUUGAAUUCUUACAUUUUUACUUGAAUUUUAGAAUUUGUAUUAUGCUUAUUGAAGCUGAUGAAUUAUUGAAACUCCUAUUGAAUUCAACCUUAUUUCUUCCACUUUAAUCUUACCACACACGGUGCACAUUAGGUUCCGAUUAUAAGAGGUGCGUUCUUAGCCUAUUGGAGGUUGGUCAAUUUGUUAAAGUUUGAGAAAGAUCUAGGUUAGGGGAGAGAGAAUAGUCUGACAUACUAUAAUCGAAAACUAAUAAACUUAACACUUAGAUCUUUGUGGAAGAGUAAGGAUUGGACCUUUGGGAGUGGAAAUUCGUUUGAUGCUUAAAUUUGCAUAAUGCUUACACUUUAUAAAUUGUGAUUAGGCAAGAGAUUUGAUGACUCUUGUUCAAGGUUGGGUUUUGCCUCUUUGAUGUUCCAUGAGAGAGUAUAAUCCUCAUCAUGCCACUUGAAAUUUUUUUUGGAGUGAUUAACAUGAUUUUGUAAAUUACUUUACUGUCUAUUUUUUUUUUAUCUCUCCUUCAUUGCUAAUGGACUAGCAAUAUGUCAGUUGAGGGGAGUGAUUACUACUCAAAAAGUACUCUUUUAUAGCUUGAAACUAACUGUUUUGAACACUUUUGAGUAGUAGUUAAUACCUUUUAACUCAAUUGGCACAUUAAAGAACCUAGCAAGGGUUACUAAUUAGUUUUUGGCAAGUUUUGGUGUUUUUGGUAGCUAUUUGAUCAUUGAAACAAGCCAAGAAUGAGGGAGAAUUUUGUGAAGUCCAUGGCAAUGCAAGUUAAAGCUCAAAUACAUGAAGAAUCCAAGCUUUGGAGCACUUCAUAGCCCUUUCCAAAGCCAAUCAGAGAUGCAAGGAAGAAAACCAGAGGAAGAAAUCCAACAAUUAGCAUUUUCGCAUGGCUGUGCGAAAUUUCGCACACCAUGCGAAACCACAAGAGGCAGCCAAAGAAUUUUGCACACUAUGCGAAAUUUCGCAUGGUAUGCAAAAUCUUCUUGUGCACCAACUCCGUUAUAUUUUUAUCUCAAAUAUUUUGUGUAAUUUCCUAGUUUCUCCUUGUAACCAACCUAGAUAUUUUCUUUUAUAUAUUUUUUAGGUAACAUCAUCUAUAGGGGGAGAGACAUAAGGAGGAUAUGGAUGUUUUUCAUAGAACACUUGUAAAUUUCCGGUAGUAAGAAAUAUACAGAGCUUUUUGCUCUACCUUACCUUCUCAUUUUGUUUUCACUUGUCUUUCUAGCCAAACAACCUCUGAGGAUGAUUUCUUAGGGAAUGAGUGGCUAGGUUUUACGUUUCUUGGAGUGAGGGAAGCUAGGUGAAAGACCCGAAUGCUAAGGUGGGAGUUGUCCUUGCUUUAAAUGAAAGUAGUUGUUAAACAUUAAUGGUUUUUAUUUUAAGGUUUAGCUUUAAAUCCCUUAAAAACAUCUUGAAUGGUCAAUACUUGGUAGGCUUUUUGGAUUCUAUGGAUGCUUAUUGCUAGAUCCCUGGAUGUCUAUUAGUUAUCAUUUAUGAGCCAUUGGAAGGUGGUUCAAGAUGAGGGUCUUUAAUGUUUGAAGCCAUUAAUAGGAAACAAUUACCAUUCUUUCAUGAAUCCUUUGGAUCAAAUCUUAAUUGCUAAAUAUAAAACUAGUUCGGGAGAUAACCAUCCUUUAUGUUAUUAUGCCCAACGCGAGGAGAAGAUUCGGAAUCUUCCCCUUUGUCUAAGGAACCCGAUCCUAGUGACCUAAAGCUCUAAGAGACCUUUUCUUUAUAGUUAACUUCACUUAUUGUUUUUUCUUAACUUAAAAUCAAUCUUUGCAACCACAAUUCCAUUUUCUUUGAAAGCUAAUUUUCAUAAGGAAAAUCACCAUUUUAUUUUCUUCCCUAAGUCAACUGUACGAUGAAAACCCAUUCCCAUGGACGAUCCUAGAGCCACUAUACUAUGUUAGCUAUGCUACCCUAAUGUGAGGUGAUUUAGGUUUUAUAAAUUUUGUUGAUAACACCUGUUUGAGCCAGAAUCAAAUGGCGCAACUGAACCAGGGACGAAUCAACAACUUAUAUGGGAGGGACACAAGUUUAAUUGAUUUGCAUUUCAACGUUAUAUAUAGGUAUGUUUUGGAAGAUUUGUUCUGGAAAUACUGCACCAAGUACGAUUCUUUUUGUCUUGAGUGGGUCUACUUGCAUGCCAAUUAACGAGUGGAAAAGUAGGAGCACCUACCUCAUGCUCGCGGAACCGAAGGUCAGUGAAGUGGGGCUCCUUUUGGCCUCUUGUGUUUCUAUUCCAACCAAGGCGGCGUAAGGAAAAACAACAAUAUGUUUGUGCUAAAUAUCAACGCAUGAUAGAUGUUUUUGUUUUUUGGUAUGUCAAGGCUAAUGAAUGAAAUGCUUUAGCUUGUUUUGUGACUGGAACUGCAAAUGUCCAAAUUGGAGUAUCUCCAUUUCUCACUUCGGAUGGUUAACUUAUAAACAAGAUAUAGGAAACAUGUGAACAUCUUGAGGAACAAUUUGAAUUAUUCAUUAGAAGUCCUGGGUUGAGUUCCAAGAUUUAAAUUAGACCCCUCUAGCAGCUUCAGGGGUACCUAGCAACCUAUAGCAUAUUAAUGAAGAUUUAGGAUUUAGACUCUAGAAUACAAAUUAAUAUGUAUCUCAUGCUUUGACUAGCUUCCCUACAUAUGCACAAAAUGGAGAUGACCUAAAAAAAUAGCAGAAUCUAGCUUCCCUACAUAUGCACAAAAUGGAGAUGACCCAAAAAAUAGCAGAAUUUCCUUAGUUUCUGUGGUUAAGGUGAUUCUCCGCUUAAUAUCACAUUGACUCAUUAUGCAAAAUCAACUGAGCUAAUUUUGUUUAUUUAUUUAAUGUCAAAUAGGAACUCCUAAUUAACCUAACCCUUGGCCUGUGUAAAUUGAUUUCACAUGCCCAAUGUUGAAGUAGAAGUCCAUAUUUUGAAUUUUAUUUUUGUAAAGGUAAGGAAAAUGAAGCAUUGUGUAAUUAUAAAAAUAACUUCAUUGGAAUUCACAAGGUUCACCCAAAAUGGAGCUACAUCCGUAUUCUAUCCUGCAGUAGACUAUAUAGAUUGUACAAUAGUAAAUUGCAAAUACAAUUAAUAAGUCUUGUGCUUCCUUACUAAUAAUCCUUUGACAUGAACAUUGCAGCACUAAGGUCCUCUUGGGAAGACACCUUGCACCCAUGAGAGCACGAAGAGGAAGCAAGGCAGAGUCAUGGGUGCAAUGUCAUGACUUGUUGUUGCACCAAGAGAGGCUUGGUGAUGGCAUGGUGUUGCAGUAGCAAGAAUGUUGCCUUGGUAGGGACAUAAUCUAGGGAUAGAUGCCAAGAAAGGCUUAGCACUCACAUGAGUUGCACAAAGAUGAAUGUAAUAGAGCAUCAGAGAGACGUCUUGGCAAGUAAAUGAAUGGAUCCAAGAGGCAACAACAUGAGGAGUUUCAAAUGGAUAAGGAAUGAGUCAAAGACAUUUGAAAGCUACAAGUUGGAUUCUAAUUACGAUUGCAAUUUGAGUUUGAGUAGGAGUUUAGAUUCUGAUUGUAAUUGUAGUAUGAGUUGGACUAGGAUUGCUUAUCCCUAGUCAAAAUAGGAGUGGUUCGUGUCACACCCUAUGAAAAGAGUUUGAGUAGGGACUAGGAUUGCUUACUCCUAGUCAAAUAUGGAGUAGGUGGUGCCACACCUAUAAAAAAAAAGGGACAACAUGAGAGAGAGAGAGAGAGAGAGAGAGAGAGAGAGAGAGAGAGAGAGAGAGAGAAAGAGAUAAUGAAUUCACUAAAGAUAUUGUGGGAGUUUUUCUUUGUUACGUCUUGUAUUAUUACUUAGAAUAGGAAUAAAAUACAAGUUUGGGCUAGAGCCCCAUAAUUAAUCUCGUGUGCCUUUGUGGUUAUUCUUUAUUUGUCAUCUCGUGUGGAUUGGAUUACAUUGACUUAGAGGGCUUCUAAGCACCACCUUUGUGGGUUAUUAUUUAUUUUCCAUUUCUUGUGGAUUAGAUUAGGUUGACUUUGAGGGCUUUUAAGCACCACCUUUGUGGGUUAUUCUUUAUUUUCCAUAUCGUGGGGAUUGGAUUAGGUUGACGAUGAGAAAAAUUAUGUGGGAAAUUUGUGUUGGGACACUUAUCAUAACCAGGUAAAAUCUGCCAAGUCCUUUGUAAUAUCUUCAACAAAUAUUUCAGACUAGUUCUUCACCAUAAACAUCAUAUUGUGUUUUGUUUUUCUCCUGGAUUCUGAGUUGAAUUGUUUCAAGUCAAUUGAAUGCAUCUGAAUAUUAUUAGCUUGUUUGAAGGCCUGGUGAUUUUCCAUUUAACUUUACUUUCUUUAGGUUAUGCUCACUAUAAGAAAAAUGAGAAAUAAUGACGCUUUUUACGCGUUAAGAAAGGCAACAGAUGAUGCUUCUCUAAAGCGUCCUCUUCGGCUCUGUCAUUAUAUGUGUUAGCCAAUAAUGACGCUUCUAGGAAGUGCCAUCUUUGAAUAAUGUUAAUAACGACACUCGUAAAAAGUGUCAUCUUUAAACAUAUUCUGGUCAAAUAAUUUUUACAAAAUUAGUAAUCUUCAAGCCGUUUCUGAAUCAUAUCUGAGCCUAUUUCUGGGGACCAGAAAACCAUCUUUUUUCCAUUCGCCUGAGAGGUCUGAUUAGCAUUUCUGGAAUCAAUCUCUAAACCCAAGCUUCCCUCAUCUACCCAUUUAACCCUCAUGCCCUCCUGUUUGAACAACUUUCCCACUAUAUACACAAAUUUUUUACCUUCUGUUGUUGGUAUUCGACCUCUUCCCAUUCCCAGCACAGAAUCCACCAUUAGUGCCACUUUGUGAAUAAAAUCAUCGAACCAGAUCUUUCGGGCGGAAGAUGAGCUCCAGAGAAAUAAAAUUUUUGGGGUCUUCCCAGCAUGAAAGUCAUAGGUAGCAUUAAUGACAUCAAGAAAUGGGGCACUGUUGAGAAAAAACAUGUUCCCAUCAACCACCCAAGAAUUGUACCAGACUCCAAACACUUCUGGAUUACAUAUGCCUUUACUAAGAUAUAUUUCUUGAUCUCCAUAUCAGAAUCUUGGAGACUCUUCAUUUUAUGAGCUCUGACACUACUGUGAAAUUGGUCCACAUCAAUCACAGGAUGACCCCUUCUAGCAAGAUCAAGCAGGAAGUCUGAAUUCGGGCCCAUAAAAAUGUAGUUCUGAAUAUUGAAACUCUCAAAGUGGCACAACAAAUUCCUUAUGACUCUUUCAGAUGCUCCAAACAGGCUCACAAGUAUAAUGGUAUCCUGUUUUUGCACAGAGUAAAGAAAAUAUCCGAGUUCUUCAAAACUCCUUACAACUAUUCCAGGAUGUACUUCUUUGAAACAGAAAUCGUACCACUUUAGCUUAGUCAGAGGUUGAAUCUAAAAUAACAAAACCCAAACUGAAAUCAAAAUCGAAAUCAACCCUAAUAGAUUUCAGAAACAACAAAUUAAAAGAGUAAAGCACAAAAGGGGGAAAACACAUAUGAAGCAAUCUCCAUACAAGCCCUAACCUUAGAUAAACCCAAAAAAAAAAAUCAAAGCAGAGAGUUACCAUAGAGCAUCUCUGUUUCAAGCUUAGAAAAUGUUUAAUGCCAUUGAUAACUAGUUGGCUAGUGGUGGACUUCAAGCUUCUCUAUUUCGGUGUUAGUAGCUCUCAAUGGCUAUGGUGAGAACAAAGAAAUGAGAGGCUUAGGGUUUGGGAUGUGAGGUUAUUGAUGAUGAUGAGGAUAAAGUUAUGGGCUCUUGGAGGGGUUAGGGAAAUUGAAGAUGGCUGAGAGUAAAGGCUAGGGUUUUUGAGAUAGUUAAUAGCUUUUUAGGGUGUGACUGUCCAUAGAUAGAAGAUAAAUGAGGGUGUGAGAAUUUAUAGAUCUCUAGGUGAUAUGGCGGGUGUGAGAAUGAAAUUUUAGAGGGAAUUGUGUGUUUGGUAGAAAUUUCACACAUGCAUAUAUAAUGUUUCAGAACAUGGCACUUUAAAAAUACGACAAGGAAGAAAUUAUUUAUUGACGCUUAAAUAAAGCGCCAAGGUCUCCAACAUUUUUGCAAUCAAUGACGUUUGUAAAAGGUGCCAUUGAAUAGGAGUGCCAUUGCUUUCCCACAAAGCAUCAUUGUUAAUCAAGCCUUUAAAAAACGCCAAGAUAUGUUGCCACUUAGGUUAAAUAUUGACGCUUUUAAAAAACGCCAAGGAAAAAAACGUCAUUAUUCAUGUUUUUUGUAGUAGUGGCUUGAUUCCUAAAAAGUAAAGGAAAGCAAAAAGUAAAAAAAUAAAAAUGUGGAGAGUUAGGACAUGCGUUAUCUAAUUGUCCUAGUCCCAAAUAUAUUAAGAAAGUCAUGUAGGUUACUUGGAGUAACGAGUCAAGUAAAGCAAGCCUUCUAGUGUUUAAGACAUUAGAUAUUACCGAACUGAUUAUGUCAUUAAUGUAUUGCAUUUGUUGUUUCUAAUAUAUAGAAGAAGAUGAAAUUAUUGGAAUAAGUGGGAAAUAGGAAUAAAUCCAAGGUACCAAAAAGUCACUUUAUCUUAGAUGUUGUUGGAAACAUAAGUGAUUUCACAAUAACGACUAUGAGACAAUCAAGGAUUAAUAAGAUAGACUUUAUAUGAUAUACCUCCCAAUUAGAGCCUAAAAAUAUGGAUGAAGCACUUAGAGAUGAAUCUUCAAUUUUUGUACUAUAGGAAGAAUUAAAUCAAUUUGUUAGCUAUUCUUUGGAUAUUUGAUUCAUCACAAGCUACAAAUCACUUUUGAUGACCAAACACGAAACUAAGAGGAUUGGGCCCAAUUCGAUGCCUAUCAACAAUGAUUUGUAUUCCACCUCAUUAAUUAUUCAAAGUUGGGAAGCUAGGUCUAACCACUUUCUCUACCUGUUCACCCUUAGAGGAGCAGAAGAAAAUUCUAACUUUGGUGCCUAAUGCCUUUGACAAUCUUUCGACAAAGAGAGUUCACUAAUUACUUUGAUUAUUUCUCUGUUGGUCACUGGGGGACAAGACUUUUGUAAUGAAGUCAACUAGAACUUGCCCUUUGAGGGCCAUUCAUGGACGAUAUUACACCAUGAAUUCCCUUAGGUCAUGUUUGGUAUGUGAGAAUGAGGAGUGGAAUGGACAUCUUAUUCAUUUUUUCAUCUAUUCAAAUGUUGGGAUAACUCAAGUGACCAUGAGAAUGAAAUCAAGAAUGAUUCAAGGGAAAUGAAAUCUUACUUAUAAGUGUGAUUUCAAUUAAUCUCUAAUAGAAAUUAUUUUGAAUCAAUAGUGCAAGUUAUUUUUAAAAACAUUUUUCCAAAAUUAAAAAAAUCAAUUUUUUUUUUUUCGAUAAGUUGUUUUUAAAAGGAUUUUUUUUAUUUUGUAAAAAGAAAAUUGUAAUUCAAUUUAUAUAAUAUAAACUAAAUUUUAUUUUAUUCAAAAAGAAAUAAUUUUUUAAUUAUAAAUAAAUUAAAAAUAAAUACUUUUAAUAAAAUAUAAAUAGUAUUAUUAUAAUAAAAUCAUAAAUAAAUUUAAUUUUUUUUAUAAAUAUUAUAAAAAUAUGGAUAUUAACAUUGGAUAAUUGAUUUAUUUUGUUAAAAUAAAAAAUAAUAAUUUUUAAUAUUAUUUUAUGUUAAAUGAAUUUUAAAAUAAAGAAAGUUUAAUUAUUUUAAGGUAUAGAAGAGCCAAAUUUUGCAUUACAUACAUAACAAACAAUAUUUAUUAGAAACAUUUCUCAAGGAGAAUCUUAUUCCAUCUCACAAAGAUACUCGUUUAUUCGAUGUUUGACCAUCCGUAACAAUCAUGUCAAUUCUACUGAUUUAAUAAUUCCUUUACAUUUAUUACUCACUUAUGAACAUGGUAUUGUGAUUUAUUUAUUUAUUUGAUGUAUAAUUAAUUAAUCAAUUUUUUAAAUUUCAAAUUAUUUUUAAAAACUAUUCAUUAAGGAAUUUAAAGCAUUAAUUAUGUCUAUUAUUUUUUAUAGUCAUUAUAUAUAUAUUGAGUUUUAAUUUAUUUUUAAAAAUUAUUAAACUUAUUAAUAAAUUCAAUAUAAAGUCUCGUUUCAUUUGAAAUUCAUUUCUUUAGUGAAAAUUUUGAAAAAAAAAUUGUUAUUUAUUUUACUUUGUUUUAAAAAAAUUGUUUCUAGAGAACAAUAAUCAAAUAAUGGUAUGAAUUUUUAAAAACAAUUUUGUUUUUAAAUCAUAUGCCCAAAUAAUUUUUUUUUAUUUAGCAAAAAACUUUGUUGUAGUAUGUGGCUCAUAUUGAGGGAAAGACAUAUAUGGAGAAAAAUGUGCAAAUGUUGGAGUGGAGCGGAGUGGAAUGACGACAUUUGUCAUUCAAACUUGUAUUUUUAUUGUUAAGGGUGACCGAUAGGUUGGUACGGUUUAGGGGUAUUUUUGGAAUUUCAUUACCUGAGGGUUAGUAUAAAUACCAUUUUAUGUAACCCUAAUUUUACAUAUAAUGUAAGUUUUCUUCCUUGUUCUUGUGGACAUAGGCAAUCCGUCGAACCACGUUAAAUCUGUGUGUUUUUUUUUCUUUUUUCUUUUUCUCUAAUUUCUUCACCAGGAAUCGUUACACUAAGAUCAACAAACUCUCAAAGAUGAUUUUUAAAAUGAAAAAAAUAAUGUAUAGUGUGAGAAUUUUUUAUUUUUUAUUUUUUUAAAAUGAAAAUAAAAAAUUGCUUUAAGGUAAAAGUGUGGAUAUUAUUGUUAAUUUAUUUCAUUUUUCAUUUUCAUUUCCAUUGUUACCUACAAUUGAAAUGGAAACAACUAAUCAUUACAACCUUACAUUCUUAUAUGCAUCCAAAUACAAAAAUUGAAAUCACCAAAUUCAUAUUCAAGGCAAAAUAGGAAUGAAAACAAAUAUUCAUUCUCAUUCUUUAUUCCCACGUGUCAAACAUGACCUCAAAGUUAUAAACAUGAACAAGAAGUCCUUGAAACACCAAUGAUCUCUUCUGGUAUAUAUAUGAGCUUGAUUGACAACUGUUUUAAAUACAGUUUUUUUUUUUUUUGUUUUCAAAAUCAAAACAAAUUUAUUUUUAUUUUUUAUAAAUAGUAGUUUUUUAAUAUUUUUUUUAAACCUUAUUAUGAAAAUAGGAUGUUUUCUAAUAUCAUAUUUUAAUUAUUUUCAAUUAUUUUCCCUUCUUUUAAGGAGGGCUAUUUUAAAAAUAUGAAAAAUGAUACAAAAUAAAGCAUUACAAAUAAAAAUCAUUUUUAAGAAAUAUAUGAAAAUAAUUUGAGAACAUUUGAAGUUCCUUAAUUAAACUUUUGUUCUAGAAAAUGCAAGAAAACUGUUUUUGAAAAUUGUUUUCAUAAUGAUAUGCAUUGAUCGUUUAAAAUUUAAUUACAUGAUAAAAAGACCUAUGUAAAAACCAGAGUUAUAUAAUCAGUCAUAGAUCAAAUCUACUAAAUAUGAAAAGUAAGUACAUAGUUGUAUAUGACUUAGAUGGAGCCUUCUCCGAAUGACAUUCUUUAGUCGGUACUCAUAUUUUUUUGUUUCGUGUCUUCAACAUAACACCUCAUGAUCCUUAAUAAAUCACCUGAAAACUAUAUUAGCACCUUAUUGUUUAAUAUUUCUCUAAAUUUUUUUAUUAAGCAAAUAAAUUCCAAAUUUAAAAUGACAAAUAAAAUUUAUUAAUUUUUAAAAAUAAUUUAAAACUCAAAAACCAAUUUAAUUGAUAUUAAAAGUCAUGAAACUUAAUAAUAUUAGAAAGUCAUGUAUCCAAAUUUAUUUUAAAUGACUUGUUUAAUUUCUUGUUUAUAUAUAUUAUAUUUUUAUAAUUUUUUUUACUAUACAAAUAAAUUUUAAAUUAAACAAAACUUAAUGCGUUGAAUUCAUUAACGAGUCUAAUAAUUUUUAAAAGUUACUUAAAAUUUAAAUACUAAAUCAAUUAGUACCACAAAUUCAUGGAAAAAAAUUGAUUUAUUACUACUAUAUUGUUUCUCUAUUGCAUAGAACCAUUAUUUUUCAAUUUUUUCAUUUGGCAAAUGAACAUCAAAUUAAACAAGACUAAGUGUAUUAAAUUCAUUAAUGGGUCUAGUAAUUUUUUAAAAUAAUUUAAAAUUCAAAUAUUGAUACUCCAAAUUAAACAAGACUUAGGUGGUGUUUGUUUUUUGGUUGAAUAGAAAAAGGUAAAAUAUUUGACUUUUUCUAUUUAGUUAAAAGUAACUUGUUGACAUCGUCCAAUAUAAUUAAAGUAAACCUAUUGAGGGCAAGUUCACUUUAAUUAUGUUGGACGAUGUCAACAGGUUACUUUUAACUCAAUAGAAAAAAUCAAAUAUUUUGACUUUUUUUUUAACUCAAAUAAUAAAUCCAUUAAUACAAAAAAAUUAUGGAUAAUUUGAAACUUUCUUUCUUUUUUUUUUUUUUUUUGCUACACAUAGCUAUAUUUUUAUAAAUUUUAUCAUUAGAGAAAUGGAUUUCAAAUCAAGUGAAACUUUGUAUUGAAUUAAUGGAUUUAACAUUUUUUAAAAAUAAUUUGGAACUAAAAAAAAAAGAUUUAAUUACUAAGAAAAUCAUAGAUCAAAACUAAUAUAUUCUGAUCCAUGAUUUUAUUAUUUUUCCUAUACAUACAAUUAUAUUUUUAUAAUUUUCUCACUAGGUAAAGAUAUUAUAAAUUAAGUGACACAUAAUUAAUAAUUUAAAUUUUUGAAUGAAUCUUUUAAUUUUAGGAAUAAUUUGAAAUUUAAAAAGUUGAUCCAAUUAAUUGUAAAUUAACUUAAAAUAUUAUAAAAUAUUAUGUUCAUAAUUAAGUACUAAAUGUAUAUAUGUAAUGAAAACUUAACUAGUUACAUGUUACAAAAGCCAAAAUUUAUUCAUUCUUUAUUUUAAAUAAAAUAUUAUUAAUAAUUAUUUUUUUUAAAAUAAUAUUUAGUAAUUAUUGUUUUUAAAUUAUUAUUAUUAAUUUUUAAUAAAAAAAUUGCAAAGUUAUUAAUAUCAUUAUAUUUCUAACAUAAAUUUAAAUAGUAUAUUUUUUAAUAUAUAUAUAUAUAUAUAUAUAUAUAUAUAUAUAUAUAUAUAUAUAUAUAUAUAAUUUAUGAUUUCAUUAUAAUAUUUUUAUUCAUGAUUGACGAAAAAUUAUUUAUUGUUUAAUUUAUUUGAAUUGCAAAACUAUUUUUCAAAAUUCAAGCGAGAAAAUAGGCCUGGAUUUGAAUUUCCUGUAGAAGAGAAGGAUGUGGAGAAUAUGUUGGGAGUAUUUGUGGAUAAAGAAAAGGCCAGGGUACUGAGAAAGGAGAGAGAACUUGCUCUUGCCAAAAGAGCCCUGCACAGGUAUUCUACUGAUUCUAAUUAUCGGUUCUUACAUGAUCAGAUUUCAGAUUUAUUUGCUGAGCUUCUGAAAUCUGAUACAGUAUUUAAACUCCGGUGAGCUUUACAAGAUUAGUCUCGCAUCCAAUUCCAAAUGGUGUCCCACAAUUGAUUCUUCUUAUGAUAAAUCCACCUUGAUAUGUGAAAAUAUUGCUCGAAAGGUUUAUCCUCGCGAGGAAUAUCCAGAAUACUAAGGAAUUGAGGAGGCUCACUAUGUUUAUAGAGUCAGGGAUAGGUUGAGAAAACAAGUAGUUGUUCCAUUACAUAAGGCCCUGGAGUUGCCAGAGGUUUUCAUGUGUUCGAACAAGUGGGGAUCACUUCCCUACAACCCUGUGGCUUCAGUGGCCAUGAAAUCAUACAAGAGCCUCUUCUCAAACCAUGAUACAGAGCGGUUUGGUGAGUAUCUUGAGAAAGUGCAAACUGGGAAGGCUAAGAUUGCAGCUGGUGCAUUACUUCCCCAUGAGAUUAUAGCUUCAUUGAAUGAGGAGGAUGCCGAGAGAGUUGCCGAGCUUCAGUGGGCAAGAAUGCUGGAAGAUUGAUCAAAGAAAGGGAGGCUCACAAAUUGCAUUGCAGUAUGUGACGUAUCAGGAAGUAUGAGUGGAACUCCAAUUGAGGUGUGUGUGGCUCUGGGGCAGUUAGUUUCAGAGCUCAGUGAAGAUCCAUGGAAAUUAAGGUAAUGUAAUUACUUUCAGUGCAAAUCCUGAGCUUCACAAGAUCCAAGGAGACAGCCUUGUAUCCAAGACUGAAUUUGUGAGGAUGAUGGAAUGGGGUGCCAACACUGACUUUCAGAAAGUUUUGACAGAAUCUUACAAGUAGCAGUGGAGGGAAAUAUGAGUGAAGAUCAAAUGAUAAAGAGGGUUUUCGUUUUCAGUGAUAUGGAGUUCGAUGAAGCUUGUGGGAGGUAUAACUAUUGUGACUAUGACUAUGAUAUGGAGGAAAUUGACGAGAGUCAGAAGGCAUCUCAGAAGUGGGAGACAGAUUAUGAAGUGAUACAGAGGAAAUUCCAGGAGAAAGGAUACAGAAAAGUUCCAGAGAUAGUGUUUUGGAACCUUAGAAACUCAUCAGCGACUCCAGUGACGGCCACAGAGAACGGGGUGGCCUUAGUAAGCGGGUUUUCAAAGAAUCUGUUGACCUUGUUUUUGGAAGGAGGUGGAAUUCUGAUCCCUCAGGAUGUGAUGGAAUUCGCCAUCUCUGAUGAAGAUUACAAGAAACUUGUUCUAUUUGAUUAAGAUAUCAAGAGAUUUAUCAAUAAUAAUAUAUUUUUUUUCUAUGUGAAAUACAUAUAAUAUUAACUGUGGAGUUAUCAAAGUUCUGGAGGUUUAAUUAUUUCUUCUUUUCAAGUUUUGUUUAUUUAAGGUUUUCUUUGUCUUUGUUAGGAAUUCCCCUUGGGUGGACCCAGCUGGGGAGUUGGAUUGAGGAAGUAAGCAGGCGAACUUGUGUUCUUCUAUGGACAGAGAAAAAAAAUAAAAUAAAAAAAUAAAAAAGGAGGUUAUUUGCAUUUGGAUGUCGUGGUUUGAGGGUACAACUACAAGCUCGAAAUUGUACAUAAUGUGAAAACUCCUGUGUCCAUUGCUGAGAACAGCAUAAAUGAUGGUGAUUUUCAAGUUGUGCCUGGUAUUCUACAGGAUGAAACAAGAAAGGAUCCAGGUGGUAUAUUGAACAAUAUCCCAAUCAUGUUGGUGGCAUCUUUAUUUAGUUAAUGGUAUUCAUUUGGUGGAAGCUGGUUGUUUAUGAUGUUUUUAAUUUUUUUUAACAUGAAGUUCGAUCAAAUACGUAUCUUAGUAUGUUUUGUUUGAGCUAAUUGGCAAAUGCGCUUUAAACAUGGUCACAUGGAUGCAGUUUUAUUUGUGAAAUGAUAAUAGUCGAUUACUUGGUCAGUAAGGUUUAUAUCUCUAACUUCAACAUCUUAUUGUAGUCUUUUAAAAUGUCAAAAGUUUAAUGCUUGAGAAAUUUUGGAAUGGAGACAUUCUAAACAAAGUUAAUAAUCCACAAGACUUGGUAAAACCGAUCAGAUGAUGCUUACGUACAUCAAUGCCUUCUUUAAGCCAUAUCCUAUUUUCAUUGAACGGGAUGUGCCAUCUAGUUUGGUUCUUUAAGCCUCCAAAUCCUAAACCUAGUCUCAAUUUAGAGCAAAUUUAGGGUGCAGGGCCUGCAUGCCUCCCCCUCCCCCUUCCACAAAUAGUAGUGACCUUGCUAUGCCUAUGCAUUGUCAAUGCCUCAUUUUCUAUGGUCUCCAAUGUAAUAUCUUAGUUUCAAUGUCUCUUUCCUUACUAUCUCCAAUGCAAUAGAUUGAUUUCAAUACCUCUUUACAACUAAGACCUCCAAAUUUUCUUGGUUCAAACCUACCAGAAUUUUUCUUCUCCUUUGCUUUCUAUCAAUAUUAGUUCCCCUAAUUUAAUAUAUACUUCUUUAUUACCUUCAACUCUACCUCUCUUUCUUUCUCUAAAAGCUUCCUCAAAGAUUUAAUUGCUUUCUUGCAUGUUUUAAGAAAACAAACAUGCUCAUAUUACAUUACCUCUACUUGAGAUCUACCUUAUACUCUACCUUCUUUCUUUACCUCCUAUAUCAUCUACUACAUUAGCUUCAAAAAUAUUAUUUAGUUUGAUACUAAAUAAGGCUCCUAAUCCUACUCUUCCUUCAACAAACUUUCUUUUUACAAGUUCCUUAAACUUUAUUUUUUAUUUUUUAUUUUUUGGAAAUUCGGGUUAGAAAGAUUCCAUUACUCUUACCUAAUAUUUCAACCAUCAAGUUGAAUCCACUUAUUGCCUAAAUCCAAGGAGUCUGCCCUCCACAAAAACAAGGAAAUUGAUCCCACAAUAACAAGGAGAUUGCCUUCCACAGAAACAAAGAGAUCUCCCUUCACAGAAGCCGAAUACAUUGCAAUCUAUUUUCUUUCUUGUAAGAUCAAAUCUUCAAUCGAGCUCCAUCUUAUGGGGGCAUAUUAGAGAAAUUUAAUAUUAUCCUUAAUUUACAUAUUAAUAUUUAUCUAUUUAUUAUAUAUUGAAUUAAAAUAGAAUAUAGAAUUUGAAUCAUAGUAGAAGUUUACUAUAAGAUUGAAUUACAAUAGUUAAUAGAGUUUAAAUUAUAAUAACUCAAAUACAUUUAUAUAUAUUUGACCUUACGAGAUUUUCUAUUUAUGUAUUUGAACUACAAUCCUUAUGAUCCUUAGGUCUCUAUACCUUCGUGAUGGGCUCCUUGACAUUUCAUAGGUUGUGCUACACAUGCAUUUGAAAUUUAGAGUGCAUUUGACAGUGAUUCUGGGAAGUGUUUUUGGCAUUUCUAACACUUAAAAUUUUUUAUUUUUCAAGUAUUAGAAAUGCUACAAACACUUUUGAAAAUUACUGUCAAACACACUCUUAGGAGCGCAUAUAGUAGAAAACUAGAAAUUGUGGUUUUUUUAGGAUUUACUGUAAUGUCAUUAGGAGGGUAGUAAGUUGAAACUGAGUAUGAAUAAAUAUUUCUUUCUUUGGGAUGUUCUUCUGGUAGGUGCUGAUGAAACUGUUCUUUUUACUGCCAAUGUCACAUAUCAGCCAGAAAUUGAAAAUUUCAGUCAAGGUGUCCUCGGUUUUAGUGGUGAGGAAAGCUAGAAAUUUUAAGGUGAAGUUCUGUUAAAAACCUUAAGUAGCUGGGAUAUCAGGCCUGUUUUGCUUGAAAAAAAAAGUUGCAAGAUAACUCAUAUGCCAAACAGGUUCUGAUAUUGUGAAUCUAUCGGCAGACAUCAGUAAUCUCAUCUUCUGAGAUGGAUGUUGGGGGUGCAUGUGGUGGUGGAGGGGCAAGGUUUCAUUUGGUUUAUUUUGUUGAUGGAUAUUGUCUAGCCCCCUGCGCCAAGUUUGAGGGGUGGUGGGUUGUGAUGGCCCUACAAUUACUAUUAAUUUCUUCCUCUUUUACCGAUUAAAGUGUCCGAACAGUCGAAGUUACCCUUAUGCAUGUCAACUUGAUCACUUACCUCUUCAAUGGAGUUUAUGCUGGUUCAUUUAGGAACUGAUUUUUAUUGUUAUGCAUUCUAUGCUGAUGUUUAGGCCUCUCCAUCAUCACUAUAUACAAAAAUUCUAGGUUGAUACUAUAGGUUGAGAUUUAUUUUUUAAAUAAAAAAUAAUAAAAAUAAAAAUUAUGGUGAUGUUUAGUUGUUUUAUGGAAAAUUUUAACAAGUUAUUUUUGGGCAAGUUUUCAAACAAAAAGAAAAGUAAAAGUUGUUUUGACAAAAACAUAUAGAAAAAAAAAAUCAUAGAAAAGAAAUAAUUUCCCCAUAUUCUAACUUUUUUUAAUUUUUCUCAAUGGGCAAAGGAAUAUCAAAUCAAGUUUGAGUAGGAUUUCUUAAUUUUUAAAAUAACUUACAAUUAAAAAAUUUUGGUGUUUUCAUUUUUGGACAAUUUUUUAUUAAGCAAAUGGACUCUGAGUCAUGCAAGAGAUAUGGUUGAUUAAUGGGUCAAACAAUUUUUUUAAAAUAAUUUAAAACUCAAAUACAUAAUCAAUGUCACAAAAUUUAUAAACAAAAAUAGGUUUAGAGAAGAUCUACACAUAAUUUUACUUUUCUAAUUUUAUUUUAUUUUAUUUUUUUGUUGGAAAAUAGUCUUCAAAUCAUGUAAGAUUUAAUAGGUUAAAUUUGUUAACAAUAAAUUUUAAAUUAUAAAAUAUAAUCUGGAACUUAAAAAUCAAUUCAAGUAAUGCUAAAAAAAAUCAAAUUUGGUAUAGAAUGACUACGUAAAAUUUUUUACAAAACAAAUGAAUUUUAAAUCAAGUGAGAUUUAAUGCAUUAGAUUUUUAUCAAAUAUAGUAAUUUUAAAAUUUAAUUUGGAACUCAACAAUAGACACAAUAAAUACCAAAAAAUAAUGAACCAAAAUUGGUUUGGAAUAACUCCACAACCUCUUUUUUUUUUUUUUGGUGCACACGAAUUUUCUUACUAGGUAUAUUGCUUUCAAAUUGAGAAAGAUUUACUAUUUAGAUUUUUUUUUUUAAUGAGUUUAAUGGUAUUUUAAAAUAAUUCAAAAUUUCAAAAAUUGACUAAUUACUAUUAUAAAUUCAUAAACCAAGACUAAUUCAAAAUGCAUUGGGGGCUAAGGGGGUUGAAAAUAGGGACAAUGGGAUGGGUUUGGGACAUGACACUCAUAUCUCAUUUCCAUUCCAAUUACAUAGUUAUCUCCCAUCCUUAUCCCAAACUUGUGUUGGAGCAAGUUGAUUUGUUCCCAUCUUUGUUGAUGAAAUGACUAAUAACCUCAUCCCCUCCUUAUCUUAGAUGUACAUUUUGUCAAAUUUGAUCAGGUAUGAUUGAUCCAAGCCCUAACCCUAAUUGGUAAUGACUGGAUACUACACCUAAUUGCAUUCUUCUUUCGUCGCAAAAUAAUGAGAUUAUAAUAAUCUAGCAAAUAAGAAAAAAUAGUAUGGAAGUUCAAUUUAACACCAUAACUAUCAAUAAUUUUAAGCUUAUAGAUGACUUAAAUGAUUAAAAACUAAUGCAAAAUACCAAAAAAAAAAGUUCAUAUAAAGAAUUCACAAGAGAACAAAAUGAACAAAAACCAAAUAUGAACAUGGGUCAACAUUAGUUAUGGAUUUGGAUUCCUUUCAAGGCCAAUCUUUGAACCAAGACUUCAUCAAAUCUACUACUUCAAAGGCUUUUGUGUUCUUCUUGGGUUGUGCUCUCAAACAAAGACUUCAAGGUGAUGCUCUAGAUGAUUGCAUUACACAUAUUUAGGGUGGAGAGAUUGGAGAAGCUUGAAGAUGCCAACGAUGGGUACAAUUGAGUGGUCAAUAAGAACAAUGUAGCCUAUGACUAGUUUGAUGUCGUGGUACAAGAGUUUUAGGCAUUGAGGUUAAAGCAAGAGCAACAUGGAAUUGAUUUUGGAGUCUUUCAAUUAGUGUAAAGGAGGAAGAAGUGGUAUUGAUUCUAGAAAUAGGGUUUUAGGUGGUGCGUUAGAGGAUGAAGAAGAAGAAAAAGAAGGAUCUGUUGGAAUUAGUGUGAGUGUGAAGAGAGAAGUAUAUAAAUAAGGGGAAGUAAAAGCAAAGUUCUAAAAGCUAUAUUUUUUUUUAUUGUUGGUGUAUGGUUGCAUGAUUAUCCCUAUAAAUAAUAGGAGUUUUUUUGGUAUUCUACUAGUAGUUGAAGGAUAAUUUCAUAAAUUUAUAUUUAGAGUGGGGUGGGGUGAGUUGUGACAAAAUUCAUACCCGUCCUAAACCUUGGUUCAGAUUUUUAAAAUAUCCUCAAACUUAUCAUAUACCCAACUUUUAUAUUUCAUACUUGUCUUGAUAGAGGCAGGUUAGGCCGGGUUACUUGAGUAACCUACAUAAUUGUCAUCCCUAGUUGAAAUACACUUUUUUGGCAGUGGCCACCAACUGAGCUAGAAGCUUGAUCGAUUGACCUACAAGAUUAGUUCUCAUCAUUUUAAAAAAAGUUUUGGCCUUGGUUGUGAGUGCAAUUGAAUCUAAACUGGCAUUUCCUUAAUGCAUCUACUUCAAUCCUAAAUUUCUUACUUCCUAAGCCUCAAUUGUUGUUAGGAUUUUGGAAAGCCCAUUUCCUUAAAUUGUAAAUUUAAGAAAAAAUAAAAUAAAAGUGAGACAUUUCUUGAUUGAAUAUUGUUAAAGGUCCCUUGGCAUUAAGACUUGGUUGAAGCCUUGGAAGAUUAGUGGAACUCUCAACUUGUGUUUGAAUCUUGAGGAGAGUGGACGUAAGCCAAAAUUUUGUCAAACCAUUAAACAAAUUGAGUUUGAAUCCUCAUUUCUUGAUUUCUUAUUUAUUUGCUUUUUCUUAUUAUUACUUGAAUUGUCAUUUGCAUUCAUUAAUGUUAAAAUUGGUUAUAAUUAACCAACACUAAUUCUCUUUCCCCUUCCCUUUCUUGGGUGUAAACCUAGGUUGGAUUAACUAGAUUAAUUUAUAAAAUCUAUUAAGAUGGUAAAAGAAUAAUUAUUCUUAACACACAUAAGAUCAUCUUCAAUCAAAUGACUCAUUGGCUAAUAUGUUGAAUUUGCUUAUUACUUGCAACUCAAAAUUGUGUUCUAGUUGAUAUGUCAAGUCCCCAGUGUAUGGACAUUAAAUUUGUAGUACGUGAUGGUAAUUAGAUGGUCCAACUCCAAGAAAGUGAUUGAAAACUAGUUCAAGAAAGGUGCAAAAGGGAAUUGUUUUGGUAUUUUCGUUUUUAUUCUUGAAGGUGGCAGAGCUAAAAUUUGUGAAAUCAAGCAAAACAUACUGAAAUUACAUUGAAAGAAAGAAAAUGGGAGUUAAUGUCUUGCAGUAGAUGAUAAGGACUUCAUGCAUGUAGUAUGACCCAUGUCUUGGACUGAUGCCAACUCACGGUUACACUUAUACCCUUGGUUCUCUCUUUACUACCUUGGCUAACCUAGAUCAGGCUAUGAGAUAGGCUCCUCACCACACCAUUACUUGCCCAUUAAUUAGAGACAUUUUCAAGCACUGAGGUAACAUGGUGACACCAAGAGGGUUUAUUCCUCGCCCUCCUCGCCCUCAACAAGUCUAGACUUGGUCUCAAAAAAAUGGAGAAAAAUGAGGUGUCGUUAUGUAGAAAUACAACAACCAUGCCUUCCUCAUUACUUUGAUUCAGAAUGUGAAGGUGAAAUUGAGAAACAGAAACUCUUGAAACCAAAAUGAAAAUUGAUACUUUUACGAAGAAUUACAACAACAUUGGAGGAAGACUACAUUCUUCCUCUUUAUUCCUACAUUUCUACACUACUUCUACUCCACUCCAUAUUUCUACAUACAUCUUUAAUCAGUCUUCCCUCCUUUAUAUAGAGCCAUCUUCACACAAAUUCCGCAAGGUAGAAAAGAGGAAUGAAACUUGGAGCAAGGUUCGACUACUGGCUGUAGCUUGUCAAGGCUGGAAGUGAACCUUUUUUCUUGGCUUUUCUGGGCAUGGGUAGUAACUUGUGGGUUCCUUUUUGGGAUACAAAUGGCUAGAACAUGUGGCACUAUCUUGUUGGAUGAUGUGUCAAGCAUGUGGCAGCCAUCUAGUGGCGAUUAUGUCAAUUUUGGGAUGGAGAGUUGGCAUCCAAUUGCAAAGAAAUAUGACGUCUACCAACAGGCAAUGUAAACCUAUGUAGAUCAUAUGAAGAUAGAGAGGAAAAAUAUAGAAAUGGAUAUAUACCUAGAACUAGCUUUUUAUUAAAUGAAACGGAGAGCCAACAAUGAAGGAAAAUAAAUUUUUUUGGCUUAUAUCAAAGAGUUCACAUUGUGCUACCCUAGGUUUUCUUAAAACUUACUUUUAUGAUAACAAAAAAAAAAAAAAACAUUAUUGUUUAAUCCUUUGUUUUAAACGCAUGUUUAGCAAGUUAUAAAAUGUAAAAAUCUUUCUAAGUUCAAAUAUGAAGAUAUGACAUCAUUUCAAGCAAGAUAGUCUCUAGGAAUUAAUGUAAAGCUAAAUUAAGGUGAAAUUAAAUUAGUUCAAUGCAUUAAUUUAAGAAACUUGACCUAUCAAAAGUACAAAAUUAGAUGAAAUCCAUUUCAAUGGUUAAAAUGAUCAAAAUCAAACUUUUUCUAAGUAUUUUUUAAAAGUAUCAAUAUUGAAAGACAAUUUUAUAUUUAGUCAGAGUUUGGACAAAACCAAAAAGCACACAAAAUCCAAGCGACCAUCUCUAGCUUGGAUGGUCGCUUGAUCUCUAGCUUGUGUACUUGGAAAGCAACAUCGAGAUGAUAUAUAUAUAUAUAUAUAUUUUAUAUAAUAUUGUUUGUCCAAAUUCCCUAAAAAUUAGGCCACCACAUGUUCAUAAUUCUCCCUUCUUGAAUUUGAAAACUCGGACAAUUGGACAAUGCGACACCUAAGUCCGGUUUCUAAAUGCUAAAGUGAAAGGGUAGGUAUGGACCAUUGAAAUGUGAUCACAACUUUUCUCUGUAGCCAUGUUGUCUCUUUUUUCUUUUGCAUGAUUUUCUCACCUUAACAGAAUCAUAGACUUGUUUAAUCUCUAAAUGGGAUUAAUUUCAUCCAGCUUUAAGCUACUAUAUUAUAUCUAGGUGGAGGACUUUUAAGAGUGCAACCGACAUAGAGCACAUGCAAGUGGGUAUAUGGGACAUGAAAUUUCUUCUUAUAAAGAUUGCAUGAUUUUUAUAUUAGAGUUGUUGGGGCGCAAUGUAUGUAGCUUGUUUUGCAGUUAAAUUAAUUGGAUAAGUAGACAUUGGCGUUUCUAAAUCUACUGUGAAGUGCUUCAUGUACGUGUGAAGUAUUAGAAAUUUCUUUCUUGGCAACUUGUUUUUUCUUUGCGGUCUACUGAUAGGUUUGACUAAAAUUAUAUUCCCUGUCAUGCUAAUUAAUUUUCACGUGCAUGCUCAAAAGAAGAGUAUGACCUUAGUGCACCAAAAUCACUUUGAUUAAUUUGUGAUAGGUUUUUGUGCAUCAUGACAUUAGCCUUAUUCAUUUAGAUAAUGUUUAGUUUUUAGAAAGUAUUAAGAAAAGGAAAAUAAAUAUUAAGAAAAAUAUUCUUAUAUUUGAUUGUAUUAUGAAAAAUGUCAUAAAAAAAUCAAAUAUAAUUUAAAUUAAUUAAUAAUUUAUACAUUUUCAAAUUAUUUAAUCUUUAUAUUGAAGAUAUAAUAUAAAUGAAAUGAGUUUUAAGUAUUAUAUAAAAGUGAUUUAUUGAUCUUGCAUAUAUGUAUUUCUUUUUUUUUUCUUCUAUUUUUUUUCUUUAUUUUAUUUUCCUUAUGUUUUCCUCAACAUUUUCCGGAACCAAACAUAGCCUUAGGAAAUCCACAAUUACCUUCAACUGAGUAUAUUCGGUUGUUUUAGCAAUGUUAGGCUGCUAACUUGUGUUGGUACGAACCUGUUAAGCCUAAAGAUGUAAUUAGUUAGGAUAUUCUUUUCCCUCUAGUCUUGUAGCUCCACGUGUAUAGUUGGUUAGGACCUCAUUGUAUAUAAUGCCUGCCCUGUUAUUGUUGAAGACAACAGAGAUAAAUAAUAUUAACAUUUUUCCUCUCAUCUCUCUUUGUUUCCCUCUGUUUUCAUCUCCUCUCUCAUCUUGGUAUCAGAGCCUCCAUGGAUUCUUUCAAAGAAACCUCCGAAUCACCUUCUGCUAGCAUUGUUAAUGUGCAAAACCCAUUAUCUCAGUCAAACAACCUUCCUUCACCAGCAGCCACACCCUCUUUUUCUUUCUUGUCUAUGAAUCAACCUCUCACAGUGAAGCUGGAUAAUGGAAACUACCUCAUCUGGAAGAAUUAGCUUCUGAAUGUCAUCAUUGCGAACAGACUCGAUGAUUUCAUUUAUGGAACUCGACCCUGCCCUCCUUGAUUUCUCAAUCUGCAACAACAAACCCUCACUCCAGAGUACUCGGUCUAGCAGAGAUACAAUCGACUUCUAAUGAGUUGGCUGUACGCAUCCUUGUCCGAAGAUAUAAUGACUCAGAUUGUUGGGUAUUCAACAACUGUGGAGAUUUGGAACGUCCUUAAUCAGAUUUACUCUGCCUCUUCAAUGGCGUGGGUUACCGAGCUUCACACCAAGCUUCAAACGCUCAAGAAAGAUGGACUCUCAGUUGGUGAAUAUAUUCAAAGGCUCAAAUCCAUUUGCAAUAGUCUUGCAGCAAUAGGAGAACUAGUUUCUGAGAAAGACCAGCUUAUCUAUUUGUUCAAUGGAUUAUAUUGUGAGUAUAAUUCUUUUGUUACCUCCAUUCAAAAUCGAUCUGACCAACCAACUAUUGAGCAAAUCCAUAGCCUAUUGCUUAGCUAUGACUUUCGGCUUGAACAACAAAACUCUGUUUCUCUCCAUUAUGCCCAAGUCCGUAUGGCUCAUCUGAACAAGAAACCUUAUAAAUCAACUCCUCAACCUACAUUCAAUCAUAUUCACAUUCAACCUAGAUACUCUUCUCCACCUUUUAAGCCAACCACUAGUCAAUAUCAACCCAGGAUUUUGGGCAAACCACAACCACAACCAUGACAGCCUCAACCUCAAUGGAAACCACAUUUUUCAAUCCAGAAUCAAAAGCCUCAGUGCCAAAUUUGUGGUAAAUUUGGACACACUGCUCUUAUUUGCUUCCAUUGCACAAAUUUGAACUAUUCACCCCAACCUUCUCCUAAAUCUUUCAAUACUGUUCUCACCACAAAUUCCCAGCUCCCUAAUCCUCCAAAAUUUUCUUACCCUACAAUGGCUCAUCCUGCUGCUACGCAUAACACGAUUCCUGAUACAAAUUGGUACAUGGACUCAGGUGCUACACAUCACUUUACUCCGGACAUCAACAUGCUUGACACUGUGACACCAUUUAGUGGUUUAGAACAGGUGACAGUUGGGAAUGGUAAGCAACUCUGUAUCUCACAUCUUGGUACUGCAAAACUACCAUCCUCGUAUUCUCCUCUUGUUCUACAUCAGGUAUAUCACACUCCAAAAAUUUCAAAUAAUCUUAUUAGUGUUAGAAAAUUGUGUUCUGAUAAUAAAGUUUUUGUUGAAUUUUAUGCCACUCAUUUUCUUAUCAAAGAUCAAGUUUCGAAGAGAGUUCUCUUUCAAGGUCAACUUGAUAAUGGCUUAUACAAAGUUCAGUCGUCAUGCUCUCCUUCUACUAUUUCCUUUCAUCCUCAAGUUUUCAUAGCCAACAUCAAGGAUCAAAAUUUGUGGCACAAGAGACUAGGCCACCCAGCUUUAUCUGUUAUUAAUCAAAUCUUGGAUUCUUGUAACAUUGCUCGAACACAGAAAAUUGGUUUUAAUUUUUGUAGUUCUUGUCAAUUAGCAAAAAGCCACAGGCUUCCUUUUUCUCUGUCUCCAUCCAUUGCAGAAAAACCUUUUGAGUUAAUUCAUACAGACCUAUGGGGUCUUUCUCCUGUUCGCUCUAUUUCUGGUGCUCGUUAUUUUUUACUUUUCAUUGAUGAUCAUACUCGUUUUACUUGGUUUUAUUUGCUCAAAACAAAAGAUGAAGCAUAUCCUACUUUUCUCAAGUUUCAAGCUCUCAUUGAAAAUCAAUUUAAUACCAAGAUUAAGGUUGUCCAAUCUGAUUGGGGAGGUGAGUUUCGAUCUCUCUCCAUACUGUUUUCAAAUAUGGGCAUUGUCUAUCGUUUAUCAUGUCCAUACACCUCACAACAGAAUGAGUGGGUUGAGCGAAAAAAUCACCAUGCGGUUGAAAUGGGAUUGUCCUUUCUUGCUCGCUCGGGUAUGCCCUUAUCUUAUUGGCCUUAUGCCUUUCAAACUGCCACUUACCUUAUUAAUCGUCUCUCUACCCCUGUGCUGCACCAUCAAUCCCCUUACUUCGCACUCUAUCACAAAUUCCCAGCUUAUACUCAUCUUAAGGUCUUUGUUCCUCUUGUUUUCCAUAUUUACGCCCUUAUAAUACCCAUAAACUCCAAUACAGGUCACUGGAGUGUGCUUUUCUUGGUUGCAGUUCACACCACAAAGGUUAUCUAUGUCUUGACAUUCAUUCUAGCAGGGUGUAUAUUUCUCGCCAUGUGAUUUUUAAUGAAGAUUCUUUUACAUUCAAGAAUUUGAAAUCUUCUCUCUCUUAGUCUAUUUCUUCUUCCUCUUCUUUAUUAGUUCCUCUGUUCAUUUCCUUGCCUCCCCUCUCCCCAUAUCCUCCUAUUUCUCCAUCUAUAUCUCAUUCUUUUCUCUCUUCUUCUUCUACCUCUAGUACUUGUUCCCCUCUCGUUGCUCCUACCUCUCUUCCUCCCUCUUCACACUUUGUGUCCCAUCUAUUCCACCUCCUUCUCCACCUUCUUCGAGUGUGGACCUGCUUGUACCUUGUGUGAAUACAAAUUUACUUACUUUUUCUCGCACUCACAAUAUUCAUCCUAUGGUGACCAGAUCUAAGGGUUUGUAUCUAUAAACCUAAGUUGCUAUUGAGUGUCUCCAUAGGUUCUCUCACUAAGCCUACUUCCUUUCUUCAAGCUAUUAAAGAUCCUUCAUGGAAGCAAGCCAUGGAAUUGGAGUUUGCUGCCCUUCAACACAACAAGACCUGGCAUCUAGUUCAUUCACCUUCCUCAGGCAAAGUAAUUGGUUGUAAAUGGGUCUAUAAGAUAAAGCUUUAGCCUGAUGGCUAAUUGAGAGAUACAAGGCCCGCUUAGUAGCUUAGGGUUAUCAUCAAACUGAAGGUAUUGACUACUUCGAAACAUUCAGCCUGGUUGUCAAGCCUUCUACUACCGUAUUGUGCUCAGUCUUACUUUUUCCCAGAAUUGGUGUAUUAGACAGCUGGAUGUUCAUAAUGCCUUCUUACAUGGUGACUUAGCUGAAGACGUUUUCAUGGAACAACCACCUGGAUUUGUUGAUCCUCUCUAUCCUACUCAUGUCUGCAAGUUGGAUAAGUCUCUCUACGGUCUUAAUAGUCACCUCGGGCUUGGUAUACUAAGCUGAGUACUUCUCUACUACACUUGGGAUUUGUUACUUCUAAGAAUGACUCUUCCUUAUUUAUUUGUCAUUCGUCUCAUGGGUUACUUCUUGUUCUUGUCUAUGUGGAUGAUAUAAUCGUCACUGGGAGCCACUCUCCUCAAGUUACUCACCUUAUCCAAUAGUUGCAUCAUCAGUUUUCUUUAAAGGAUCUUGGUCAUUUACACUAUUUUCUGGGCUUGGAGGUUCAUCACACCCCUACUGGUAUUCACCUCAGCCAAGCAAAGUAUAUCACUGAUCUCCUUACCCGGGCGGCUAUGUUGGAUGCCAAGCCAUGUCCCACUCCUAUGUCCUCCAACACAUAUCUUUCUCUUCAUGAUGGAGUGGCUCUUGAAAAUGGUUCAGAUUAUUGAAGUUUUGUUGGUGCCCUUUAGUAUUGUACCAUGACACGCCCAGAUAUAGCUUUUGCAGUAAAUAAAGUGUGUCAAUUCAUGCACCAUCCCUCUGAUGUUCACUGGCAGGCUAUAAAACGUAUUCUCCAGUACUUAAAGGGCACAUCUCAUUUUGGUCUCUUCCUACAGCCUUCCUAUGACUUCAACAUCACUUGCUAUACAGAUGCCGACUGGGCUUCCUGCCUUGAUGACAAGUGUAGCACCAGUGGCUACUGCCUCUUUCUUGCCUCUAAUCUGGUUUCUUGGUCAUCUUCCAAACAAAAAGUGGUCUCCCGCUCCAGCGCCAAAUCAGAGUACCGAGGGGUAGCAAAUGGGGCUGCUGAAAUUGCUUGGACUGAAUCUCUUCUUUGUGAACUUUCCACCCACUCGACCUCCCCUCAUUGUCUGUGACAAUAUCAGUGCCACAUACUUAGCUGUCAAUCCUAUUUUGCAUGCCCGCACCAAAACAUGUGGAAAUCGACUAUCACUUUGUCUCGGAACGUGUUCUUCAACGCUCUCUCUCUCUCCAGUUUACACCUUCGGAUGAUCAACUUGCUGAUUGCAUGACCAAGCCUCUCUCCACCCAACGUUUCAUCACUCUACGCUCCAAGCUCACUGUUCUCACUAGACCAAUGAGCUUGAGGGGGGAUGUUAAGCCUAAAGAUGUAAUUAGUUAGGAUAUUCUUUUCCCUCUAGUCUUGUAGCUCCACGUGUACAGUUGGUUAGGACCUCAUUGUAUAUAAUGCCUGCCCUGUUAUUGUAGAAGACAACAGAGAUAAAUAAUAUUAACAUUUUUCCUCUCAUCUCUCUCUCUGUUUCCCUCUGUUUUCAUCUCCUCUCUCAUCUGAACCAAAUGAUCCAUGUUAACCUUGGCUUGGUUUGAUUUGGCUCUAUCUUAGAGAGCUCAAGGAUCACGUCAACUCUGGUUUCUACUAUUCAGGUCCAUUCCCAUAUGAACUGGUUCAAAUUUGAGAAAAUGGUAACAGACCUUUAGUGAUGUUGGUUUGGAGCCAGUUGCCAAACCCGCCCUGAGCUUUACCACUAAUGUCAAGGGAGAAAGCCUUUUGAACAAAAACAAUAGCUUCAAGAGACUGAAUCGUGGAUGAAAUCUGAUCCACAUUUCUUCUCAUUUUGGAAACAAAUGAGAACUUAACUAAGAAGAUUCUACGGCCUCAUAGUGCUUUUCCUGAUCUAAGGUUGGUUCGUUUCCCAAAUUGUGAGAUGCACGGGCCAGACUUCAGAACUCUCACGCUCAGGAGUGUAUCCACGUGGUGGACAUAAGAUGGUGGCUUAAGAUCUGGUGUCGGUGGCUUUACUUUACUAGGAGAGUAGUGUGUCUUCAUCUCAUUCACUGCCGGAGGGUGGCGUAAGCAGUGACGCUAAGGUGGGGCAUAGUCAAUAUCAUUUGCAUUUGACCAUUAUAGUUUUCUCCCGGCUUGAAAGUAACCUUAUCGUGAUAAAGGAUUACUAGCACUAGUUCAGAUGACAGUCAUGUUAAAUUCGGACCAUGUUUGUGUCACAUUAUCAGCAACCAUGUGUUUAUGGUUCAUGCUUUCUGCAACUGAAAUUGAAAUUGAUAUAUAACCAGGUGAACUUCAAUCUAAAUUCUGGAAGUACUCAUGUGAGCGAUGGUGCCCAUCUGCAGAGUCCAUCAAUUGAAAAAUGGAGUGAGUGUAUCUAUAAGAGGGAAGGCUUGGCAAAUGUCCAGUUUUCUGGGAAUUCAACAAGGAUCUAAAAUAGAUUGUUUUCUUUGCUGAUUUCAAUGGUUGAAAUUUGAGAAGAUUGUGUCCCACAUAACACAACUAUUACUGGUCCUUCUGUUGCAAUUUAUCCUCUAAGGCUCUAGCAUGUCUUCCAAUUCCCACUUCCCUGUUACUCCAGGAAAGCUAUUUCUGUCAUUGUGAAGAAGAAAAGAGAAUGUAGAUAUCGAUGCUUUUAAGUGACUGGAGCAUUCAUAUCAGGUGGUCUGCAGCCAUAUAUGCCACUUUGUGAAGAUUGGAACAGUCAAUCACUAGGCUAUAUAUUAGUGUGGCCCAGCCACUUUAAUCAAGGACAAUUCUUCAUACUUAAAAGUCAAAUUCUGCCUUUAGUCUCAUUAUAAAUUGCUGUUUAAAUAUUAAGCAAACAUUUGUUUAAUGCGAUUAAGACAGUACUAACUCAAUACUUGUUCUAUUUUUGGAUGGAAAUGCUUGAUGGUUUCAUCAUUGGAUGGGAUAAAGGUGCAUUCAUGAUUAUGAAUACUUGUAGUUAUAUUUUCAUUCUCUUUUUUCUCAAUGAGACUUGUUGGCACAAUUUUUCUGUUCAGAAACCUACCUCUCCAUGGAAAAUAAGUUGUGAUUGAUAGUACUGGAUAUAUUCAAGAAAGCUAAAUAUAGAUAGCACAAAAUAUUAUCGACAUAAAUAGCAUUAACAGCGUACGUAUGUCUCAGUGCUCAUCAGCCAUAAGCAUGGGGCAAACACUUACGAUGAGCAACUUACGUCAAAAUUCCAGAAUAGGACAUAGAAGUGACAGAUCUAUAUAUAUAGAACACUGCAUAAGAGUCACAAGAAAGGAAAUUACGGGUGCAUAGCAGCUCUUAUUUCACAUACUACUCAUACUGAUCAAAGUCACUCAGUUGGGAUGGGUGGGAGUAGGAGGUUUGUGGGGUGGCUUGUGCGGAGGAGUUGGCAGCUUCUUUCCAGGACCUGGUGGCUUCUCUCCCUUAGGUGGUUUGCCAACUGGGGUUGGUGGCUUGUAUGAGUCUUCAGCAUUCUCUGCAGGAGGGUGACCAGGGUUGUGACCAUAAUGUGGUGGCUUCUCUCCCUUAGGUGGUUUGCCAACUGGGGUUGGUGGCUUGUGUUCUGGGAGUGGCUUCUCCCCCUUGGGAGGUUUUUCCAAUGGGGUUGGUUUGUGUUCAGGAGGUGGCUUCUCCACUGGAGGCUUGUGUUCAGGAGGUGGCUUCUCCACCGGAGGCUUGUGUUCAGGAGGUGGCUUCUCCACCGGAGGCUUAUGCUCUGGUGGUGGCUUCUCCACCGGAGGCUUAUGCUCUGGUGGUGGCUUCUCGAAUGGGGGAUGCUUAGGGUAAUCAGCAAGUGAGGGGGCGGUGAGAACCACCAGGCCAAGCAAGACCACUAGCAAGUAUGUAGGAGACAUCUUUGGGUUUAGACUCAGAUGGUGCAAAACUAGGAGAAUUGUCUUUUAUAGCGGAUCGCACCCAAUAAUGAAAUGACACGUGUCUUUAUGACCCAUGUGUAAUGGGGUCGAUUUGGGUCCUACAGUGUUGAAAACUUCGACAUCCACUUUUGGCCUUUUGCUUUCUCUACAGCCGCCUUGCUUUUUCCCUCUUUCCUUUUGUUUUCCUCCUGCCCCAUUCUAUCAACUAAACACAAUUAUGUAGUUGUUUAAUUCUUAAAUGAGAUAUUAUCCGUCAAUCGUAUCAUAUUUUAUCAACAGAGAACGGAGUGCAAUGUGGCAAUCCAAAGAAAGAAGAUCCAUAAUGCAGCUGUAAUUUUAUCGUUUACUUUUAUCUCUUGGACCACUGCAUUUUUGUUAAGAGGUGCAAUAAUACACGUCUUUAUCUGCCAUUCAAUGUUUACAGUAAAGAGAGGGCACAAAACUCUUCACUGCUCUGCAUGUGUCCCAAAAAUGCAAUUGGACAAAUUAUGAUUUGCAUGCUAAAAAGAGGCAAAUGAGGUUAAUUCGCACCAUAAUUAUUUUGUUUUCUGGACCCCGGGGCCCUUUGGUUGGUUUGGGGGUCAGAAAAUGAACAUCAUAGGGGGUUUUUCCCUUAUGUGCAUUUGUAUCUGAUGGCUUUAACUCGCCUUGUUACUACAAAGAAAUUGUCACAUAUAGGAACUUAUUCCAGGCUGAGUAUCUCCGCAUAGACCCUAUAAAAGAAGACAAGUCAUAAUGAACAUCUAACCUUUGUUCAAUUUGAUUCAAUGCCCCAUUGUGUCCACCUCACAAAUCUGAAUUAUUAUAUCCAUUGAAUACAUAAAUUAAUGAAGAAAAUAUGAAACCCAAGAUACAUCUCUGCACAACCUCAACCCUGGUUGCUAUGUUUCCCUUCUAUUCACAUGAGGAUAUUGAUUACGGAAUAGGGAAACCUAGCAAGGGUUUACUCGGCUCUGGUUUGAUGCUAAUUGCCAAACUUGCAACAAGCCCUGAGUUUGAAGCUCACAGAAGAUGUUAUACAGGCAGGGAAAAACCUUCAGAGUUCGCUGCCAAAGAUAAUUAUUAAGGAGAUAUCACCAAGAGAAUUCCAAGGAGUCUGAAUCAAAGACAAAUUGGUCGUUCGUGGAGGUUCUUACUUUCUUUUGGGUAUAACUCACUGAGGGCACUGUCUUUUUUAUUUUCAUUUCACAUUUAGAGUUCUGUUCUGGAAACAUAUAAAAGGAGCAUCAGUUUGUUCUUGGGUAACCCAUAGUCGUGAGUGGGUCCAUUUGCAUGCUACUUAGUUGAAAAGUUGGACCAUUUGCUCCGACGCCUACCUCCUGGAUUCCAUGCUCGGAUAAAACAAGAAUAAAAAAAUAUUUAUAAUUUACAAAUGGGGGAAAGAAAAAAAUGUCAACAACAAACUAGGAAAAAAGAGUAGUAAAAUUCAUGUCACAUGCUAGUGAGAGAAGGGGUUGUUACACUCACUCGAAGUUCUUUUCAAAAUAUCGCAUGGUAUUUUAUUUUAUGUGUGAGCGCAGUUGUGAAUGGAACGUGCAAAAGUCCAAAUUGGUGACCUUUAAUAAAUAUUUAAAACAAAAAACGAAAAAAAGGAGGGAAAAGGGAUCAGAAAAGAUAAAACAAUGUGUACAAAAGCUCAAUUAGUUUGCAAAUUACUGUUUGGAUUUUGAUAGUAUUUUAUUUGAUGUAAAAGAGAAUUUAAGAUAUUUCCGAAACAAAAGCAUUAGUUUGCUCCAUGUCAAUUUCGGCAUUUCUCAUAUGUUUCACACAUACACAGAAGAGCAUCGUUUUUUAAAGCAUGCAUUUAUGUUGGAUUAAUUUGGAUUUUGUGGGAACUGGGGCAAGGAUCACAUGGAAGAGAGGUUGACUUUUUUCAGUACUUCAAUGGUUGAGACAGGUGAAGGCCUGAUUGAUACUGAAGCCUGAAAUUGCGACUCCGUCAUUUGUCAAAACAUAUGACAGCUUCCAUGCUCUCGUUUGGUUGCAUUGUUCUGUGGUCAUGCAUACAUGCCACUUAGUGAUCAGUCUGUAACUGUCAAUCAUUGGGCUUUGACUGAACAACAUCAGCCAUGUAUAAAUACUUGCAAAUCAAACGGUCUUCUUCCUCCCAUAAGGAAUUUCGGUUUAAUUAUGAAGCAUGCAUUUGGCUGACCAUCAUAAACCACUUCUUUAAAUUGAUGAAUGAUAGUUUUUCAUUCAUUCUUUCAUUCGUUCAUAUACAGAGUAUAUAUAGAGGGUAAUCAUCAUUCUAAGAAUGGGAAAGAAUGAUACAAGGAAAUAAUGAUAUAAAGAAAUAACAACUAAUAUUCUAAUAUCUCAACUUUCCUAAUAUCUAAACAUUCCUAAUAUCUCAACACUAAAUGAUAUAAAGAAAGAAUGAUAUAAGGAAAGCAUUCCUAAUAUCUCAACACUCCUCCUCAAGUUGGUGCAUAGAUGUCAAACAUGUCCAACUUGUCUAAAAAUUUUGAGAACAGUUGACUUGAGACAUCUUUGGUGAGGAUAUCGGUCAAUUGAUCUUCUGAUCGAAUCUUAGGCAAUUCCACAAUCUUAUCAUCCAACUUUUCCUUAAUGAAAAAUCUAUCCAUCUCGACAUGCUUUGUACGAUCAUGUUGUACUAGAUUAUGAGCAAUGUCACAUGCUGCUUUAUUGUCACAAAACAAUCGGAUUGGUUGCCUAGAUAGGUAACCUAAAUCCUAUAAGAGGAGUCUUAGCCAUAAUGCCUCACAAAGUCCUAAAGUCAUACCUCUAAAUUCCGCUUCUGCACUUGAACGAGCGACGACAUUUUGCUUCUUACUUUUCCAUGUCACAAGAUUACCACCUACAAAGGUAAAGUAACCAGAUGUAGAUCGCCUAUCAUCCACUGCACCGACCCAAACAGCAUUAUACUUCUAUACUCUGAUGAUCAACAUUUUUAGCGAACAAAAUUCCCUUCCUAGGAGCAUUCUUCAAAUACCUCAAAAUACGCAUGACUACAUUCAUAUGUUGCUCUCCAGGAUUAUGCAUGUAUUGACUCACUACACUCAAUGUAUAAGCAAGAUCUAGUCUUGUAUGAGCUAAGUACAUUAAUCUCCCCACAAGUCUCUGGUAUCUUCCCUUAUCGAUUGAUACUUGAUUAGGCUCAACACACAAUUUCAGACCUUCUUCUAUUGGUGUAUUAAUAGGUUGACAUCCCGACAUUCCAGUUUCCUGUAGAAGAUCUAAGGCAUACUUUCUUUGAGACAGAAAAAUUCCUUCACUUGAUCGAGAAACUUCAAUCCCAAGAAAGUAUUUCAGACGACCAAGAUCUUUCAUUUCAAAUUCUCUAGAUAGAUACUUUUGCAAAGCUUUUCUUUCUUCAGGAUCAUUUCCUGUAACUACAUGUCAUCCACAUAUAUCAUAAGUGUCGUAAUCUUACCAUGUUGCUUUUUCAAGAACAAAGUGUGAUUUGAAUUACUUUGAUGAUAGCCAAAAGCUCUCAUUGAUUUUGUGAACCUUCCAAACCAUGCUCUCGGGGAUUGCUUCAACCCAUACAAUGACUUCUUCAAUUCGCACACCUUCUGACAUUGCUUUUCUGACACCAUGCAUCCUGGUGGAAGAUCCAUAUAUACUUCUUCAGAUAAAUCGCCAUGCAGAAAGACAUUUUUUACAUCGAACUAUUGUAAUGGCCAAUCUAGGUUUGCAGCUAAAGACAAUAAUACUCGAACUGUGUUGAUCUUAGCUACAGGUGCAAAUGUCUCUGUGUAGUCAAUUCCAUAAGUUUGAAUGUACCCACUAGUCUUGCUUUAAAUCGUUCAAUACUACCAUCUGCCUUGUACUUCACAGUAUAGAUCCAACGACACCCAACUAGCUUCUUUCCUGGUGGACAUUCUACGAGUUCCCAUGUUUCAUUUUUCUGCAAUGAUUUCAUCUCUUCAUUCAUGGUUGCUUUCCACUUUGGAUCAGCUAAAGCUUCCUGCACACUAUUAGGAAUAGCUACAGUAGAUAAUUGAUUUACAAAUGACUUAUUUGAUUCAGACAAACCAUGGUGUGGACCCGCAUUUUUCACGUGCGCCUCUACUCGAUCGGCGAGACUCGCUUUCUAUUUGUGAAAAAUUAAUUUUAGAAAAGUUGGAGUCGCCACCUAUUUUAUUUUUAUUUUGAAGGGAAAAUAAAACAAGAAAGAAAAACCCUAAAAAGUGACUCCAUAGUUUUGGAAAAAGCAUGUCUUUGGGAAACCUGAGUCUAGGUCCGGGGAUCAUGUUACUUAUUGGGAAGGUACCUCUAGGAGGUAGCACCCCUCUAAGCCUUAUGAAGGUCUCUACUAACUAAAUUAAGGGAAGUGUGGCAAUAAAUCGAUUGAUCAUAGAUACCUAAGUAGACUAGGUGAUUUUAAAGUGUGGCAUGUCAAACACAAUCAAAUUGCAAUAAAGGAGAGUUAGGGCGCGUACCUGAACCGCUUCUCAAGCGCUAUCAUAAAACAUCAAUGGUUAAUUUAAAUAAUAUAUCAUCCAGCAUGUAUUUUAUUAGAAAUAAUCAAACAAUGAAACAUGUAUAUCAGAACACUCAAGCAUUAUUAGACAUAAGCAUUAUUUCACUAUUCACAGAAUUCAGAAAGUAGGUGAUAGAGGACAUACCUGGAUAGCAUAGAUAAUUUGUAAUGUGCUUCCUCAAGUUGUAAGGGGUUAGAUAACAAAUAAUAAAAUAUAGAAAUCCUAGCAUGCUCGUUAUCUAAUUAGCAUAGCAAAAGUGAUCACAGUAUACAGAAUCAUCAAUUAUCACAUACAUCUUGUAUAUAAUUCCUAAAAAAAAUAGAUAGACAUGAUUUCAACAAGUGUCAAAUGUGGCAACAAAAAUAAAUUUUGAAAAGAUUUUCUUAUGUAGGGGUUUCACCAAUUCCCCAAAUUAAUAUACACGAAUUUAGCUUAGAAUUAUCCCAUUUAUUUGGGACUACAAGCUUUGAUUCGUGUUUUUGUUCAAAACCAAAAAUUUUUGUUGAAAAUCAAGAAGGAUGCGAACCGAACAAGAUAUGGUUGCAUAUUAUUUUUAAAUAAAUAAAUAAAUAAAUAAAGGAGAUUUUGAUCCUGAGGACUUUAAUGAGUUUUUUUUUUUAAAAUAGAUUUUUAAAAUGAUUUUUUUGAGAAAAGUAUUUUAUUUUAAAAUAAAAGGGAUUAAUUUGGGAAAAAAAUAAAAUAUAAGAAAUAAAAUACCAAACAAAACAAAAAUGAAACCUCAAAGUAAAAUUUUUUUAGUAAUUAACAAAAAUGAUAAUGGUGAUGGUAGAGGGCAAUCUUCAUGAUUUUCCAAUGGCCUCAGAAAGAAAAUCAAAUUAAAUGAAGGAUCACUAACAGGCAAGACAUUCUAAAUUAGACAAACUAACAAAGUAUCAAUUCAUGAACUAACCGCUAGGAUUUUGAAAGCAUAUAAGCUAAGAUAAGGGUGAUCAGGAACUAAUAUUAAUGAUUUUGAAAUAAAAACUAAAAAAAAGGAUCAAUUCGGGUAAGGAACUAAAAUUAUAAAAGUACCUAAACUAAUUAUGACGAGUUUGACUAAAUUAAACUAAAAACAUGAACUUUCAAACAUAGAAUUAAUUUUACUAAUGAACCAAAGCAAACUAAAAAUAUGUACUUUCAAGCAUAGAAUUAAUUUUAUUGAUGAACUAAACUAUAACAAAUAUCUAAACUAAAUAUAAUGAAUCAAAUUAAAUUAAAGCAACUUAAAAACGCAAACUUUCAAACAUAGAAUCAAUUUUAUCAAUGAAUUAAAACUAUAAAUGUAUUUGAACUAAAUAGAUGAAUCAAACUAAAUCAGAGCAAAAUUAAAAAAAAAAAAGAACUUUCUAACAUGAAAUCAAUUUUAUCAACAAAUAAAUGAAUGAAUAACAAGUAAUUAAAAGAAUAGCUACUACAUGAAUAACUGAAUGAAUAAAAUUCAAAUGUUUUCAAUCUGAAGCAAUCAAUCAAAAUUAAAUAGGGAUCAAAUCAAAAUAAUCGAAAUCGGAAAAACAAUAUGCAAUCUUUCUAAAGGUUUAACCAGACAAUUGAAUUAAAAUUAUGAAUAGAAUAAAUUAAUAAACCAAAUCGAAACCUAAAUUGUACCUAAAAAGAUUAAUUAAUUAAACUAAGAAAUCAAAAUCAAUAACAAAACUAAACUAAGGAGUAAAUUAAGACAAGACUAAUUAAAUUAAACUCACAAACACGUUUUAACUAUCAUAUGGAUUAAAACAAAAUUAGCAUGGACUUAUGAAUUACGAACAAAAAUAAUCAAAACUAUUUUAAAAAACUCACCUCUAUUAUAAGAAAAAAUCUGCCUUUGAUGCGUUGAGGUGGCUCCCCUCUCUGUGUGGAUCUCUCUGCUCCCCAGAAAAAAAAUGUCUCUUCCUCCGUUCUCUUUUGUUUCAGCAAAAUAAUAUAUCCCCUGCUGUGGAUCUCUCUACUCCCAGAAAAUAAUAUAUUCUCUCCGUGUCCUAAAGUGGACCUAGGGUGCCUAAGUGGACCUAGGGUGCCUAAAUGGGCCUAGGGUGCCUAAAUGGGCCAAGUGUAUCUAAAUAGGCUUAGGGUGCCUAAGUGGGCCUAAGUCUAAGUGAGCCUAAGUCUAAAUCAAGACUACCAAGGAUCAUAAUAAGGGGUUAGGCAAUCCCUUAACCAAAGUCUCCAAGGUGGCUAAAAAAAAGUAAGUAGUAUGAGUAGCUAUGGGUCACCAAGGAACUACUGUGGAGCAUUGAAAACGAAUUUAAAGACAUGUGCCAAAGGGACAAAAUUGAGGGUCUACAGAUGGUUAGACACAUAGUUGCUCAUGGGAUAUUUGACUUUGGUAAACAAUUCAGAUUCAUAUGUGGGUUUAGGAAUACCUUUAUUAUGACGGUGUGGUAAUCGUUUCAUGAAUGGAUCAGGUUGCAAAUUAAGAACACCCUCAGCAAACAACGAUUGGUUUGGUAUUUCAGUGAAGACAUCUUCGAACCCAAAUUGUUGACCACUCAUAUCCAACUCACCCGCUUCCUGGUUCACUAGUUCAGAUUGUCCAAAUUCAUCAUUCUCAUAGAUAUGAUAAUCAUAAUCGAGAGUCUGAAUUUCCUUAUGGUACUCCCCCUGAAGUUCAGACUUAGAUGAAAAAUACAUCGAAUAUUCAUGAAACAGCNNNNNNNNNNNNNNNNNNNNNNNNNNNNNNNNNNNNNNNNNNNNNNNNNNNNNNNNNNNNNNNNNNNNNNNNNNNNNNNNNNNNNNNNNNNNNNNNNNNNNNNNNNNNNNNNNNNNNNNNNNNNNNNNNNNNNNNNNNNNNNNNNNNNNNNNNNNNNNNNNNNNNNNNNNNNNNNNNNNNNNNNNNNNNNNNNNNNNNNNNNNNNNNNNNNNNNNNNNNNNNNNNNNNNNNNNNNNNNNNNNNNNNNNNNNNNNNNNNNNNNNNNNNNNNNNNNNNNNNNNNNNNNNNNNNNNNNNNNNNNNNNNNNNNNNNNNNNNNNNNNNNNNNNNNNNNNNNNNNNNNNNNNNNNNNNNNNNNNNNNNNNNNNNNNNNNNNNNNNNNNNNNNNNNNNNNNNNNNNNNNNNNNNNNNNNNNNNNNNNNNNNNNNNNNNNNNNNNNNNNNNNNNNNNNNNNNNNNNNNNNNNNNNNNNNNNNNNNNNNNNNNNNNNNNNNNNNNNNNNNNNNNNNNNNNNNNNNNNNNNNNNNNNNNNNNNNNNNNNNNNNNNNNNNNNNNNNNNNNNNNNNNNNNNNNNNNNNNNNNNNNNNNNNNNNNNNNNNNNNNNNNNNNNNNNNNNNNNNNNNNNNNNNNNNNNNNNNNNNNNNNNNNNNNNNNNNNNNNNNNNNNNNNNNNNNNNNNNNNNNNNNNNNNNNNNNNNNNNNNNNNNNNNNNNNNNNNNNNNNNNNNNNNNNNNNNNNNNNNNNNNNNNNNNNNNNNNNNNNNNNNNNNNNNNNNNNNNNNNNNNNNNNNNNNNNNNNNNNNNNNNNNNNNNNNNNNNNNNNNNNNNNNNNNNNNNNNNNNNNNNNNNNNNNNNNNNNNNNNNNNNNNNNNNNNNNNNNNNNNNNNNNNNNNNNNNNNNNNNNNNNNNNNNNNNNNNNNNNNNNNNNNNNNNNNNNNNNNNNNNNNNNNNNNNNNNNNNNNNNNNNNNNNNNNNNNNNNNNNNNNNNNNNNNNNNNNNNNNNNNNNNNNNNNNNNNNNNNNNNNNNNNNNNNNNNNNNNNNNNNNNNNNNNNNNNNNNNNNNNNNNNNNNNNNNNNNNNNNNNNNNNNNNNNNNNNNNNNNNNNNNNNNNNNNNNNNNNNNNNNNNNNNNNNNNNNNNNNNNNNNNNNNNNNNNNNNNNNNNNNNNNNNNNNNNNNNNNNNNNNNNNNNNNNNNNNNNNNNNNNNNNNNNNNNNNNNNNNNNNNNNNNNNNNNNNNNNNNNNNNNNNNNNNNNNNNNNNNNNNNNNNNNNNNNNNNNNNNNNNNNNNNNNNNNNNNNNNNNNNNNNNNNNNNNNNNNNNNNNNNNNNNNNNNNNNNNNNNNNNNNNNNNNNNNNNNNNNNNNNNNNNNNNNNNNNNNNNNNNNNNNNNNNNNNNNNNNNNNNNNNNNNNNNNNNNNNNNNNNNNNNNNNNNNNNNNNNNNNNNNNNNNNNNNNNNNNNNNNNNNNNNNNNNNNNNNNNNNNNNNNNNNNNNNNNNNNNNNNNNNNNNNNNNNNNNNNNNNAACCAAAGGAAGCAUGUUCCAGACGUCGAUGCCACAACCAAAUUUCAGACUUUUUCUUCUCCUCCUUAGAUCCAUCUGCCAUCAAGGCUUGUUGCAACUUAUUUGAAUCCUUUGAUUGCAAGUCCAAGUAUAGAGUUUCCCCCGCUUAAUACGACAACCAAUCGUCUGUCUUGUUUGAAUGUCCUUAAUCACACAAAAUUCAGGCCAAAAAAUGACAAUACAAGAUAAGGCUGCAGUGAUUUGAGAAACUAACAAAAGAUUGUAAUCUAAAGAUGGAACAACUAAAACAGAAUCCAAAUUCAAAGUAUCAGUAAGAGUUAAGGAUCCUUCCCCAAUGACUGGGGUUGUGUUACCAUUGGCUGUGGAAACAAUUUUUUGUGAGGAAGGUCUAAGGGGUGAAACCUGUCUAGAAUCAAAAGUCAUAUGAUCUGUAGCACCAGAAUCAAUUAUCCAUGCACUAUUAAUAACAGGUGUAAAAGUAUUUAAAAACUUACCACAAUGAUCUGUAGCGGCUACUAAUGCAGAGACUUUCUCAACAACAUUAGUCUUUGUUUUUAUUUCGGUAACAGUUGCAAUCAAGGUUUUCUUGGAAUUCUUCUUCCGUUGAUCACGAUUAUUAUCAUUAAUAACAAAGUGUUGAUAGCCUAAACAUGAUCUAAAGGUCCAUGGUGCAAACCCUCGGUUCCUCAUUGUUUUCCUGGUCAUACCAAGAGUUGUUGCUUUGAAAUUGUGGGAUAUCCAGACUGGUGGGAUCAGUUUUAUUGCAGUGAGUGCAUUUGAAUGUUGACUUAUCAAUAUUAGGGCUUGUCUUCGGAUGGUUGAUUGCUGUUGGACUACCAUAGCGACAAAAUAUCCAGGAUUUCAAUUCCAGGGCUCUGAUACCAUCUUCAAAUUGAUGAAUGAUAGUUUUUCAUUCAUUCUUUCAUGUACAGAGUAUAUAUAGAGGGUAAUCACCAUUCUAAGAAUGGGAAAGAAUGAUACGAGGAAAUAAUGAUAUAAGGAAAUAAUAACUAAUAUCCUAAUAUCUCAACUUUCCUAAUAUCUCAAUAUUCCUAAUAUCUCAACUUUCCUAAUAUCUAAACAUUCAUAAUAUCUCAACACUAAAUGAUACAAGGAAAGAAUGAUAUAAGGAAAACAUUCCUAAUAUCUCAACACCACUUCAUGAUAUAUAUAGUUUCUUACCCUUAAUCAAUGGUUUCUAAGUGAAUUUAUAUAGAAAGAAAUCCAAACUGUAGACAGCAGUAUUGGUAACACUCAAUAUUCUGUAUAUAAUAGAAUAAAUAGCGUCACAGUGAUCGUCGCCUACAAGCAAGGUACAAAUACCACAAAGAGUGACCCACAUAGACAUUCCCCAACAAGAUGUAGUAGUGACUGACACAUAGCCACAAUUAACACGUAGAAAAGGAUAAGACCGGUGCACAGUAGCUCUUAUUUUACAUACUACUUAUGCCAACCAAAGUCACUCAGUUGGGAUGGGAGGGAGAUGGAGGUUUGUGCGGUGGCUUGUGGGGCGGAGUUGAUGGCUUCUUUCCAGGAGCUUCUGGCUUUUUCAUCGGAGCUGAAGGAGGCUCAAUCUUAUGAGGCGGCUUGUACGAGUCUUCUUUGCUCUCGAAAGGAGGGUGGCCAGGGUUGUGACCAUAAUGUGGUGGUUUCUCUCCCUUGGGAGGUUUACCAAUUGGGGUUGGUGGCUUGUGUUCUGGGAGUGGUUUCUCUCCCUUGGGAGGUUUAGUGGGUGACUUGUGUUCUGGAGGUGGCUUCUCCACCGAAGGCUUGUGCUCCGGUGGUGGCUUUUUGGUUGGAGGGGGCUUGGGGUAAUCAGCAAGAGAUGGGGUGGUGAGAACCACCAGUCCAAGGAACAACACUAGCAAGUAUGUGGGAGACAUUUUUGAGUUUGGGCUGAUCAGAUGAUGCAAAACUAAAGCAUUACGUGACCUUUUAUAGCAAGUAGCUCCCAAUACCUACUUGACACGUGUUACUGUGACCCAUAAAUAUUAUGGGGUCUAUUUGUGCCCUACCGGGUUGAAAACUUGGACAAUUGGGCAAGGACCCGCCUGACUAUGGAGGACUACUGAGGUGUGAUCACAGCUUUAGGAUUUUUCUUCCUCUGCAGCCGUCUUGCCGUUGGCAUGAUUUUCUUAAUCUCAAAUAAAGGCAUAGUUAUAGAGUUGUUUAAUCUCUAAAUGGGAUUUUAUAUAUCUUCAGAUAGCCAUUAAUACAUUUGAUGAAGAAAGAAAGACAAGUGCAUACAACAUGUAUACGACUAGCUUUCAUGGAGUUCAUUUAUGAUCAGUUUUCCUGUACAUGUAAACCAAGAUCAUAUAUGUUUUUGUUCCACAACAAUUUUGGAAUCUUGUUUAUCCGUUUUUAUCAUUAUAAUGUCACAUAGGCUGCCAACUUGGGCGCUAAAUUAAAGAUCCAGUUGGGCAAGUUCGUUUCAGAAUUUCAAUGGUGGAUUCAGGAAUUGUUUUAUAAGAUAUGCAAAAUAGUAGAGGGAUGAAUAGUGUUUCAUUAAGAAAAGAGCCCUGUAAAAAUAUUGUUUAAAGGUGCCAUAGAAACUAUAAUCAAUAAAUAACUUUUUUUCCCCAUGGGUGGUGUUUCUUGUGGGGAUCAGUGACUGGUUUGAGUCAACGCCGUGUCUCUUUAGUCCAGAAAUCAACUAUUUUAUGCAUUGAAUACAUCAACAAAGAAAAUAUGAAAGCCAAAUGACACCUCCCCCGCAAAAACUAAACCCUGGUUGCUAACUUUCUAUGUUUCAGUUCCAUUCACACAAGAAUAUUAGUUCAAGUUUGAGAAAAAUGGCGACUUACCUAGUGAUAACUCGGUCUUGGUUUGCGAUUUGACUUUAACGUCAUGGGUUGAAGCCUCCUACAAUCAUCGUGUAUGCUAGUUCAAAGCUCGUGGAAGAAGUUAUACAGGGAGGGAGAAACCUCCACAGCAAGCUCCAAAAGAGAAUUAUCACAUUGAAAGCUCCAGUUGAACACUGGGUGAAAGCCAUAACAAGAUUGGUUUUCUAUCGCUCUUUUAAGUAAUGGAAGAUUAUUAUCUCUGCUUGUCACUACAACCGUGCAUGCUGCUAGAUCUUUCUAGACACUUCAAACAGUGAAACCAAGUAUGAUUCUUUUUCUCUUGAGUGGGUCCACUUGCAUGCCAAUGAACGAGUUGAAAAGUUGGACAAUUGGCCACAGCGCGCACUUACCUUCUGGAACCGAAGGUCAGUGAAGUGGGGUUCCUUUUGGCCCCUUGUGUUUCUGUUCCAACCUACUCCAGGAACCGAAGUUCAGUGAAGUGGGGCUACUUUUGGCCUCUUGUGUUUCUGUUCCAACCAAACAAAAAUGGGAGGGAAAAAUAGCAUUAUGCUUGUGCUAAAGAUCAACGCAUGAUAGCUGAAUAAGGGAGAAAAAGGCAUUGCUAUCUCAAUUUCAUAAACUUGAUAAGUAGUGACAUUAAUAGUCUUCCUCAUAGAUGGAUACAUGGUUUUAUUUUAUUUAUUUAUUUUUAUUUUUUUGUUUUAUGUCAAUGCUAAUGAAUGAAGUGCAUUAGCUUGUUUUGUGACUAGAACUACAAAUGUCCAAAUUGGAGCUUCUCCAAUAUAUUUCUCAGUGAGUUAUUGAUUAGAACUCUUGGAUUGAGUUCCAAGAUUUGAAUCAGACCCCUCUAGCAGCUUCAGGGGUACGUAGCAACCUAUAGCAUAUUAAUGAAGACUUAGGAUUUAGACUUAGGAAUACAAAUUAAUAUGUACCUCAUGCUCUGACUAGCUUCCCUGCGUAUGCACAAAAUGGAGAUGACUCCCAAAAAAAUAGCAGAAUCGCCUUAGUAUGUUUUUGUGGUUAAGAUGAUUCUCCACUUUAUAUAUCCACAUUGGUUCAUUAUGCAAAUUAAUCAACUAAGCUAUUUUUAUUUUUUCUUAAAUGUGAAAUAGGAGCUCCAAAUUAACCUAACCAUUGGCCUGAUUGAAUUGAUUUCACUUGCAUAAUGUUAUAGUAGAAGUCCGUAAUUUGAAUUUUAUUUUUGCAAAAGGUAACGUAAAUGAAGCAUUGUAAUUAAAUUUAUUUGUAAUUACAAACUAAUUUUAUUUUAUUAAGAAUUAAUUUAAUUACUCAUUUAAAAUAAAAAUCAGUUAUACUUUUACCAAGAUGAUAAUAUUCAUAUUUUUCUAGUUAACAUAUAUAAAAUAGUACACUUUUUCAUAUAAAAAAAUAAUUUAUGAUUUAUUAUAAUGUUACUAUUCACAUUUUACUAAAUUGAUGGUACAUGAUAGUGAGAGAAGGGGGUGUCACACUCAGCUAAAGUUCUUUUCAAAAUAUUGCAUGGUGUUUAAUUUUAUGUGUCGGCGCGCGUGUGAAUGGAACCUGCAAAAGUCCAAAUUGGCGUUUCUCCAUUUUCCACAUAGGAUGGUGACGUUAAUAGACAAAGAUACAAUAUCUGUAGACAUUGCUUAAAAAUCGAUGUGAAGUAUUAGAAAUUACAGGGCACUGUACUGGGGGAGCGGCUGCCCCGCCAAAGGAGGAAGAAUGUAGCAAUUUCUUCUGUUAGCCAGGCCUUAGGAUUUAUGCAUGGGAUGCCUAAUAACAAACAGAGAAAAUAUACUUUUGGGGAAGGUAUCCAACAACAGACACCAUCAUUCAGAUGGUGGGAAGGUAUCCAACAGAUGCCAUCAUUCAGAUGGUAACAUAUAUAUACAUUUAUUAGUGAGUUUUUUUAAUACCUAUAAAAAAAAAUAUACACUUUGAUAUUGUGGCUGAAUCCAUUACAUACUCAACUAACCUUGCUCAUUAGGGAUUUGACUUAACAAGGGCAACGUUGCAGUACAAGCUCAAAACUUUAUGCAGGUGACAUUACAUUUGGUAAAGAAGAGGAAAAUAACGAAAGCCAUCCAUAAAAGCAAAAUUCCACAUGGGAUGAAAUUCACAAGCUUCAUUUACGAUAGAGUCGCAUCCAGGCAAUUAAUUCCACAUUAGACCGCCUGUUGACAUGUGUACCAAUCUUUUUUCAAAAAAUAUUUAUAAAUAAUUGAUACUCACAAAAAUAAUUUAAUAUUUAUAAAGGAUAAAAAAAUAUUUUCAAAUCUAUAACAAUUUAUAAAAUAUUAAUAAAAAAUUAUCUCUUAAACUUAGUAUAGUUUUAUCAGAUUAAACUUUUAUUUUGAACAAAUAAUUUUAAUCUAAGUUUUAAAUUCUAAAAUUAUUUCCUUAAAAUAAAAUUUUAAAAUUCAACACUUCAAUUGAAAUUGUCUUUUUAAAAAAUAUCUUCUUAUUUUAAUCCUUAUAAACUAUAGUUGAUUGAAAAUACUAUUGAAGUUCUCUCUUAAAAAAAAGUCUUAUUUUAAUCUUCAUAAAUUGCCCUUGAUUUGAAAAUAAAUUUUCAGUUAUCAUAUUUUAAAUAAUAUCUAUAUUUAAAAUACUCUAUUUAAAAAAAAAUGAACUAAUUUUAAUUAUAUUAUAUUUUAUUUUUUUAUAUAUUUUUAAUGAUAAACCAAACAUAGAAAAUCAUUUUUCUAAAUAUUUUAAAAUUUCUAAGCAACCAAACAUAAUCUUCAAAAUAAAAGGAAAAUAAGGAGGGACAUUUGAGAAAUGGCGAUUAAAAAAAAGUGUACAAAAGCUCAAUUAAUUUUCUUCUAGUCUUUUAUAUAAAAAAGUAAAGGAAUUGAAAAGUAUUGAUAUGUAAAUUAAUAUUUGGAUUUUAAUAGUAUUUUAUUUGUCUUUCUCUAUCUCAUGUAAAAGAGAAUUUAAGAUAUUUCCUAAAGCAAAGCAUUAGUUAUCUGCAAUCAGUGGUGAUCAUGCCCCAUGUCAAUUUCGGACCCAUAUCUUAAAACUGUAUAAUUUGCAUUCAAACAUUACUGAUUUCUCAGAUGUUUCAUACUCCACAGAAGAGCAUUGUUUGUGAAAGCAUGCAUUUAUGUUGGAUUUUGGAUGAUGUGGGAACUGGGGCAAGGAUCAUAUGGAAGAGUGGUCGAUUUUGUUCUGUACUUUAACAUUUGAAAUAGGAGAAGCUCGGGCAUUUGUGGGGCUUAAUUGAUUUUGAAGCCUGAAAUUGCGUUUCUGUCAUUUUGUAAAAAAUAUGGCAGAUUCCAUGCUCUCAUAUGUUUGGUCUGUGGCCAUGUAUAGAUGCCCCUUAGUGACCAGUUUGUAACUGUCAAUCAUAGUGUUUUGACUCUGGCUCAACAACAUCAGCCAUUGACGGAUUUUCAUACUUGCAAAUCAAAUAGUCUUCUUCCUCCCUUAGGAAUUUCGGUUUAAAUGUUAUUAAGCAUACAUUUGGCUGACAAUUAUUAACCACUUCAUGAUAUGGUUUCUUACCCUUAAUCAAUGGUUUCUAAGUGAAUAUAUGCAGAAGGAAAUCUGAACUGUAGACAGCAGUAUUGAUAACUCUCAAUAUUCUUUAUAUAAGAGAAUAAACAACGUCAUAGUGAUCGUCGCCUACAAGAAAGGUACAUUUCCCAACAAGAUGUAGUUGUGACUGGUACAUGGACGCAAUUAACUCGUACAAAAGAAUAAGACCAGUGCACGGCAGCUCUUAUUUUACAUGCUAAUUAUGCUAACCAAAGUCACUCAGUUGGGAUGGGAGGGAGAUGGAGGUUUGUGCGGUGGCUUGUGGGGCGGAGUUGGUGGCUUCUUUUCAGGAGCUUGUGGCUUUUUCGGAGCUGAAGGAGGCUCAAUCUUAUGAGGCGGCUUGUACGAGUCUUCUUUACUCUCGACAGGAGGGUGGCCAGGGUUGUGACCAUAAUGUGGUGGCUUCUCUCCCUUAGGUGGCUUGCCAACUGGGGUUGGUGGCUUGUGUUCAGGAAGUGGUUUCUCUCCCUUGGGAGGUUUACCAAUUGGGGUUGGUGGCUUGUGUUCUGGGAGUGGUUUCUCUCCCUUGGGAGGUUUAGUGGGUGACUUGUGUUCUGGAGGUGGCUUCUCCACCGGAGGCUUGUGCUCCGGUGGUGGCUUCUCCACCGGAGGCUUGUGCUCCGGUGGUGGCUUCUUGAUUGGAGGGGGCUUGGGGUAAUCAGCAAGAGAUGGGAUGGUGAGAACCACCACUCCAAGGAACAACACUAGCAAGUAUGUGGGAGACAUUUCUGAGUUUGAGCUGAUCAGAUGAUGCAAAACUAGAAGAAUUACGGGACCUUUUAUAGCAAGUAUCUCCCAAUACCCACAUGACACGUGUUACUAUGACCAUAAAUAUUAUAGGGUCCAUUUGUGCCCUACCGGGUUGAAAACUUGGACGCUUGGCCGAGGACACACCUGACUAUGGAGGACUAUUGACGUGUGAUCACAGCUUUUGGAUUUUUCUUCCUGUGCAGCUGUCUAGCGGUUGGCAUUAUUUUCUUAAUCUUAAAUAAAGGCAUAGUUAUAGAGUUGUUUAAUCUCUAAAUGGGAUUUUAUAUAUCUUCAGAUAGCCAUUAAUAUAUUUGAUGAAGAAAGACAAGUGCAUACAACAUGUAUACGGCUUGCUUCAAUCGAGUACAUUUAUGAUCAGUUUUCCUGUGCAAGUAAACCAGUUUUUUGUUCCACAACUAUUUUGGAAUCUUGUUUAUCAGUUUCUAUCAUUAUAAUGUCACAUAGGCUGCAAACUUGGGCACCCAAAGAUCUAGGUGGGCAAAUUUGUUUCAGACUUUCAAUGGUGGAUUCAGUAAUUGUUAAAAGGUGUUUCUUCAUUAAGGAAAGAGUCCGGUAAAAAUAUUGUUAAAAGGUGUCAUAGAAACUAUAAUAAAUAAAUAACUUCUUUUCCCCAUGGGUGGUGUUUCUUCUGGGGAUCAGUGACUGGUUAGGGUCACCCAAAAUGAGUCCAGAUUAAAAUUGGUUCGAGUCAAAGCAGUCUCUUUUGUCCAGAAAUCAACUAUUUUGCGCAUUGAAUGAAUCGAUAAAGAAAAAAUGAAAGCCAAAUCACACCUCCCCUGCAAAACCUAAACCCCGGUUGCUAACUUUCUAUGUUUCAGUCCUAUUCAUAUAGGAAUAUUGGUUCAAGUUUGAGAAAAAUGGCAACUUACCUAGGGUUUACUUGGUUUUGGUUUGCGACUAUUUACGCAACCAACCAUGAGUUUGACUUUAACGUCAUGGGUUGAAGCCUCCUACAAUCAUGUAUGAUAGUUCAAAGCUCGUGGAAGAAAUUAUACAGGAAGGAAGAAACCUCCAAAGCUAGCUCCAAAAGAGAAUUAUCACAUCGAUAGCUCCAGAGAUUCCCAAGGGAACUGAAUCAAAGACAAGUUCCUCACUUUUUCUUCUUUUGAGGCCAAAUAUGAACCAAGGAUCACACGACCUCAUUCAACUUCAUAAGUUUGAUUUCAUGCAGUUGAACACUGGGUGAAGGCCAUGACAAGAAUUGAUUAAAAAAUUCUACCACUCUUUUAAGUAAUGGAAGAUUAUUAUCUCUGAUUGGCACCACAACAGCACAUGCUGCUAGAUCUUUCUAGACACUCCAUGCAAUGAAAGCACAAUGGAUCUUGUAAUGAUAGAAACUAAGCCAUGCUACAGUACUAGAUGAGGGGGUAAAACUAGUAGACAUCUUUCUAGACACUCCAUGCAAUGAAAGCACAAUGGAUCUUGUAAUGAUAGAAACUAAGCCAUGCUACAGUACUAGAUGAGGUGGUAAAACUAGUAGACAUGGCUGGCAGUUGAUUACUACUCAAAAAGUACUCUUUUAUAGCUUGAAACUAACUGUUUUAAACACUUUUGAGUAGUAGUUAAUACCUUUUAACUUAAUUGGCACAUUAAGGAACCUAGCAAGGGUUACUAAUCAACAUUUGGCAAGUUUUGAUGUUUUUGGUAGCUAUUUGAUCAUUGAAACAAGCCAAGAAUGAGGGGGAAUUUUGUGAAGUCCAUGGCAAUGCAAGUUAAAGCUCAAAUACAUGAAGAAUCCAAGCUUUGGAGCACUUCAUAGCCCUUUGCCAAGCCAAUCAAAGAUGCAAGGAAGAAAACCAAAGGAAGAAAUCCAACAAUCAGCAUUUUGGCAUGGCUAUGUGAAAUUUCGCACACCAUGCGAAACCACAAGAGGCAGCCAAAGAAUUUCGCAUGGUAUGCGAAAUCUUCUUGUGCACUGACUCUGUUAGAUUUUUAUCUUCAGAUAUUUUGUGUAAUUUCCUAGUUUCUCCUUGUAACCAACUUAGAUAUUUUCUUUUAUAUCUUUUUUUAUAUUUUUUAGGUAACAUCAUAUAUAAGAGGAGAGACAUAAGGAGGAUAUGGAUGUUUUUCAUAGAACACUUGUAAAUUUUUGGUAGUAAGAAAUAUACAAAGCUUUUUGCUCUGCCUUACCUUCUCAAGGGAUGAGUGGCUAGGUUUUCUUGGAGUGAGGGAAGCUAGGUGAAGGACCUGAAUGCAAAGGUGGGAGUUUUCCUUACUUUAAAUGAAAGUAGUUGUUAAACAUUAAUGGUUUUUAUUUUAAGGUUUAGCUUUAAAUCCCUGAAAAACACCUUGAAUGGCCAAUACUUGGUAAGCUUUUUAGAUUCUAUGGAUGCUUAUUGCUAGAUCCAUGGAUGUCUAUUAGUUAUCAUUUACGAGCCAUUGGAAGGUGAUUCAAGGUGAGGGUCUUUAGUGUUUGAAGCCAUUAAUGGGAAGCAAUUACCAUUUUUUCAUGAAUCCUUUGGAUCAAAUCUUAAUUGCUAAAUAUAAAACCGGUUUCGAGAGAUAACCACCAUCCUUUAUGUUAUUAUCCCCAACGCGAGGAGAAGAUCCGAAAUCUUCCUUUUUAUCUAAGGAACCCGAUCCUAGUGACCUAAAGCUCCAAGAUACCUUUUCUUUGUAGUUAACUUCAUUUAUUGUUUUUGCUUAACUUAAAAUCAAUCUUUGCAACCACAAUUCCAUUUUCUUUAAAAGCUAAUUUUUAUAAGGAAAAACACCAUUUUAUUUCCUUCACUAAGUCAACUGUACGAUGAAAACCCAUCCCUGUGGACGAUCCUAGAGCCACUAUACUAUGUUAGCUAUGCUACCCUAGUGUGAGGUGAUUUAGGUUUUAUAAAUUUUUUUGAUAACACCCAUCUGAGCCAGAAUCAAAUGGCACGACUGAACCAGGGACGAAUCAAAUGACGCCGCUACCAAGGAUGGUGCCAAAGUACAUUGACAUGACUUUUGGUGAACACUUGUGAUCUUCACCACAAGUUUGGUGAUUUUUCUUUUACUAAUUUUUUUUAUUUUAGCUUAUCUUUUAUUUAGUUUUUAGUUAACCUUAAAUUUUUCCUAGAAUUGUAUUUCUUUUGUUUUCUUUGUUUUUGUUUCAGUGAUCUUUAGUUGUGCAUGCCCUAUUGGAUAAGAGAUAUUGAGGGAAUACUUGUGAAGAUUGAAACUCCUCGAGAAACUGAGUUAGAAGUGUGCUUGAACAUCAUGGAUGUUCCACCUGAAGACCAGAAUAGCCAACAUGGUUAAGAGGAUAAUUUCAACACAUACCGAUCCAUGAGGAACCGCAUACAUCCACCUUGUAUGAGUGCACCGUCAGGCAUAAUGCCUCCCACUGAGCAGCUAGUAAUCUGACCUCACAUUGUGCCACUCCUACCUACUUUCCAUGGGAUGGAGAGUGAGAAUCCCUACUCGCAUAUUAAGGAAUUCGAGGAGGUUUGUAAUACAUUCCAAGAAGGAGGAGCUUCAAUUGACUUGAUGAGGCUCAAGCUAUUUCCUUUCACUUUGAAGGAUAAGGCCAAGAUUUGGCUUAAUUCUUUAAGGCCAAGAAGUAUCCAAACUUGGAUUGAUUUGUAAGCCGAGUUUCUUAAGAAGUUCUUCCCUACCCAUAGGACCAAUGGUUUGAAAAGGCAAAAUUUGAACUUCUCAGUUAAAGAGAAUGAGAAAUUCUAUGAGUGUUGGGAGAGCUACAUGGAAGCUAUUAACGUUUGUCCUCACCAUGGCUUUGACACAUGGCUCUUAGUGAGCUAUUUUUACAAUGGUAUGUCUUCUUCAAUGAAGCAACUCCUAGAAACUAUGUGUGGAGGAGACUUCAUGAGUAAGAAUCCGGAGGAAGCCAUGGACUUUUUGAGUUAUGUGGCUGAAGUUUCAAGAGGAUGGGAUGAACCAAAUGCUAGAGAGGUGGGAAGAAUGAAGUCUCAACCUAAUGCUAAGGGUGAGAUGUAUGUUUUGAAUGAAGACAUUGACAUGAAAGCAAAGGUUGCAGCUAUGGCAAGGAGAUUGGAAGAGCUAGAAAUGAAGAACAUACAAAAAGUGCAAGCCAUUUCUGAGACAUCAAUGAAAGCUAUGCCUUGUUCCAUUUGUCAAUCUUAUAAGCACCUAGUGGAGGAGUGUCCUACAAUUCCAGCAGUGAGAGAGAUGUUUGGUGAUCAAGCAAAUGUUAUUGAUCAAUUCAAGCCUAAUAACAAUGCUUCAUAUGGCAACACCUACAAUUCAAAUUGGAGGAACCAUUCAAAUUUCUCUUGGAAACGAAAGCCACCUCAAUACACACAACCUACUCAAGCACCUUAGCAAUCCUCGAAUCUUGAACAAGCUAUUGUGAACCUUAGCAAGGUUGUGGGAGACUUUGUGGGAGAUCAGAAGUCCAUCAAUGCUCAACUGAAUCGGAGAAUUGACAGUGUGGAGAGUACAUUGAACAAAAGGAUGGAUGAGAUGUAAAAUGAUCUGUCUCAAAAGAUAGACAAUGUCCAAUACGUAAUCUCAAGGCUUACCAACCUCAACACAGUGUAAGAGAAAGGAAAGUUUCCUUCUCAACCUCAUCAAAAUCCUAAGGGUAUCCAUGAAGUAGAGGCUCAAGAGGGAGAAUCUUCAAAGGUGAGGGAAGUCAAAGUAGUUAUCACCUUGAAGAGUGGUAAAGAGGUUGAUCAACCCACAUCCAAGCCAAAGCAUAAUGAAGAGAGUGUAGCAGAAAAAGAAAAGAGAGGAAAAUAAAGGAAUUAGAAUAGAGAAAAAUACAAAGAAAGAUGACCAUGAGUCUAGUGUGGAUGAAGAGCCCGAGAGGAUGGUGAUCAAGGAAGAUAUGAUGAAGAAACACAUGCCUCCACCUUUCCCCUAAGCUUUGCAUGACAAAAAAAGAACCAAUAAUACAUCAGAAAAUUUUGAAGUAUUGAGGCAAGUGAAGGUCAAUAUCCCUUUGCUAGACAUGAUCAAACAAGUGUCGACAUAUGAAAAAUUCUUGAAGGACUUGUGCACUGUAAAGAGAGGGUUGAAUGUGAACAAGAAAGCUUUAUUGACCGAGCAAGUGAGUUCCAUCAUACAGUGCAAGUCCUAGUGAAGUACAAAGAUCCGGGUUGCCGUACCAUCUCAGUGAGUAUUGGAAGGACUUGUGUGGAGAAAGCUUUGUUGGACUUGGGAGCAAGUGUGAAUUUGCUAUCCUACUCUGUCUAUAAGCAGUUGGGAUUUGGAGAGUUGAAGCCAAUAUCCAUCACUCUAUCUCUAGCGGAUAGAUCAAUGAAGAUUCCAAGAGGGAUGAUCGAAGAUGUCCUGGUUCAAGUUAACAAAUUCUACUAUCCAGUAGAUUUUGUUGUUCUUGAUAUGGAUCCGGUUGUCAAAUGAACUAAUUAUGUUCCUAUCAUACUUGGAAGACCCUUCCUAGCUACAUCAAAUGCAAUCAUCAAUUGUAGGAAUGGAGUCAUGCAACUCACAUUUGUCAACAUGACAUUAGAGCUCAACAUCUUCCAUUUGUACAAGAAGCAUAUCCAUCAGGAGGAAAAAGAAGGUCUAGAGGAAGUGUGAAUGAUUGACACUUUAGUGGAAGAGCAUUGUGAUCGAGAAUGCAAAAAGAUUUAGUUGAGAAUUUUGGGGAUCUUGAUGAAAGGUUACUUGAACCCUCAGAUUUGCUUGCUACCCUACUCCAUUGGAAGAGAAGAGAAGAAAUUCUACCCUUAUUCAAUGAGGAGGAGACGCAAAGAGCUGCAAAGGAGAAACCCCCAAAACUUAUUCUUAAGCCACUACCCACAGAGUUGAAGUAUGUAUACUUGGAAGAAGACAAGAAGUGCCCUAUUGUUAUAUCUUCAACUCUUACCAUUCAUCAGGAGGAUUGUCUACUUGAAGUCCUUAGAAGAUGUAAGAAGACAAUAAGGUGGCUAAUUUCUUAUUUGAAAGGGAUCAGCCCUUUAGUCUGCACCCAUCAUAUUUACAUGGAGGAUGAAGCUAAGCUAAUUCAUCAACCUCAGAGAAGGUUGAACCCUCACAUGCAAGAGGUGGUUCGAGCUGAAGUUCUGAAGCUACUUCAGACCAGUAUUAUUUACCCCAUAUCAAAUAGCCCAUGGGUGAGUCCUACUCAAGUUGCGCCAAAGAAGUCUGGGAUCAUGGUGGUGCAAAAUGAUAAGGGAGAAGAUGUCUCUACACGCCUCACUACAGGUUGGAGGGUGUGUAUCAAUUACAGGAGGUUGAAUGCAGUGAUAAGAAAGGACCAUUUCUCAUUGCCCUUUAUUGAUCAGGUGCUUGAGAGGGUCUCUGGGCUUUUUUUUUUAUUGUUUCUUGGAUGGCUACUCCGGGUACUUUCAGAUAGAAAUUGAUGUUGAAAACCAAGAUAAGACCAUUUUCACAUGCCCAUUUGGAACCUAUGCAUAAAGGAGAAUGCCUUUCGGCUUAUGCAAUGCACCCGCAACUUUCCAAAGAUGCAUGUUAAGCAUUUUCAGUGAUAUGGUGGAGCGUAUUAUGGAAGUCUUUAUGGAUGAUAUCACCAUUUAUGGAAGUGCAUUUGAUGAAUGCUUGGUCAACUUAGAAGCUGUUCUGAACCGAUACAUUGAGAAAGACUUAGUGCUUAACUGGGAGAAGUGCCAUUUCAUGGUACACCAAGGGAUUGUCCUUGGGCACAUUAUCUCCAAGCAAGGCAUUGAAGUUGACAAAGCAAAGGUUGAACUCAUUGUUAAGUUGCCAUCCUCAACAAAUGUCAAAGGAGUAAGGCAAUUCUUUGGCCAUGUCGGGUUCUAUAGGAGGUUUAUCAAGGAUUUCUCUAAGCUUGCAAGGCCUCUUUGUGAAAUAUUGGUGAAUGAUGUUAAAUUCAUAUGGGAUGAUGGAUUUGAAAGGAGUUUUGAAGAAUUGAAGCUAUUUUUGACAACCGUACCAAUAGUGAGGGCUCCCAACUGGCAACUGCCCUUUGAAGUAAUGUGUGAUGUCAAUGAUUUUGCUAUAGGAUUUUUUCUUGGGCAAAGAGAAAAUGGAAAACCUUAUGUGAUCUACUAUGCGAGGAAGGCAUUGAAUGAGGCACAAAGAAACUACACAACCACCGAGAAAGAAUUGUUAGCUGUAGUUUUUGCCUUGGAUAAGUUUCGCGCUUACUUGGUGGGGUCCUUCAUCAUGGUUUUUACUGAUCACUUUGCUUUGAAGUAUCUGUUGACUAAGCAAGAUGCUAAAGCAAGGCUGAUUAGAUGGAUUCUCUUACUUCAAGAGUUCAAUCUCCAUAUCAAAGAUAAGAAAGGAGUGGAGAAUGUGGUAGCAGACCACAUUUCAAGGCUAGCUAUCGCACAUAAUUCCCAUGCUUUGCCCAUUAAUGACGAUUUUCUAGAGGGGUCUCUCAUGUUGGUGGAAGUUGUCCCUUGGUACGCUCACAUUGCUAACUACCUGGUCACGGGAAAAGUUCCAAGUGAGUGGAAAGCACAAGAUAAGAAGCACUUCUUUGCAAAAAUUCAUGCCUACUAUUGGGAAGAGCCAUUUCUAUUCAAGUAUUGUAUGGAUCAGAUAAUAAGGAAGUGCGUUCCUGAAGAAGAGCAACAGGGGAUCCUUAGUCAUUACCAUGAAAAUGCAUGUGGAGGCCACUUUGCUUAUCAAAAGACAGCCAUGAGGGUGUUGCAAUCGGGUUUCUGUUGGCCAUCACUUUUCAAAGAUGCCCACACCAUGUGCAAGAGUUGUGAUCGAUGCCAGAGGCUUGGGAAGUUGACACGCAGGAACAUGAUGCCUUUGAACCCCACUUUAAUAGUUGAUAUUUUUUAUGUUUGGGGCACUAACUUCAUGGGACCUUUCCCUAUGUCUUUUGGCUACUCUUACAUCUUGGUAGGAGUAGAUUAUGUUUCUAAGUGGGUUGAGGCAGUCCCAUGCAAACACAAUGACCAUAGAGUGGUUCUCAAGUUUCUUAAAGAGAAUAUCUUCUCAAGAUUUGGGGUGCCCAAAGCCAUAAUUAGUGAUGGGGGUACUCAUUUUUGCAACAAGCCUUUUGAAACUCUCCUAGCCAAGUAUGGGGUGAAGCAUAAGGUAGCUACACCUUACCACCCUCAAACUCAUGGACAAGUUGAGUUAGCAAACAGGGAGAUUAAAAACAUAUUGAUGAAGGUGGUGAACACAAACAGAAAAGAUUGGUCAGUCAAGCUUCUUAAUUCACUAUGGGCAUAUAGAACAACUUACAAGACCAUUCUCGGGAUGUCUCCUUAUCGCCUAGUUUAUGGCAAAGCAUGCCAUCUCCCUGUGGAAUUGGAAUACAAAGCUUGGUGGGCAAUCAAGAAGCUCAACAUGGAUUUGAGCAGAGCUGGGUUGAAGAGGUUCUUAGACCUUAAUGAGAUGGAGAAAUUGAGAAAUGAUGCCUACAUCAAUUCAAAAAUUGCAAAAGAAAAAUUGAAGAGGUGGCAUGAUCAGUUGAUUUCCCGCAAGGAUUUUCAAAAUGGACAAAGAGUCUUACUUUAUGACUCUAAACUCCACAUCUUUCCGGGCAAGCUGAAAUCAAGGUGGAUAGGUCAUUUUACCAUUCACCAAGUGCAUUCAAAUGGAGUAGUGGAACUACUCAACUCCAACAAUAUCGAGAACUUCAAAGUGAAUGGCCACCGUCUCAAGCCCUUUGUGGAGUCUUUUUCUCACAACAAGGAGAAAUUCAUCCUCCUUGAUCCACAUCAAGCUUAACAAGACCAAUUUUCUUGAUGGACUUAGUCUUUCUAAAGACUAUCGAGUCCAUAACUUUUUGUUUUAUUUUUUAUUUGAGAUUUUUUCGGUAUUGUUACUUGUUUUGUUUUUUAUUUUUCGUUUUAAUUUUAUUUGGUUUGAUUUAACUUAGGUUUUUGAUGAUCAAUUACAGGGGGGAUUUCAAAUAGAGGAAAAACCAAGAUAAUUCGCACACCCUACGAAAAUUUCGCAAGGCAUGCGAAAUUUAUGGCUUAUUUUGCAUGGGGUGAAAAUUUUCGUACAUCUUACGAACCAAUUUCGAACACUUUGCGAAAAUAAACCAACCCUGCGAAAUCAUUUCGAUUACUCUACGAAAUUUUCGUAGAGCAUGCGAAAAAUUUAGCACACCAAACACCAUUUCGCAUACUAUGCAAAAACCUAAGGGGUCUGCGAAACCAUUUCGCACCUCCAAAUCCAUUUCGCACAUUGUGCGAAAACCAAGAGGCGCUGUGCGAAAAUGAAAAGUCGCCCUGUCAUCCCUUUUUAAACCCCUCGAGCCCUAAAAUCUCCAUUUCGCAAGCACCCCUGUCCUUGCGAAUCCCUCAUUUUCCUCUACUACCUUGCAACCUCGUCCCUUUCCAUUUGAUAUUGUGCCCCGCGCACAUCUCAUUUCAGAGACUCGCACUCCGCGCCCCCUCAAAGCAUGGACUCGAGACCCACCUUCCAUUUCCGACGUGGCACGGACCCAAGGAGCCCUUUCUGCCCCUUCACUAAGACACACACCAAGGCAGAAAGCCUCCUUUGCUCAAGUGCCUAGUGAUUCUCCAUCUUAGGCCUCAGAGGCCUCGGAGGCCCCGUGGAUUCCACCUUCCGAGGGUAGAGCAGCCAUUGGUCCUUCCUCUUCUACUCCUUAGCGUAGAUACGAGACGAGGAGACCACCUACUACACAAGGGGCGACUACUUCGAGCCUUGAGAAUUCAGUACGAUGCCUUCCUGCCAAGAGGGUCAAGACUUCAGGUCCAAGUGAGUCAUCCAGAGCUUCAUAGCCUAAGCCUCCUGUAGAUUCCAAGGUUCCUACUGACAUAUCACCGGAGUCUAUUAUCAGAAGCCCGAUGCUCAUAGCACCGCCCAUUGAGGGCAACUCAGAUUAUAGAGCGAGAUCUUUCCACUUGGAGCUAUAUUUUGAUCAGGAGGCCAUACGACAGCAGCCUGAGCUCCGAGACUCUUAUGGCUUACUGCAGAGGUACCAUCUUGAGGAACUUAUGACUCCUCGUGAGUUUUUUUAUCCCAGAGUAGCACUAAACUUUUACCAGUCCAUGACUACUCGUGGCGUCCCGAGUCCUACCACGAUUCACUUCACCAUUGAUAGACGUCAUGGUAUCCUCAAGGCCAGACAUAUUACAGAGGCUCUACAAAUUCCUUUCGAGCUAGAGGAUCCAUCUGUUUUUCGCUAAUGGUCCCCAGUAUCUCAGAGGGACAUGGUCCGUAUUUUAUCUAGGGGAACAUCUACAGAUUCGAUCUUUCUACGGAAGGAGCUUCGACCUGGGAUGCUCCUCUUAGAUGUGGUGCUAUGCUCCAACCUCUUUCCCUUACAACAUUCGGUACAUAGGUGAUGAGCUAUUUUGGACGCUUUAUUCCGUAUAUCAGAGGGCUUCUACUUUGGCCCGCACCACUUGAUCAUGGUCUCCCUCAUCCACUUUGAGGAGAAGGUUCAUAGGAAGAAGCUUCAGAGGGUGGACACCAUUCCAUUACUAUUCCUGAGGUUACUUUGCCAGGUCUUGGAGUACAUGGGCUUUCCUACUGAGCCUCGGCUCGAGCUUUGCCGCCUUUGUCGAGAGUGAUCCACUCUCGACAAAUGGAAUUAGUUGGCGGGCUAUUCUGCACCUCCAGGAGCCCCUCCCAUGGUAGCACCUCCAAUGUCCCCACAGGCAAAGUAGGGCGAGCUCCCGGCAAAGACUGUACCACCAAUGCCCACACUUGAGGCUAUUUCUGCUGCUCUGCCUAUGACUCCUACUGUUCCACCAGUUGGUCCUUUUACAUCCGAGCCUUCCAUCACCAUCUCGGCUUCGGAGUUUCGCGCCCUUGUGCAUACCUUUCAGACACUCACCACCACACAUACUCCUCUCUUCUAGCAAAUGGUUGAGAUGUGUGCCCAUCAGGACCGGAAGACUACUAUACUCUGCCAAAUUCAGCAGCACCUAAGACUUUUGCCUCAACCUCAACCUAACCAUCCCAUAUCAUCAGAGCCUCUAGCUCCAACUGAGGAUACUAUUCCACCUGAGAACACUACCACAGUAGAGGUCCGGUUUCCACCACCUUAAGAGGCCACCACAGCUACAUCAGAGGAUGUGUCAUCUCCACUUGAGGCUCCCACUACUUGAUCAUAGGACAUAUCUUUAUCUUAUUGUAUUUACAUAUUAUAUUACUAGAGAUUUGUCCUUGUUUUGAUACUUUAUAUUCUGGGAUUGGAUGUAUUGCCUGAUGAUAUCUCAAUUGUACUUUCUCAUAUUAAUAUAUAGACAUCAAUUUUUUUUAGUAUACUUAGCAUUUUUCUAUUUCCUCUACUCAUUACUCUUUUGUUUUUUUUUACUCAUGUGGUUUCUCUUAUACAACUCAGACUCCAUUUCACUCAGGAGGUACCACUUCCUCCCUUUAUUUUCAAUUGCUCUUGAAAUAUUGAGUGCAAUGUUGAUCUUGGUUGGGGGGAGAGUUGAGGAAGGAAGUUUUGUUAAUAAUGCUAGGUUAAUUUGUUAAUUUAGUUACUUUCUGCUUAAUUUUAAAAGUUUUCACUCUACUUUCCAUGGUUAUUAAGGAAAAAUUCUCAAAAUGAAAUGGGAGAAAUCGAAUUCUUGCAUUUUUACUUGAAUCUUAGAAUUUGUAUCAUGCUUAUUAAAGUUGAUGAAUUAUUGAAACUCCUAUUGAAUUCAACCUUAUUUUUUCCACUUUAAUCUUACCACACACGGUGCACAUUAGGUUCCAGUUAUAAGAUAAAAAACUAUCUCACCCCCUAAACUUAGAAAAAUUUACACUUGGUACCUUUGACAUCGUUUUAAUAGUGUUGGGACACCUUAUAAAAGGCCAAUGAGCCUUUAAAAAAAAAAAAAAAAAAAAAAAGAGAAAGAACAAAGUAUUGCACUUGCCUUGAAACCUGAGCAAGAUCCGAGGGGUAUACAGUGAAAGUCUUUAAAACCUGGUGCCCUAAGCCUUGAUUGGUUGGGAGUCACCGACCUCAAUGCUCGUUAUAAGGGUGAAUAGGUGGAGUUUAACAUAUUGUAGGUGCUUGGGUAUUGAAUUUCAAUCUCAAAAGUCCGGGAAAAAAUCUAAGGAGUUAGUGGUCAAAAGAUCCUUAAAGCUUGAUGCCCUAAACCUUGAUUGGUUGAGAGUCAUUGAUGGAUCCCCGCUACAUGGACAUUUUAGAAAACAAUACCUUUAGCAUUGCACGCCUACAAUGAAAAAAAAAUGUGAAAUAAAAGAGGUGCGUUCUUAGCCUAUUGGAGGUUGGUCAGUUUGCUAAAGUUUGAGAAAUCUAGGUUGGGGGGAGAGAAUAGUCCGACAUACUAUAAUAAAAAACUAAUAACCUUAACACUUAGAUUUUUGUGGAAGAGUAAGGAUUGGACCUUUAGGGGUGGAAAUUCUUUUGAUGCUUAAAUUUGCAUAAUGCCUACUCUUUAUAAAUUAUGAUUAGGCAAGAGAUUUGAUGACUCUUGUUCAAAGUUGGGUUUUUCCUCUUUGAUGUUCCAUGAGAGAGUAUAAUCCUCAUCAUGCCACUUGAAAUCUUUUUGGAGUGAUUAACAUGAUUUUGUAAAUUAUUUUACUGUCUAUUUUUCUUUAUCUCUCUUUUAUUGCUAAUGGACUAGCAAUAUGUCAGUUGGGGGGAGUGAUUACUACUCAAAAAGUACUCUUUUAUAGCUUGAAACUAACUGUUUUAAACACUUUUGAGUAGGUGUUAAUACAUUUUAACUCAAUUGGCACAUUAAGGAACCUAACAAGGGUUACUAAUAAGUUUUUGGCAAGUUUUGGUGUUUUUGGUAGCUAUUUGAUCAUUGAAACAAGCCAAGAAUGAGGGAGAAUUUUGUGAAGUCCAUAGCAAUGCAAGUUAAAGCUCAAAUACAUGAAGAAUCCAAGCUUUGAAGCACUUCAUAGCCCUUUGCGAAGCCAAUCAGAGAUGCAAGGAAGAAAACCAGAGGAAAAAAUCCAACAACCAGCAUUUUCGCAUGGCUGUGCGAAAUUUUGCACACCAUGCGAAACCACAAGAAGUAGCCAAAGAAUUUUGCACACCAUGCGAAAUUUCGCAUGGUAUACGAAAUCUUCCUAUGCACCAACUCCGUUAUAUUUUUAUCUUCAGAUAUUUUGUGUAAUUUCCUAGUUUCUCCUUGUAACCAACCUAGAUAUUUUCUUUUAUAUCUUUUUUUUAUAUUUUUUAGGUAACAUCAUAUAUAGGGGGAGAGACAUAAGGAGGAUAUGGAUGUUUUUCAUAAAACACUUUUAAUUUUCUGGUAGUAAGAAAUAUACAAAGUUUUUUGCUCUGCCUUACCUUCUCAUUUUGUUUUCACCUAUCUUUCUAGCCAAACAACCUCUGAGAAUGAUUUCUCAGGGGAUGAGUAGUUAGGUUUUACGUUUCUUGGAGUGAGAGAAGCUAGGUGAAAGACCCAAAUGCUAAGGUGGGAGUUGUCCUUGCUUUAAAUGAAAGUAGUUGUUAAAUAUUAAUGGUUUUUAUUUUAAGGUUUAGCUUUAAAUCCCUUAAAAACACCUUGAAUGGCCAAUACUUGGUAAGCUUUUCGGAUUCUAUGGAUGCUUAUUGCUAGAUCCAUGGAUGUCAUUAGUUAUCAUUUAUGAGCCAUUGGAAGGUGGUUCAAGAUGAGAGUCUUUAGUGUUUGAAGCCAUUAAUGGGAAACAAUUACCAUUUUUUCAUGAAUCCUUUGGAUAAAAUCUUAAUUGCUAAAUAUAAAACUGGUUCGGGAGAUAACCAUCCUUUAUGUUAUUAUGCCCAAUGCAAGGAGAAGAUUUCGAAUCUUCUCAUUUGUCUAAGGAACCCGAUCCUAGUGACCUAAAGCUCCUAGAGACCUUUUCUUUGUAGUUAACUUCAUUUAUUGUUUUUGCUUAACUUAAAAUCAAUCUUUGCAACCACAAUUCCAUUUUCUUUAAAAGCUAAUUUUUAUAAGGAAAAGCACCAUUUUAUUUCCUUCACUAAGUCAACUGUAUGAUGAAAACCCAUCCCUGUGGACGAUCUUAGAGCCACUAUACUAUGUUAUCUAUGCUAUCCUAGUGUGAGGUGAUUUAGGUUUUAUAAAUUUUGUUGAUAACACCCGUCUGAGCCAGAAUCAAAUGGAACCACUGAACCAGGGACAAAUCAACAGCCUAUAUGGGAGGGACACAAGUUUAAUUGAUUUGCAUUUCAGCGUUAUAGAUAAGUAUGUUUUGGAAGAUUUGUUCUGGAAAUACUGCACCAAGUACGAUUCUUUUUCUCUUGAGUGAGUCCAUUUGCAUGCCAAUUAACGAGUUGAAAAGUAGGAGCACCUACCUCGUGCUCAUGGAACCGAAUGUCAGUGAAGUGGGGCUCCUUUUAGCCUCUUGUGUUUCUGUUCCAACCAAGGCGGCGUAGGGAAAAACAACAAUAUGUCUGUGCUAAAUAUCAACGCAUGAUAGAUGUUUUUUUUUUUUUUUUUGGUAUGUCAAGGCUAACGAAUGAAAUGCAUUAGCUUGUUUUGUGACUAUAACUGCAAAUGUCCAAAUUGGAGUAUCUCCAUUUCUCACUUCGGAUGGUUAACUUUAUAAACAAGAUAUAGGAAACAUGUGAACAUCUUGAGGAACAAUUCAAAUUAUUCAUUAGAAGUCCUGGGUUAAGUUCCAAGAUUUAAAUCAGACCCUUCUAGCAGCUUCAAGGGUACUUAGCAACCUAUAACAUAUUAAUGAAGAUUUAGGAUUUAGACUCCGGAAUACAAAUAAAUAUGUAUCUCAUGCUUUGACUAGCUUCCCUACAUAUGCAUAAAAUGGAGAUGACCCAAAAAAAAUAGCAGAAUCUAGCUUCCCUACAUAUGCACAAAAUGGAGAUGACCCAAAAAAUAGCAUAAUCGCCUUAGUUUCUGUGGUUAAGGUGAUUCUCCGCUUAAUAUCCACAUUGACUCAUUAUGCAAAAUCAACUGAGCUAAUUUUAUUUAUUUAUUUAAUGUCAAAUAGGAACUCCUAAUUAACUGAUUACUGUCGAAAAGUGCUAUUUUGUAGACCUAAUUAUAAGGGUUUUAAGCACCUUUGAGUAGUAAUCAUAUUCAUUUAACCUAAUUAAUUCAUUAAGCUCCUUAGUAAUUAGUUCUAACCAUUUUUAGUGGCAAGUUUACAUGUUUUUCAUCAGCUUAUGAACCAAUUCAAGCAUGCCAAUUGAUGGAGGAGCUACUUGGGCGAGUUAAGCAAGGAUUUUGGACGUUUACAGGCUUGAAUUUCAAGUGGAAACACGAGCACAAGCAAUGGGAACACCAUUUCGCAAGGGGAGGCAAUUCACCUUGCCAAAUGACCAAUUUCGCAAGGGGAUUUUCCUCAUGGUGCAAAAUUUGGUCAUUUCGCACCAUGAAGAAACCACCUUGCAAAAUUUCGCAAGGUGGAUUUAGGCACCUUGCGAAAUGCCAAAUUUCACAAGGUGGCUUUUCACCUUGCGAAAUUUGGACCUUUCAUCUUCCCCCCUUGCGAAAUGCCUUUGAAAUCCCCUGUUUUGAGACGCUGUUGAUGAUAUUCCACUGCCGGUUCUCCAAGAUAUUUUGCUUGACUUUUAGCUUUAUAAAUACCUAUUUUACCCUUGUAAUCAACCAAUGAAAAGGUUGCUUUUGUAAUAGCUCUUGUAAUUUAGCUUUUUAUUGUCUUUAAAUAGAGGUGAAGAGCCUCAGACACGAUCAUCUUGUAACCUGUAACUUUAUAAGUUAUAAGAGCACUUUUGUUCAUACGCUUCUUUUCUCUUUUCUUUCUCAUUUUCUUAGUAGCCAAACAUCCUUGGAGGAUGAAAUCCCCAAGGAUGAGAGGCUAAAACCUUUUAGUUUCUUGAAGUAAUGGAUGCCAUGUGAAGCUCCCGUGUCAGGAUGGAGAUUUCCAAGCCAUAAAUGUAAGUAGCUGAGCGUCAUAAAUGUUUUCAUUCAAAGUAAAGCUUUUAAUCCCUCUGACUUGCUUUGAAUGGCCAAUACUUGAUAACCUUUUGGUCUCAAUGGAUUCUUAUUGUUAGAUCCACUGACGUUCAUUAGUUAUCUCCUACGAGCCAUUGUAUUGCAAGUCGAGGAGAUGACCUAUACCAAUAAAAGAGCAUUUAUGAGGUUCAACUACCCUUUUUGUAAGUUUUCAAGGACUAAAACUCAGUUGUUAAACUCAUACCGGUUCGAGAAGUAAGCAUCACCUUAGUUGCUUCCCCAACUCGAGGUGAAAAGUCCCAAAAUCUCCAUUUUUACACAGUGAGUUAAGCAUGGCUAUCCAAAGCUUUAAGAAACUUCUUUUUCCAUCUUUUAACCUAUUUUCAUGUUAGUUUAGUUUACAACACCUUCAUCUUUUUAUGUUUUCAUCUUAACCUAAUUUUUAUUAAGAAAAGUUCACUCCAUCCUCCGAACUUCACCAGUUAAAGUAAAAACCCUUCCCAGUGUUCGAUCCUAGAGCCACUAUGCUAUAGUAGCUUUGCUACUUUAGUGUAAGGACCUUAGGUAUAAAUUUUGUUGAUACCCUUACAUGCCAAGCUACCAAGAGUCGGGUUAUCAUUAACCUAACCAUUGGCCUGUGUAAAUUGAUUUCACAUGCACAAUGUUGUAGUAGAAGUCCAUAUUUUGAAUUUUAUUUUUGUAAAGGUAAGGAAAAUGAAGCAUUGUGUAAUUAUAAAAAUAACUUCAUUGGAAUUCACAAGGUUCACCCAAAAUGGAGCUACAUCUGUAUUCUAUCCUACAGUAGACUAUAUAGAUUGUACAAUAGUAAAUUGCAAAUACAAUUAAUAAGUCUUGUGCUUCCUUACUAAUAAUCCUUUGACAUGAACAUUGCAGCACUAAGGUCCUCUUGGGAAGACACCUUGCACCCAUGAGAGCACUAAGAGGAAGCAAGGCAGAGUCAUGGGUGCAAUGUCAUGACUUGUUGUUGCACCAAGAGAGGCUUGGUGAUGCCAUGGUGUUGCAGUAGCAAGAAUGUUGCCUUGGCAGGGACACGAUCUAGGGAUAGAUGCCAAGAAAGGCUUAGCACUCACAUGAGUUGCACAAAGAUGAAUGUAAUAGAGCAUCAGAGAGACGUCUUGGCAAGUAAAUGAAUGGAUCCAAGAGACAACAACAUGAGGAGUUUCAAAUGGAUAAGGAAUGACUCAAAGACAUUUGAAAGCUACAAGUUGGAUUCUAAUUACGAUUGCAAUUUGAGUUUGAGUAGGAGUUUAGAUUUUGAUUGUAAUUGUAGUAUGAGUUGGACUAGGAUUGCUUAUCCUUAGUCAAUAUAGGAGCGGUUCGUGUCACCCUAUGAAAAGAGUUUGAGUAGGGACUAGGAUUGCUUACUCCUAGUCAAAUAUGGAGUAGGUGGUGCCACACCUAUAAAAAAAAGGGACAACAUGAGAGAGAGAGAGAGAGAGAAAGAGAGAGUGAAUUCACUAAAGAUAUUGUGGGAGUUUUGCUUUGUUACGUCUUGUAUUAUUACUUAGAAUAGGAAUAAAAUACAAGUUGGGGCUAGAGCCCCAUAAUUAAUCUCGUGUGCCUUUGUGGUUAUUCUUUAUUUGUCAUCUCGUGUGGAUUGGAUUAGGUUGACUUAGAGGGCUUCUAAGCACCACCUUUGUGGGUUAUUAUUUAUUUUCCAUCUCUUGUGGAUUAGAUUAGGUUGACUUAGAGGGCUUCUGAGCACCACCUUUGUGGGUUAUUAUUUAUUUUCCAUCUAUUGUGGAUUAGAUUAGGUUGACUUAGAGGGCUUUUAAGCACCACAUUUGUGGGUUAUUCUUUAUUUUCCAUAUCGUGUGGGUUGGAUUAGGUUGACAAGGAGAAAAAUUAUGUGGGAAAUUUGUGUUGGGACACUUACCAUAACCAAGUAAAAUCUACCAAGUCCUUUGUAAUAUCUUCAACAAAUAUUUUAGACUAGUUCUUUCAGUUAGUGUAAAGGAGGAAGAAGUGGUAUUGAUUCUAGAAAUAGGGUGUGUGUAUUUGAACUACAAUCCUUAUGAUCCUUAGGUCUCUAAACCUUCGUGAUGGGCUCCCUGACAUUUCAUAGGUUGUGCUACACAUGCGUUUGAAAUUUAGAGUGCGUUUGACAGUGAUUCCGGGAAGUGUUUUUGGCCUUUCUUACACUUGAAAAUUUUUAUUUUUCAAGUAUUAGAAAUGCUACAAACACUUUUGAAAAUUACUGUCAAACACACUCUUAGGAGCGCACAUAUAUAGUAGAAAACUAGAAAUUGUGGUUUUUUUAGGAUUUACUGUAAUGUCAUUAGGAGGGUAGUAAGUUGAAAUUGAGUAUGAACAAAUAUUUCUUUCUUUGGGAUGUUCUUCUAGUAGGUGCUGAUGAAACUGUUCUUUCUACUGCCAAUGUCACAUAUCAGCCAGAAAUUGAAAAUUUCAGUCAAGGUGUCCUCUGUUUUAGUGGUGAGGAAAGCUAGAAAUUUUAAGGUGAAGUUUUGUUAAAAACCUUAAGUAGCUGGGAUAUCAGGCCUGUUUUGCUUGAAAAAAAAAGUUGCAAGAUAACUCAUAUGCCAAACAGGUUCUGAUAUUGUGAAUCUAUCGGCAGACAUCAGUAAUCUCAUCUUCUGAGAUGGAUGUUGGGGGUGCAUGUGGUGGUGGAGGGGCAAGGUUUCAUUUGGUUUAUUUUGUUGAUGGAUAUUGUCUAGCCACCUGCGCCAAGUUUGAGGGGUGGUGGGUUGUGAUGACCCUACAAUUACUAUUAAUUUCUUCAUCUUUUACCGAUUAAAGUGUCCGAACAGUCGAAGUUACCCUUAUGCAUGUCAACUUGAUCACUUACCUCUUCAAUGGAGUUUAUGCUGGUUCAUUUAGGAACUGAUUUUUAUUGUUAUGUAUUAUAUGCUGAUGUUUAGGUCUCUCCAUCAUCACUAUAUACAAAAAUUCUAGGUUGAUACUAUAGGUUGAGAUUUAUUUUUUAAAUAAAAAAUAAUAAAAAUAAAAAUUAUGGUGAUGUUUAGUUGUUUUAUGGAAAAUUUUAACAAGUAAAAGUUAUUUUUGGGCAAGUUUUCAAACAAAAAGAAAAGUAAAAGUUGUUUUGACAAAAACAUAUAGAAAAAAAAAUCAUAGAAAAUAAAUAAUUUCCCCAUAUUCUAACUUUUUUGAAUUUUUCUCAAUGGGCAAAGGAAUAUCAAAUCAAGUUUGAGUAGGAUUUCUUAAUUUUUAAAAUAACUUACAAUUAAAAAAUUUUGGUGUUUUCAUUUUUGGACAAUUUUUUAUUAAGCAAAUGGACUCUGAGUCAUGCAAGAGAUAUGGUUCAUUAACCGGUCGAACAAUUUUUUUAAAUUAAUUUAAAAGUCAAAUACAUAAUCAAUUUCACAAAAUUUAUAAACAAAAAUAGGUUUAGAGAAGAUCUACACAUAAUUUUACUUUUCUAAUUUUAUUUUAUUUUAUUUUUUGUUGGAAAAUAGUCUUCAAAUCAUGUAAGAUUUAAUAGGUUAAAUUUGUUAACAAUAAAUUUUAAAUUAUAAAAUAUAAUCUGGAACUCAAAAAUCAAUUCAAGUAAUGCUAAAAAAAAAUCAAAUUUGGUAUAGAAUGACUUUGUAAAUUUUUUUACAAAACAAAUGAAUUUUAAAUCAAGUGAGAUUUAAUGCAUUAGAUUUUUAUCAAAUAUAGUAAUUUUAAAAAUAAAUUUGGAACUCAACAAUAGACACAAUAAAUACCAAAAAAUAAUGAACCAAAAUUGGUUUGGAAUAACUCCACAACCUUUUUUUUUUUUUUUUGGUGCACACGAAUUUUCUUACUAGGUAUAUUGCUUUCAAAUUGAGAAAGAUUUACCAUUUAGAUUUUUUUUUAAUGAGUUUAAUGGUAUUUUAAAAUAAUUCAAAAUUUAAAAAAUUGACUAAUUAAUAUUAUAAAUUGAUAAACCAAGACUAUUUCAAAAUGCAUUGGGGGCUAAGGGGGUUGAAAAUAGGGACAAUGGGAUGGGUUUGGGACAUGACACUCAUAUCUCAUUUCCAUUCCAAUUACACAGUUAUCUCCCAUCCUUAUCCCAAACUUGUGUUGGAGCAAGUUGAUUUGUUCCCAUCUUUGUUGACGAAAUGACUAAUAACCUCAUCCCCUCCUUAUCUUAGAUGUACAUUUUGUCAAAUUUGAUCAGGUAUGAUUGAUCCAAGCCCUAACCCUAAUUGGUAAUGAGUGAAUACUACACCUAAUUGCAUUCUUCUUUCAUUGCAAAAUAAUGAGAUUAUAAUAAUCUAGCAAAUAAGAAAAAAUAGUAUGGAAGUUCAAAUUAACACCAUAACUAUCAAUAAUUUUAAGCUUAUAGAUGACUUAAAUGAUUAAAAACUAAUGCAAAAUCCUAAAAAAAAUAAAAAUCAUAUAAAGAAUUCACAAGAGAACAGAAUGAACAAAAACCAAAUAUGAACAUGGGUCAACAUUAGUUAUGGAUUUGGAUUCCUUUCAAGGCCAAUCUUUGAACCAAGACUUCAUCAAAUCAACUACUUCAAAGGCUUUUGUGUUCUUCUUGGGUUGUGCUCUCAAACAAAGACUUCGAGGUGAUGUUCUAGAUGAUUGAAUUACACAUAUUUAGGGUGGAGAGAUUGGAGAAGCUUGAAGAUGCCAACGAUGGGUACAAUUGAGUGGUCAAUAAGAACAAUGUAGCCUAUGACUAGUUUGAUGUCAUGGUACAAGAGUUUUAGGCAUUGAGGUUAAAGCAAGAGCAACAUGGAAUUGAUUUCGGAGUCUUUCAGUUAGUGUAAAGGAGGAAGAAGUGGUGUUGAUUCUAGAAAUAGGGUUUUAAGUGGUGCGUGAUUACUACUCAAAAAGUGCUAUUUGAUAGCCUUUAAUUAAUCCUUUUUAACACUUUUGAGUAGUAGUUUAGGCCUUUUAACUCAAUUGGCAUGUUAAGGAUCCUUUAAAGCAAUUUUGAUCACUUUGUGCAAGUUUUGGUGUUUUUGUUAGUAUUUUGAUCACCAAAGCAAGUCAAGAAUGAGGAGAACUAUGAGGAAUCAUGGGCAAAGCUUAGAAUUCAAUUGCCAAGAGUGAAUCCGGAUUGCAAGGAGAAAAAGCAAAGAGAAUCUGUCAUGAAGCCUAUUCUUGAUGACAGUCGUAGCAGCCACUUUUGGAGCACUUUCUGAAGUCCAAAUGAUGCAAGCUAUAUACCAUUUCAAAGAUCAGGAAGUCAACAAUCCAAUGCUUCAAACGGUGCGCGAUUCGGAGUUGAAACGAAGAAGUUGCAGCCAUUACAAGCCAGUCACUCUAAAGUGUUGCGGAAUCAGCCUUUUGUUGCGAGAAUUUCGCAGCACUUUUGUACAGUAAGGUGUUUCUCCUUCUGACGAUGCACGAACCAUGCCGCGAGAGGGAAGCUAGGAACUUCAAGAUGGAAGCCAACUUUGCAGCCUGGUGAAGAUAGCUUGGUCUUGCGAAAUAAUUUCGCAGCCCUCUUGGGUGUCUGCGAAAUUUCGCAGGCACCACUUUUUUCCUGCGAAAUGGCUCCGGAAGCCUCCCGAAGCUUGCUACCGACAUUGGGAGAUAUUUUCCAUUAGAUUUUUGUUGUCUAAAUUCCAAAAUACUCCUUGUAAACCACCAAUUACAUGAUUCCUUAGUUUUUAAGUUAGUAAAAAGACCAAAUAUCUAUGUAAUAAUUAGUUUUAUAUUAGUUUGCUAUAAAUACCUCUCGGGAGCAUGUUCUCAGAGAGGAGUUCCUUCUGUAACCAUUUUGGUAAGCAAGUAAAGUCUUUUCUUUCUACUGCCUUACCUUCUCACUUUGUAUUUUCAUUUUAUUUCUAAGUUAUGAAUUCUCUGAGGAGCUUUCCCCAGAGAAUGAGUAACUAAACCUCCAAUUCCUUGGAGCUAAGGUUGCCGGGGAAGGUUCCAAGUGCAAGAAUGCAAAGCUCUGUGGUUUUAGCUAGUAAUGAAGAGGAAGUGAAAUCCUUUAGUGAUUUCAAUGUUUUUAGUUAACUUAAAACACCUUGGAGUCACCUGGGCCAACACUUGGUAAGGCAAGUGAUUUCCAACCGUGGAAAUGCACUAGUUUACCCCUUGCGAGCCUCUGGUAGGUGACUUCAAGGUAGGAUUUUCUGGAAUUACCAACACUUGGUAAGCUUUUGGACUCCUAGGAGACAUCCAUUAGUUAUCUCUUGCGAGUUUGUGAAGGGGAAUCCAAGGUUAAAGAUCACCUUGAAUGGUAAGUGCUCGUGAGAGGCAUGAACCAUUGCAAGUUGUAUCAGUGAGAGAAUUAAAGUGAAAUCUAAUUGAAGGAGUCUCUGUACAUCACCGGUUAGAGAAUUGACUAUAAGUUGAAUCUCUAAUGCGAGGAAAUGAACCAUCUGACCGGAGCUAUGUCUUUUGCAUGAGGAACCACCCCAGUGAACCUAAAUCUCCAAGGAAUGCUUUUCUUCCUAAAUUAUUCCAAACUUCUGUUAAGUUAGUUAGUUUAAGUCUAAACCUUUACCAAUCAAACUUUGUGUUUUAUUUCUUAAGCUAACCGUGAAAUGAAACAAAACCAAUUCACUUGGAAUUGGUAUCCUUGAUUGCUUGCAAAUCAUUCCCAGUGAACGAUCCUUAGAGCCACUAUACUAUAGUAGCUUUGUAUUUGCUACCCUAGUGUAUGGUGUUAUAGGUAUAAAUUUUGUUGAUCACUUCCUCAAUCAAGGAACACCAGCUGAACACAAAUCAGCUGAGACACCAAUUGGGCAUGAGUCAAAUGGCGCCGUUGCCGGGGAAUGAGUGUCAAGAUCAUUGUGAUACCAUUUUUGAGCACUUGUGAUUUUCAUCACAAGUUGGUAAAGUUUCUUUCACUUUACUAAUUUUCAUUCUCUCUUUGUUUAUUUACAAUCUAAGUUUAUCUUUUUAAAAUUUAGUCUAGUUUAAUUUUGCUAUUGUAGCCUUGUUUCUCUUGUUGUCCUCUGUUCUUGUUGUCCUCUGUUUUCAUUUUAGUUGCAGCUGAAUACUAGUUGUGUAUGCCAAAGUGGAUACGAGACAUUGGAGGUAGGCUUAUUAAGUGUGAUACACCUCAGAGAGGAGAAUUGGAAGUAAUCUUGAAUAUCAUGGAGGCUGCACCUGAAGAUCAGCAUAGUCACCAAGGUCGUCAAGACAAUCUCAAUGAAUUCAGAUCAAUGAGGGACCGUAUGCAUCCACCUCGUAUGAGUGCACCAUCAUGUAUAGUGCCCCCUACAGAGCAACUAGUGAUCAGACCAUAUCUUGUUCCACUUCUACCAACUUUCCAUGGGAUGGAAAGUGAGAAUCCGUAUGCACACAUCAAGGAAUUUGAAGAUGUUUGUAAUACAUUCCAAGAGGGAGGAGCUUCAAUUGAUUUGAUGAGGCUUAAGUUAUUUCCUUUUAAUUUAAAGGAUAAGGCCAAAAUUUGGCUUAAUUCUUUAAGGCCAAGGAGUAUCCGCUCUUGGACUGAUUUACAAGCUGAAUUCCUCAAGAAAUUUUUUCCUACUCAUAGAACAAAUGGCUUGAAAAGGCAAAUUUCAAACUUCUCAGCUAAAGAGAAUGAGAAAUUCUAUGAGUGUUGGGAAAGAUACAUGGAAGCUAUAAAUGCUUGUCCUCACCAUGGCUUUGAUACUUGGCUACUGGUGAGUUAUUUUUAUGAUGGUAUGUCCUCCUCAAUGAAGCAACUCCUCGAGAAAAUGUGUGGAGAAGAUUUCAUGAGCAAAAAUCCAGAGGAAGCUAUGGAUUUCUUGAGCUAUGUAGCUGAUGUUUCAAGGGGAUGGGAUGAACCAACUAAAGGAGAAGUGGGAAAGAUGAAGUCUCAGUUGAAUGCUUACAAUGCAAAGGCUGGGAUGUAUACUUUAAAAGAGGAUGAUGACAUGAAAGCAAAGUUGGCAGCUAUGACAAGAAGAUUGGAGGAGCUGGAGCUGAAAAGAAUGCAUGAAGUGCAAGCUGUUGCUGAAGCACCAGUGCAAGUGAAGUUGUGUCCCAAUUGUCAAUCGUUUGAACAUUUGGUAGAGGAAUGCCCUGCAAUUUCAGCUGAAAGGGAAAUGUAUAGAGAUCAAGCAAAUGUUGUUGGACAAUUCAGGCCCAAUAACAAUGCUCCUUAUGGAAAUACCUACAAUUCAAGUUGGAGGAAUCAUCCAAAUUUUUCAUGGAAGGCCAGAGCAACUCAAUACCAACAGCCGGAUCCACCAUCUCAACAAUCUUCAAGUAUUGAACAAAUAAUAGCUAAUCUCAGCAAGGUAGUGGGAGAUUUUGUGGGAAAGCAAGAAGCCACCAAUGCUCGAGUGGAUCAAAGAAUGGACAGAGUGGAUCAAAGAAUGGACAGAAUGGAGAGUAUGUUGAACAAAAGAAUGGAUGGAAUGCAAAAUGAUAUGAAUCAAAAAUUUGAUAACAUCCAAUAUUCAAUUUCAAGGCUUACAAAUUUGAAUACACUGCAAGAAAAGGGAAGAUUUCCUUCUCAACCUAACCAAAAUCCCAAAGGUGUCCAUGAAGUGGAAAGCCAUGAGGGAGAAUCAUCACAGGUGAAAGAUGUGAAAGCUUUGAUCACUCUAAGGAGUGGUAAGAAAAUUGAGCAGCCAACACCCAAGCCACAUGUUGAGAAAGAAGAAGAGAUGAAGAAAGGGAAGGAAAUGGAAGAUAAAGGCAGUGAGAUCAGUGAAGAAAAGAAGGACUCUGAUGCAACAAUGAAAGUAAUUCCAGAGAAGGAGCUUCUGAAGGAAGAAAUGCUGAAGAAAUCAACUUUUCCACCUUUUCCUCAAGCAUUACAGGGGAAAAAGGGGGUUAGAAAUGCAGCUGAAAUCCUAGAAGUAUUGAGGCAAGUGAAAGUUAAUAUUCCACUGCUGGAUAUGAUCAAACAAGUUCCAACGUAUGCAAAAUUCCUAAAGGACUUGUGUACUAUCAAAAGAGGGUUGACUGUAAACAAGAAAGCCUUCUUGACUGAGCAAGUAAGUGCAAUCUUACAGUGUAAGUCUCCUUUGAAGUACAAAGACCCUGGAAGUCCUACCAUUUCAGUCAUGAUUGGAGGAAAGGUAGUGGAGAAAGCCUUGCUAGACUUGGGAGCAAGUGUGAAUUUGCUUCCAUAUUCUGUCUACAAGCAACUGGGACUUGGAGAGUUGAAGCCAACAGCAAUCACUUUGUCUCUGGCAGAUAGAUCAGUGAAAAUUCCAAGAGGGGUAAUUGAGGAUGUAUUGGUUCAAGUAGAUAAUUUCUACUAUCCUGUAGAUUUUGUUGUUCUUGAUACAGAUCCUACUGUAAAGGAAGCUAAUUUAGUUCCUAUCAUCCUUGGAAGGCCAUUUCUUGCAACUUCAAAUGCAAUCAUCAACUGUAGAAAUGGGCUUAUGCAACUCACUUUUGGUAACAUGACACUGGAUCUAAAUAUUUUCUAUAUGUCUAAAAAGCAAAUCACUCCAGAAGAAGAAGAGGGUCCAGAAGAGCUAUGUAUUAUUGAUACUUUGGUGGAGGAGCACUGCAAUCAACAUAUGCAAGAUAAGUUGAAUGAAAGUUUUGUGGAUAUUGAGGAAGGUUUUUCUGAAUCUCCUAAUGGGCUUGCUACUCUACAAAGUUGGAGAAAGAUAGAAGGAAUUCUACCUUUGUUCAAUGAAGAAGAGGAGGCAGCUGUUGAAAAAGAAAUUCCAAAACUCAAUCUGAAGCCUUUACCUAUGGAGCUGAAAUAUACAUAUCUUGAAGAAAAUAAUCAAUGUCCUGUCGUAAUAUCUUCAUCUCAAACCAAGUCUCAAGUGAAGGAUGCAAGCUUCAAAUGGGAUCCGGGCAAACUGAAUCAGGAAGGGCAAAAAGUUUUGAUGUAUGACACAAGACUCCAUAUCUUUCCUGGGAAGCUCAAGUCAAGGUGGAUUGGUCCAUUUGUUAUUCACCGAGUAUAUUCCAAUGGAGUGGUGGACUUAUUGAAUUCCAAUGGCAAGGACAGCUUUAGAGUCAAUGGAUAUCGUCUUAAGCCGUUCAUGGAGUCAUUCAAAUCAGAAAAGGAGGCAAUCAACCUCCUUGAACCUCAAAAAGCCUAAGUGAAAUGGGUUUGCUGGACGUGGUUUUACCACAGUCCAAAAAUUUUUGUAAAUUUUGUAAAUUUUCAAGUUGUUUCCAUGCUUUUAAUCUUAGUUUUUGAUUUUAAAUCAUGUUUUUAGGUGUGUUUUAAUCGUUUUAUAUGAUCCCAGGCGGAAGAAAUUUCAAGGGGAUUGAAAAGAAAAAAAUCGGGUCGAAAUUGGAGCCGAAACAGAGCAAAAACAGGGGAAAAACAGAGCUCUGCGAAAUUUCGCAGGGUGAAGGAAACUUCUGCGAAAUUGGCAUUUUGCUGCCAAACCAUUCCGCAGCACUGUAGAAGCCUCUGCGAGUGUAUUUCGCAAUUGCGAAAGUGGAUUUGGCACACGAGUGCCACUUCGCAGCACAGUGACAUCAAUUUCGCAGCUGCGAAACUCACUGCGAAGUUGCUGCGAAAAUGGCAAGUUGCUGCGAAAUUGGCGUUUUGUUGCGAAACGUAAUCUGACCCCUGGGCUUCCGUUUUUCCUAUUUAUACCUGUCAAAAGUGCUGCGAAAAAGGUUUCAAAAAUUAGAGCACCAUUCUCGCAGCCCUUUCAUCUUCUUCGCCAAGCCACGCCGUCCGUUUCUCCGGUCGUCUUCUCCGUUUAGCAGCGCCGGCCAAAGAUCGAUAGCCCAAAAAUGGCACGAACGCGAGGGGCAAAGUCUUCAUCCCCUUCGAACCGCAAAAGGAGUCUGCGAAAGGAGCCAAGUUCAGGCUCUGUUCCAGAACCUGCUCCAAAGCCUUCGCCGUCGAGACCACAACCUUCUCCAGUGAAGCCGGCGCCACCAAAGCCGCCGGCAAGGCGAUAUUUAACCAGGUCAGGUGGUCAGCCAUUGAAGAAGAAAGCCAGAGUUGAGAGCUCUGAACCAAUCGAUUUGACUGAGCAAUCCCCUGAGAAAUCACCAAAUCCUUCACCGGUACAAAUUCCAGUGCCAUCACCGGUUCCCUCGCCAAUUCCCUCACCAGAAGCAACUCCAAUUCCAUCGCCGGUACCAUCUCCGGCACCCCAAGAAAAAGCUCAGGAGCCUCAAGCGCCAAUUCCAGAGCCCCAAAUUGCAGCUGAAGCACCUCUGGAAGAAGUGAUCCGAAGGCCAAUGCUGCCUCAGCCCCCAAUCGAAGGAAACCUGGAUUGCCGAACUCGGGCAUUCCAUUCUGAGCUUUGCUUCGAUUUAACAGCAUUCAGAGUGAGGCCAGAGCUUGCCCAAUCCUUCCAACUGCUGAGGAGAUAUCAUAUGGAGCAUCUGCUAGCUCCAAGGGAUUUUUUCUAUCCCCGGGUAGUCACGGAUUUCUACCAAACCAUGACAACCAAAGAAGUAAGAAAUCCAACUCUGAUUCAUUUCAUAAUUGAUGGAAGGCAUGGUAUUUUGGGAGCAAGACAUAUUGCUGAAGCCCUGCAAAUUCCUUUUGAGCCAACUCAAUUCGACAAUUUUAAAGCUUGGACAAAUCCUACUGAGUUAGAGAUGGUUAGCACACUAACCAGAGGAGCUGCAAAUCGAUCGCAUUUGUUGAGGGGGGAGCUACCUCCAGUUAUGUUUUUGAUUGAUGCCUUUUUGAGGCAUAAUAUCUAUCCCCUGCAGCAUUGGACCCAAAGAAGGGGAAUUCUCCUAGAAGCCUUGUACAAAAUGUCUGAAGGAUUCUUCUUUGGGCCUCAUCAUCUGAUCAUGGCAGCCCUUCUAUACUUUGAGGAGAAGGUUCACAAGAAGAAGCUUCAAAGAGCAGAUUGCAUUCCACUCCUCUUCCCAAGGCUGCUAUGCCAAGUUUUGGAGCAUCUCGGAUACCCCUCUGAGCCUCAGCAGGAAAGAAAGAGAAUAUGCCGUGAGCCUUUUACCCUUGAUAAAUGGAAUAAUAUGACGGCCUACAAAAUUGAUCAGCCUGGGCAGCCUCAGCCAGCAGCAAGGAGAGUCUCCCCAAGACAUAUACCUGAAGGUAUAACACUUGCUACUCCUGCCAUCCCUCGAGCUCCACCAGCUGCACCUGCUCCAUCACAGCCAUCCACAUCAGCUGAGCCGAGGAUGGCCAUCCCUAUAUCCGAAUAUCGAGAGCUGUGCCGUGCAUUGGAGACUCUUACAGCUUCUCAGAGCAAUCUUGCUCAGGAGUUGGCAGCCAUUAAAGCAUGCCAGGAGCAGAUGUUAGCCUCUCAGACUCAACAAGCUGCCAUCCUAAGGCAGCUUCAAGUCCAUUUCGAUCUGCCACAAGCUGUAGAGCCCUCUAUUCCUACUCCACCAGAGCCACACUCUCAGCCUUCAGAGUCUCAUCCUCCAGAACCCGAAGCACCAGCUGAUCCACCUACUGAGGAGGCAGAUCCUUCUGCCUAGCACCAUCACCCCCCUCAUCAGACAUUAUAUAUAUAUUUGCUGUUUAUGUUUUUAUGCAUGUUUGUUUUGUUUUAGUUGAAAAGAAAUCCCAGUAUUUUGGUACUAUAUAUGGGAUUCCUUGUGUUACUUGUCUUUAGUAUUGUAAUCACAUGAACUCAAAGUAAUACAAGUUGACUAUUUCUUGUUAAAAGUUAGCAUUAAAGUUUCCUUAUUUCCUUUUCUCACAUAUUCUAUUCUUUUUGAAACAUGUGGUUUUCCCCAAUCAAUAUUCGAAUUUGAUAUCAGCAUGGAGGUACCACUUCCUCCCUUUUAUUACAGUCACUCAAAUCACAUUGAGGACAAUGCUCAGUUCGGUUGGGGGGUAUGAGGAAGGAAGUAUUCUAAACCUUUUUGGUAUUGCAAUUAUAUUGGUUAAUUAGUUGUAGAUUUUACUUUUUACUAGUGUUACUCUAUUCUCCAUGAAUUUUGAGGAAAAAUUUUCAAAUUAAACCAAGAGAAAUUGAACUGUUGUUUUUCACUUGACUUAGAGUAUGGAUUAUGCUUACUAAAGUGGUUCAAUUGUUGAAACUUCUACUGAAAUUGAAUUGAGUUCUUCCACUUUAAGCUAUCCACACACUGUGCACAUUAGUUUCCGAUUAUAAGAUGAAAAGCUAUUUCCCUCUUGACUUAGUAUAUUUUUGGGACUUGGUAUAUUUGACCUCAUUUGAUAAAAAUUGAAACACCCUGCAAAAGGCCAAUGAGCCUUUGAAAUAAAGAAAGUUGUUUGCUUGCCUUGAAACCCGAGCAAGGUCUGAGGGGUAUAUGGUGAAAAUCUUUAAAGCCUGGUGCCCUAAGCCUUAAUUGGUUGGGAGUCACCGACCUCAAUGCUCGUUACAAGGGUGAAUAGGUAGAGUUAGCAUAUGGUAGAUGCUUGGGUAUUAGAAAUUCAUUCUUAAAAGUCCGGGGAAAAAUCCGAGGAGUUAGUGGUUGAAAGAUCCUUAAAACUUGGUGCCCUAAACCUUAAUUGGUUGGGAGUCAUCGAUGGACCCCCAUUACAUGGACAAGUCAGAAAGAGUACCCCAUAAAGCUACCUUAAAAAAAAAAAAAAAAAAAAAAAAAAAAAAAAAGAUGAAAGUGUGUUCUUUUCUUAUUGAUUUUGGUCAGUUUGCUAAAGUGUUGAAAAGAGAUAGGUUGGGGGGUGAGAUUAGUAGCAUAUUAUUCUCGGAACCUAAGGAACCAAUACACAUAGAUUUUUGUGGAAGAUUGAAGUUUAGUUCUUAGAAAAUGAAAUGAUUUUAAAACUUCAGUUUGCAUAAUGCACUCCCUUGAUUGACAGUGUUUAGCAUAGGUGUUAUGACUCUUGUUGAGAUUUGGGUUUGUAUUUCUUUAAUGAUUCAUGUGAGAAAUAGAUCAUCAUGCCACUUGAGAAUUAUUUUCCUUUUAGCAUGAUGUUGUAAAUUUUAGAUUAGUUUGCUAUUUAUUUUUUAUUUUCUCUCCUAUAUUGCUAAGGGACUAGCAAUAUGUCGGUUGGGGGGAGUGAUUACUACUCAAAAAGUGCUAUUUGAUAGCCUUUAAUUAAUCCUUUUUAACACUUUUGAGUAGUAGUUUAGGCCUUUUAACUCAAUUGGCAUGUUAAGGAUCCUUUAAAGCAAUUUUGAUCACUUUGUGCAAGUUUUGGUGUUUUUGUUAGUAUUUUGAUCACCAAAGCAAGUCAAGAAUGAGGAGAACUAUGAGGAAUCAUGGGCAAAGCUUAGAAUUCAAUUGCCAAGAGUGAAUCCGGAUUGCAAGGAGAAAAAGCAAAGAGAAUCUGUCAUGAAGCCUAUUCUUGAUGACAGUCGUAGCAGCCACUUUUGGAGCACUUUCUGAAGUCCAAAUGAUGCAAGCUAUAUACCAUUUCAAAGCUCAGGAAGUCAACAAUCCAAUGCUUCAAACGGUGCGCGAUUCGGAGUUGAAACGAAGAAGUUGCAGCCAUUACAAGCCAGUCACUCUAAAGUGUUGCGGAAUCAGCCUUUUGUUGCGAGAAUUUCGCAGCACUUUUGUACAGUAAGGUGUUUCUCCUUCUGACGAUGCACGAACCAUGCCGCGAGAGGGAAGCUAGGAACUUCAAGAUGGAAGCCAACUUUGCAGCCUGGUGAAGAUAGCUUGGUCUUGCGAAAUAAUUUCGCAGCCCUCUUGGGUGUCUGCGAAAUUUCGCAGGCACCACUUUUUUCCUGCGAAAUGGCUCCGGAAGCCUCCCGAAGCUUGCUACCGACAUUGGGAGAUAUUUUCCAUUAGAUUUUUGUUGUCUAAAUUCCAAAAUACUCCUUGUAAACCACCAAUUACAUGAUUCCUUAGUUUUUAAGUUAGUAAAAAGACCAAAUAUCUAUGUAAUAAUUAGUUUUAUAUUAGUUUGCUAUAAAUACCUCUCGGGAGCAUGUUCUCAGAGAGGAGUUCCUUCUGUAACCAUUUUGGUAAGCAAGUAAAGUCUUUUCUUUCUACUGCCUUACCUUCUCACUUUGUAUUUUCAUUUUAUUUCUAAGUUAUGAAUUCUCUGAGGAGCUUUCCCCAGAGAAUGAGUAACUAAACCUCCAAUUCCUUGGAGCUAAGGUUGCCGGGGAAGGUUCCAAGUGCAAGAAUGCAAAGCUCUGUGGUUUUAGCUAGUAAUGAAGAGGAAGUGAAAUCCUUUAGUGAUUUCAAUGUUUUUAGUUAACUUAAAACACCUUGGAGUCACCUGGGCCAACACUUGGUAAGGCAAGUGAUUUCCAACCGUGGAAAUGCACUAGUUUACCCCUUGCGAGCCUCUGGUAGGUGACUUCAAGGUAGGAUUUUCUGGAAUUACCAACACUUGGUAAGCUUUUGGACUCCUAGGAGACAUCCAUUAGUUAUCUCUUGCGAGUUUGUGAAGGGGAAUCCAAGGUUAAAGAUCACCUUGAAUGGUAAGUGCUCGUGAGAGGCAUGAACCAUUGCAAGUUGUAUCAGUGAGAGAAUUAAAGUGAAAUCUAAUUGAAGGAGUCUCUGUACAUCACCGGUUAGAGAAUUGACUAUAAGUUGAAUCUCUAAUGCGAGGAAAUGAACCAUCUGACCGGAGCUAUGUCUUUUGCAUGAGGAACCACCCCAGUGAACCUAAAUCUCCAAGGAAUGCUUUUCUUCCUAAAUUAUUCCAAACUUCUGUUAAGUUAGUUAGUUUAAGUCUAAACCUUUACCAAUCAAACUUUGUGUUUUAUUCCUUAAGCUAACCGUGAAAUGAAACAAAACCAAUUCACUUGGAAUUGGUAUCCUUGAUUGCUUGCAAAUCAUUCCCAGUGAACGAUCCUUAGAGCCACUAUACUAUAGUAGCUUUGUAUUUGCUACCCUAGUGUAUGGUGUUAUAGGUAUAAAUUUUGUUGAUCACUUCCUCAAUCAAGGAACACCAGCUGAACACAAAUCAGCUGAGACACCAAUUGGGCAUGAGUCAGUGCGUUAGAGGAUCAAGAAGAAGAAAAAGAAGGAACUGUUGGAAUUAGUAUGAGUGUGAAGAGAAAAGUAUAUAAAUAAGGGGAAGUAAAAGCAAAGUUCAAAAAGCUAUAUUUUUUUAUUGUUGGUGUAUGGUUGCAUGAUUAUCCCUAUAAAUAAUAGGAGUUUUUUGGUAUUCUACUAGUAGUUGAAGCAUAAUUUCAUAAAUUAAUAUUUAGAGCGGGGUGGGGUGAGUUGUGACAAAAUUCAUACCCGUCCCAAACCUUGGUUCAGAUUUUUAAAAUAUUCUCAAACUUAUCAUAUACCCAACUUUUAUAUUUCAUACUUGUCCUAAUAGAGGCACGUUAGGCCGGGUUACUUGAGUAACCUACAUAAUUGUCAUCCCUAGUUGAAAUACACUUUUUGGCAGUGGCCACCAACUGAGCUAGAAGCUUGAUUGAUUGACCUACAAGAUUAGUUCUCAUCAUUUUAAAAAAAGUUCUGGCUUUGGUUGUGAGUGCAAUUGAAUCUAAACUGGCAUUUGCUUAAUGCAUCUACUUCAAUCCUAAACUUCUUACUUCUUAAGCCUCAAUUGUUGUUAGGAUUUUGGAAAACCCAUUUCCUUAAAUUGUAAAUUUAAGAUAAAAUAAAAUAAAAGUGAGACAUUUCUUGAUUGAAUAUUGUUAAAGGUCCCUUGGCAUUAAGACUUGGUUGAAGCCUUGGAAGAUUAGUGGAACUCUCAACAUGUGUUUGAAUCUUGAGGAGAGUGGAUGUAAGCCAAAAUUUUGUCAAACCAUUAUACAAAUUGAGUUUGAAUCCUCAUUUCUUGAUUUCUUAUUUAUUUGCUUUUUCUUAUUAUUACUUGAAUUGUCAUUUGCAUUCAUUAAUGUUAAAAUUGGUUAUAAUUAACCAACACUAAUUCUCUUUCCCCUUCCCUUUCUUGGGUGUAAACCUAGGUUGGAUUAACUAGAUAAAUCUAUUAAGAUGGUAAAAGAAUAAUUAUUCUUAACAUACAUAAGAUCAUCUUCAAUCAAAUGACUCAUUGGCUAAUAUGUUGAAUUUGCUUAUUACUUGCAACUCAAAAUUGUGUUCUAGUUGUGUCAAGUCCCCAGUGUAUGGACAUUAAAUUUGUAGUACGUGAUGAGUAAUUAGAUGGUCCAACUCCAAGAAAGUGAUUGAAAAGUAGUUCAAGAAAGGUGCAAAAGGGAAUUGUUUUGGUAUUUUCGUUUUUAUUCUUGAAGGUGGCAGAGCUAAAAUUUGAGAAAUCAAGCAAAACAUACUGAAAUUACAUUGAAAGAAAGAAGAUGGGAGUUAAUGUCUUGCAGUACAUGAUAAGGACUUCAUGCAUGUAGUGUGACCCAUGUCUUGGACUGAUGCCAACUCACGGUUACACUUAUACCCUUGGUUCUCUCUUUACUACCUUGGCUAACCUAGAUCAGGCUAUGAGAUAGGCUCCUCACCACACCAUUACUUGCCCAUUAAUUAGAGACAUUUUCAAGCAAUGAGGUAACAUGGUGACACCAAGAGGGUCUAUUCCUCGCCCGGAACAAGUCUAGACUUGGUCUCAAAAAAAUGGAGAAAAAUGAGGUGUCGUUAUGUAGAAAUACAACAACCAUGCCUUCCUCAUUACUUAGAUUCAGAAUGUGAAGGUGAAAUUGAGAAACAGAAACUCUUGAAACCAAAAUGAAAAUUGAUACUUUUACGAAGAAUUACAACAACAUUAGAGGAAGACUACAUUCUUCCUCUUUAUUCCUACAUUUCUACACUACUUCUACUCCACUCCAUAUUUCUACAUACAUCUUUAAUCAGUCUUCCCUCCUUUAUAUAGAGCCAUCUUCACACAAAUUUCGCAAGGUAGAAAAGAGGAAUGAAACUUGGAGCAAGGUUCGACUACUGGUUGUAGCUUGUCAAGGCUGGAAGUGAACUUUUCUUGGCUUUCUGGGCAUGGGUAGUAACUUGUGGGUUCCUGUUUGGCAUAAAAAUGGCUAGAACAUGUGGCACUAUCUUGUUGGAUGAUGUGUCAAGCAUGUGGCAGCCAUCUAGUGGCGAUUAUGUCAAUUUUGGGAUGGAGAGUUGGCAUCCAAUUGCAAAGAAAUAUGACGUCUACCAACAUGCAAUGUAAACCUAUGUAGAUCAUAUGAAGAUAGAGAGGAAAAAUAUAGAAAUGGAUAUAUACCUAGAACUAGCUUUUUAUUAAAUGAAACGGAGAGACAACAAUGAAGGAAAAUAAAAUUUUUUGGCUUAUAUCAAAGAGUUCACAUUGUGUUACCCUAGGUUUUCUUAAAACUUACUUUUAUGAUAACAAAAAAGAAAAAACCAUUAUUGUUUAAUCCUUUGUUUUAAACGCAUGUAAGGUGUAAUUAAGUUAGUUCAAUGCAUUAAUUUAAGAAACUUGACCUAUCAAAAGUACAAAAUUAGAUGAAAUCCAUUUCAAUGGUUAAAAUGAUCAAAAUCAAACUUUUUCUAAGUAUUUUUUAAAAGCAUCAAUAGUGAAAGACAAUUUUAUAUUUAGUCGGAGUUUGGACAAAACUGAAAAACACACAAAAUCCAAGCGACCAUCUCUAGCUUGGAUGGUCGCUUGAUCCCACCUAGAGAUGUGCAUGAGUAAAAGGAUUUGAAAAUGGAAAUUGACUAUGUAGUCGAUCAAUUAACUUUGCAACAUCAUAUGCAAUCCUAAUUGCUAGUCAUCUAAUCAAUUAGGUAGUCAAUCAACAGGCCAAAAAUAUGUUUAUAAUGACUAUUUUGUACAAAAACCACCUGUAUAGUUAAAUAUAAUGCAUUUCAUUUAUAAAUCUUCUAAUUCUUGAAUAACGAUCCUAUCAUCCUUUGAAAGUUUUUAUUACACUUUUUUUACUUUUGUUCUAAAACUUACACAUCACCCUUAAUUGUACCAUGAGAACCUAGCUAUUUUUUAUUUUUUUUUUUGUAAUUCAUCAAAGUUAGCUUUUGUAUUCAUUGUUGUAUUAUUUUUAGUAUAACUUAGAAAGCUAGUGUUUUCAAGUGAGUAAAAUUAACUUGUAAAUAUUGUAAAGAUUCAUCGACAUGUAUCUUAAACUAAGUGUACAAGUUAAAACAUUUGCUAGUAGAUUUUCUCAAAAUUUAGAAUAGAGCUUGAGACUAUUGAAAUAGGUGGGGUUGCACCAAACCACAUCACAUCGUUGUUUGCACCUUUUUUCACUCUCUUUUACUUAGUUGCUCUAUAUUUGUUGUCUAGUAAUAUCCUAUAGGCUUGAUGGGUUAGGGAGCAUCCCUUUGUGAAAAAAUUUUAUUCAAUCCUUAGUUGUAUCACGCAUAUAUAAAAUGCCUCAUUGUUUUAAUGGUAUUCAGUCGUGGCAUCACAGAUAUGGGCAUCUAAAUUUUAAAAGUUUGAAACUUUUAUCUAAAGAAAAUAUGGUGCUUUGCCUUUUUGUAAAGCAUGUUGAUGAAAUCCAUGAGAAUUGUGUACUUGGGAAGCAACACCGAGAUGACUUUUUUUUUUUUUUUAUAAUAUUGUUUGUCCAAAUUCCCUACAAAUUAGGCCACCAGAUGUUCAUAAUUCUCCCUUCUUGAAUUUGAAAACUCGGACAAUUGGACAAUGCGACACCUAAGUCCGGUUUCUAAAUGCUAAAGUGAAAGGGUAGGUAUGGACCAUUGAAAUGUGAUCACAACUUUUCUCUGUAGCCAUGUUGUCUCUUUUUUCUUUUGCAUGAUUUUCUUACCUUAACAGAAUCAUAGACUUGUUUAGUCUCUAAAUGGGAUUAAUUUCAUCCAGCUUUAAGCUACUAUAUUAUAUCUAGGUGGAGGACUUUUAAGAGUGCAACCGACAUAGAGCACAUGGAAGUGGGUAUAUGGGACAUGAAAUUUCUUCUUAUAAAGAUUGCAUGAUUUUUAUAUUAGAGUUGUUGAGGCGCUAUGUAUUUAGCUUGUUUUGCAGUUAAAUUAAUUGGAUAAGUAGACAUUGGCGUUUCUAAAUCUACUGUGAAGUGCUUCAUGUACGUGUGAAGUAUUAGAAAUUUCUUUCUUGGCAACUUGUUUUUCUUUGCGGUCUACUGAUAGGUUUGACUAAAAUUAUAUUCCCUGUCAUGCUAAUUAAUUUUCACGUGCAUGCUCAAAAGAAAAGUAUGACCUUAGUGCACCAAAAUCACUUUGAUUAAUUUGUGAUAGGUUUUUGUGCAUCAUGACAUUAGCCUUAUUCAUUUAGAUAAUGUUUAGUUUUUAGAAAGUAUUAAGAAAAGGAAAAUAAAUAUUAAGAAAAAUAUUCUUAUAUUUGAUUGUAUUAUGAAAAAUAUCAUAAAAAAAUCAAAUAUAAUUUAAAUUAAUUAAUAAUUUAUACAUUUUCAAAUUAUUUAAUCUUUAUAUUGAAGAUAUAAUAUAAAUGAAAUGAGUUUUAAGUAUUAUAUAAAAGUGAUUUAUUGAUCUUACAUAUAUAUAUUUCUUUUUUUUUUCCUUCUAUUUUUUCUCUUUAUUUUAUUUUCCUUAUGUUUUCCUCAACAUUUUCCGGAACCAAACAUAGCCUUAGGAAAUCCACAAUUACCUUCAACUGAGUAGAUUCUGUUGUUUUAGCAAUGUUAGGCUGCUAACUUGUGUUGGUACGAACCUAUUAAGCCUAAAGAUGUAAUUAGUUAGGAUAUUCUUUUCCCUCUAGUCUUGUAGCUCCACGUGUACAGUUGGUUAGGACCUCAUUGUAUAUAAUGCUUGCCCUGUUAUUGUAGAAGACAACAAAGAUAAAUAAUAUUAACAUUUUUCCUCUCAUCUCUCUCUGUUUCCCUCUGUUUUCAUCUCCUCUCUCAUCUUGGUAUCAGAGCCUCCAUGGCUUCUUUCAAAGAAACCUCCGAAUCACCUUCUGCUAGCAUUGUUAAUGUGCAAAACCCAUUAUCUCAAUCAAACAACCUUCCUUCACCAGUAGCCACACCCUCUUUUUCUUUCUCGUCUAUGAAUCAACCUCUCACAGUGAAGCUGGAUAAUGGGAACUACCUCAUAUGGAAGAAUUAGCUUCUAAAUGUCAUCAUUGCUAACGGACUCGAUGAUUUCAUUGACGGAUCUCGACCCUGCCCUCCUCGAUUUCUCGAUCUGCAACAACAAACCCUCAAUCCAGAGUACUCAGCUUGGCAGAGAUACAAUCGACUUCUGAUGAGUUGGCUGUACGCAUCCUUGUCCAAAGAUAUAAUGGCUCAGAUUGUUGGGUAUUCAACAGCUAUGGAGAUUUGGAAUGCCCUUAAUCAGAUUUACUCUGCCUCUUCUAUGGCGCGGUUUACUGAGCUUCGCACCAAGCUUCAAACGCUCAAGAAAGAUGGACUCUCAGUUGGUGAAUAUAUUCAAAGGCUCAAAUCCAUUUGCAAUAGUCUUGCAGCAAUAGGAGAACCAGUUUCUGAGAAAGACCAUCUUAUCUAUUUGUUCAAUGGAUUAGAUUGUGAGUAUUAUUCUUUUGUUACCUCCAUUCAAAAUCGAUCUGACCAACCAACUAUUGACAAAAUCCAUAGCCUAUUGCUUAGCUAUGACUUCCGGCUUGAACAACAAAACUCUGUUUCUCUCCAUUCUGCCCAAGUCCAUAUGGCUCAUCUGAACAAGAAACCUUAUAAAUCAACUCCUCAACCUACAUUCAAUCAUAUUCACAUUCAACCUAGAUACUCUUCUCCACCUUUUAAGCCAACCACUAGUCAAUAUCAACCCAACAUUUUGGGCAAACCACAACCACAACCAUGACAGCCUCAACCUCAAUGGAAACCACAUUUUUCAAUCUAAAAUCAAAAGCCUCAGCGCCAAAUUUGUGGUAAAUUUGGACACACUGCUCUUAUUUGCUUCCAUCACACAAAUUUGAACUAUUCACCCCAACCUUCUCCUAAAUCUUUCAAUACUGUUCUCACCACAAAUUCCCAGCUCCCUAAUCCUCCAAAAUUUUCUUACCCUACAAUGGCUCAUCCUGCUGCUACGCAUAACACGGUUCCCGAUACAAAUUGGUACAUGGACUCAGGUGCUACACAUCACUUUACUCUGGACAUCAACGUGCUUGACACUGUGACACCAUUUAGUGGUUCAGAACAGGUGACAGUUGGGAAUGGUAAGCAACUCUGUAUCUCACAUCUUGGUACUGCAAAACUACCAUCUUCGUAUUCUCCUCCUGUUCUACAUCAGGUAUAUCACACUCCAAAAAUUUCAAAUAAUCUUAUUAGUGUUAAAAAAUUGUGUUCUGAUAAUAAAGUUUUUGUUGAAUUUUAUGCCACUCAUUUUCUUGUCAAGGAUCAGGUUUCGAAGAGAGUUCUCCUUUAGGGUCAACUUGAUAAUGGCUUAUACAAAGUUCAGUCGUCAUGCUCUCCUUCUGCUGUUUCCUUUCCUCCUCAAGUUUUCAUAGCCAACAUCAAGUAUCCAAAUCUGUGGCACAAGAGACUAGGCCACCCAGCUUUAUCUGUUGUUAAUCAAAUCUUGGAUUCUUGUAACAUUGCUCGAACACAGAAAAUUUGUUUUAAUUUUUUAAAUUCUUGUCAAUUAGCAAAGAGCCACAGGCUUCCUUUUUCUCUGUCUCCAUCCAUUGCAGAAAAACCUUUUGAGUUAAUUCAUACAGACCUAUGGGGUCUUUCGCUCGUUCGCUCUAUUUCUGGUGCUCUUUAUUUUUUACUUUUCAUUGAUGAUCAUACUCGUUUUACUUGGUUUUAUUUGCUCAAAACAAAAGAUGAAGCAUAUCCUACUUUUCUCAAGUUUCAAGCUCUCAUUGAAAAUCAAUUUAAUACCAAGAUUAAGGCUGUCCAAUCUGAUUGGGGAGGUGAGUUUCGAUCUCUCUCCAUACCGUUUUCAAAUAUGGGCAUUGUCUAUUGUUUAUCGUGUCCAUACACCUCACAACAGAAUGGGCGAGUUGAGCGAAAAAAUCGCCAUGCGAUUGUCCUUUCUUGCUUGCUCUAUGCCCUUAUCUUAUUGGCCUUAUGCCUUUCAAACUGCCACUUACCUUAUUAAUCGUCUCUCUACCCCUGUGCUGCAUCAUCAAUCCUCUUACUUCGCACUCUAUCACAAACUCCCAACUUAUACUCAUCUUAAGGUCUUUGGUUCCUCUUGUUUUCCGUAUUUGCACCCUUAUAAUACCCAUAAACUCCAAUACAGGUCACUAGAGUGUGCUUUUCUUGGUUACAGUUCACACCACAAAGGUUAUCUAUGUCUUGACAUUCAUUCUAGCAGGGUGUAUAUUUCUCGCCAUGUGAUUUUUAAUGAAGAUUCUUUUCCAUUCAAGAAUUUGAAAUCUUCUCUCUCUCAGUCUAUUUCUUCUUCCUCUUCUUUAUAAGUUCCUCUGUUCAUUCUCUUGCCUCCCCUUUCCCCAUCUCCUCUUAUUUCUUCAUCUAUACCUCAUUCUUUUCCCUCUUCUUCUUCUACCUCUAGUACUUGUUCCCCUCUCGUUGCUCCUACCUCUCUUCCUUCCUCUUCACACUCUGUGUCUCCAUCUAUUCCACCUCCUUCUCCACCUUCUCCGAGUGUGGACCUGCUUGCACCUUGUGUGAAUACAAAUUUACAUACUUCUUCUCGCACUCACAAUAUUCAUCCUAUGGUGACUAGAUCUAAGGUUUGUAUCUAUAAACCUAAGUUGUUGUUGAGUGUCUCCAUAGGUUCUCUCACUAAGCCUACUUCCUUUCUUCAAGCUAUUAAAGAUCCUUCAUGGAAGCAAUCCAUGGAAUUCGAGUUUGCUACCCUUCAACACAACAAGACCUGGCAUUUGGUUCCUUCACCUUCCUCAGGCGAAGUAAUCGGUUGUAAAUGGGUCUAUAAGCUAAAGCUUCAGCCUGAUGGCUAAAUUGAGAGAUACAGCCUGCUUAGUAGCUAAGGGUAUCAUCAAAUUGAAGUAUGGACUACUUCGAAACAUUCAGCCUGAUNNNNNNNNNNNNNNNNNNNNNNNNNNNNNNNNNNNNNNNNNNNNNNNNNNNNNNNNNNNNNNNNNNNNNNNNNNNNNNNNNNNNNNNNNNNNNNNNNNNNAGCUUCAGCCUGAUGGCUAAAUUGAGAGAUACAAGGCCUGCUUAGUAGCUAAGGGUUAUCAUCAAAUUGAAGGUAUUGACUACUUCGAAACAUUCAGCCUGAUUGUCAAGCUUUCUACUAUCUGUAUUGUGCUCAGUCUUACUUUUUCCCAGAAUUGGUGUAUUAGACAGCUGGAUGUUCAUAAUGCCUUCUUACAUGGUGACUUAGCUAAAGACGUUUUCAUGGAACAACUGCCUGGAUUUGUUGAUCCUCUCUAUCCUACUCAUGUCUGCAAGUUGGAUAAGUCUCUCUACUGUCUUAAAUAGUCACCUCGGGCUUGGUAUACUAAGCUGAGUACUUCUCGCUACACUUGGGAUUUGUUACUUCUAAGAAUGACUCUUCCUUAUUUAUUUGUCAUUCGUCUCAUGGGUUACUUCUUGUUCUUGUCUAUGUGGAUGAUAUAAUCGUCAUUGGGAGCCACUCUCCUCAGGUUACUCACCUUAUCCAACAGUUGCAUCAUUAGCUUUCUUUAAAGGAUCUUGGUCCUUUACAUUAUUUUCUGGGCUUGGAGGUUCAUCACACCCCUACUGGUAUUCACCUCAGCCAAGCAAAGUAUAUCACUGAUCUCCUUACCCGGGCGGCUAUGUUGGAUGCCAAGCCAUGUCCCACUCCUAUGUCCUCCAACACAUAUCUCUCUUUUCAUGAUGGAGUGGCUCUUGAAAAUGGUUCAGAUUAUCGAAGUUUUGUUGGUGCCCUUUAGUAUUGUACCAUGACACGCCCAGAUAUAGCUUUUGCAAUAAAUAAAGUGUGUCAAUUCAUGCACCAUCCCUCUAAUGUUCACUGGCAGGCUAUAAAACGUAUUCUCCGGUACUUAAAGGGCACAUCUCAUUUUGGUCUCUUCCUACAGCCUUCCUAUGACUUCAACAUCACUUGCUAUACAAAUGCCGACUGGGCUUCCUGUCCUGAUGACAAGUGUAGCACCAGUGGCUACUGCCUCUUUCUUGCCUCUAAUCUGGUUUCUUGGUCAUCUUCCAAACAAAAAGUGGUCUCCCGCUCCAGCGCCGAAUCAGAGUACCGAGGGGUAGCAAAUGGGGCUGCUGAAAUUGCUUGGACUGAAUCUCUUCUUUGUGAACUUUCCAUUACUCCCCCUCCCCUCAUUCUCUGUGACAAUAUCAGUGCCACGUACUUAGCUGCCAAUCCUAUUUUGCAUGCCCGCACCAAACAUGUGGAAAUCGACUAUCACUUUGUCACGGAACGUGUUCUUCAAUGCUCUCUUUUUGUCCAGUUUACACCUUCUGAUGAUCAACUUGCUGAUUGCAUGACCAAGCCUCUCUCCACCCAACGUUUCAUCACUCUACGCUCCAAGCUCACUGUUCUCACUAGACCAAUGAGCUUGAGGGGGGAUGUUAAGCCUAAAGAUGUAAUUAGUUAGGAUAUUCUUUUCCCUCUAGUCUUGUAGCUCCACGUGUACAGUUGGUUAGGACCUCAUUGUAUAUAAUGCCUGCCCUGUUAUUGUAGAAGACAACAGAGAUAAAUAAUAUUAACAUUUUUCCUCUCAUCUCUCUCUCUGUUUCCCUCUGUUUUCAUCUCCUCUCUCAUCUGAACCAAAUGAUCCAUGUUAACCUUGGCUUGGUUUGAUUUGGCUCUAUCUUAGAGAGCUCAAGGAUCACGUCAACUCUGGUUUCUACUAUUCAGGUCCAUUCCCAUAUGAACUGGUUCAAAUUUGAGAAAAUGGUAACAGACCUUUAGUGAUGUUGGUUUGGAGCCAGUUGCCAAACCCGCCCUGAGCUUUACCACUAAUGUCAAGGGAGAAAGCCAUUUGAACAAAAACAAUAGCUUCAAGGGACUGAAUCGUGGAUGAAAUCUGAUCCACAUUUCUUCUCAUUUUGGAAACAAAUGAGAACUUAACUAAGAAGAUUCUACGGCCUCAUAGUGCUUUUCCUGAUCUAAGGUUGGUUCGUUUCCCAAACUGUGAGAUGCACGUGCCAGACUUCAGAACUCUCACGCUCAGGAGUGUAUCCACGUGGUGGACAUAAGAUGGUGGCUUAAGAUCUGGUGUCGGUGGCUUUACUUUACUAGGAGAGUAGUGUGUCUUCAUCUCAUUCACUGCCGGAGGGUGGCGUAAGCAGUGACGCUAAGGUGGGGCACAGUCAAUAUCAUUUGCAUUUGACCAUUAUAGUUUUCUCCCGGCUUUAAAGUAACCUUAUCGUGAUAAAGGAUUACUAGCACUAGUUCAGAUGAUAGUCAUGUUAAAUUCGGACCAUGUUUGUGUCACAUUAUCAGCAACCAUGUGUUUAUGGUUCAUGCUUUCUGCAACUAAAAUUGAUAUAUAACCAGGUGAACUUCAAUCUAAAUUCUGAAAGUACUCAUGUGAUAGAUGGUGCCCGUCUGCAGAGUCCAUCAAUUGAAAAAUGGAGUGAGUGUAUCUAUAAGAGGGAAGGCUUGGAAAAUGUUCAGUUUUCUGGGAAUUCAACAAGGAUCUAAAAUAGAUUGUUUUCUUUGCUGAUUUCAAUGGUUGAAAUUUGAGAAGAUUGUGUCCACAUAACACAACUAUUACUGGUCCUUCUGUUGCAAUUUAUCCUCUAAAGCUCUAGCAUGUCUUCCAAUUCCCACUUCCCUGUUACUCCAGGAAAGCUAUUUCUGUCAUUGUGAAGAAGAAAAGAGAAUGUACAUAUCGAUGCUUUUAAGUGACUGGAGCAUUUAUAUCAGGUGGUCUGCAGCCAUAUAUGCCACUUUGUGAAGAUUGGAACAGUCAAUCACUAGGCUAUAUAUUAGUGUGGCCCAGCCACUUUAAUCAAGGACAAGUCUUCAUACUUAAAGUCAAAUUCUGCCUUUAGUCUCAUUAUAAAUUUCUGUUUAAAUAUUAAGCAAACAUUUGUUUAAUGCGAUUAAGACAGUACUAACUCAAUACCUGUUCUAUUUUUGGAUGCAAAUGCUUGAUGGUUUCAUCAUUGGAUGGGAUAAAGGUGCAUUCAUGAUUAGGAAUACUAGUAGUUAUAUUUUAAUUCUCUUUUUUCUCAAUGAGACUUGUUGGCACAAUUUUGCUGUUGAGAAACCUACCUCUCCAUGGAAAAUAAGUUGUGAUUGAUAGUACUGGAUAUAUUCAAGAAAUCUAAAUAUAGAUAGCACAAAAUAUUAUCGACAUAAAUAGCAUUAACAGCGUACGUAUGUCUCAGUGCUCAUCAGCUAUAAGCAUGGGGCAAACACUUACUAUGAGCAACUUACGUCAAAAUUCCAGAAUAGGACAUAGAAGUGACAGAUAUAGAACAUUGCAUAUGAGUCACAAGAAAGGAAAUUACGGGUGCAUAGCAGCUCUUAUUUUACAUACUACUACUCAUACUGAUCAAAGUCACUCAGUUGGGAUGGGUGGGAGUAGGAGGUUUGUGGGGUGGCUUGUGCGGAGGAGUUGGCAGCUUCUUUCCAGGACCUGGUUGCUUCUCUGCUGGAGUUGAAGGAGGCUUAAUCUUCCGAGGUGGCUUGUAUGAGUCUUCAGCAUUCUCAGCUGGAGGGUGACCAGGGUUGUGACCAUAAUGUGGUGGCUUCUCUCCCUUAGGUGGUUUGCCAACUGGGGUUGGUGGCUUGUAUGAGUCUUCAGCAUUCUCAGCAGGAGGGUGACCAGGGUUGUGACCAUAAUGUGGUGGCUUCUCUCCCUUAGGUGGUUUGCCAACUGGGGUUGGUGGCUUGUGUUCUGGGAGUGGCUUCUCCCCCUUGGGAGGUUUUUCCAAUGGGGUUGGUUUGUGUUCAGGAGGUGGCUUCUCCACUGGAGGCUUGUGUUCAGGAGGUGGCUUCUCCACCGGAGGCUUGUGUUCAGGUGGUGGCUUCUCCACCGGAGGCUUAUGCUCUGGUGGUGGCUUCUCGAAUGGGGGAUGCUUAGGAUAAUCAGCAAGUGAGGGGGCGGUGAGAACCACCAGGCCAAGCAACACCACUAGCAAAUAUGUAGGAGACAUCUUUGGGUUUGGGCUCAGAUGGUGCAAAACUAGGAGAAUUGGCUAGCCUUUUAUAGCGGAUCGUACCCAAUAAUGAAAUGACACGUGUCAUUAUGACCCAUGUGUAAUGGGGUCGAUUUGGGUCCUACAGUGUUGAAAACUUCGACAUCCACUUUUGGCCUUUUGCUUUCUCUACAGCCGCCUUGCUUUUUCCCUCUUUCCUUUUGUUUUCCUCCUGCCCCAUUCUAUCAACUAAACACAAUUAUGUAGUUGUUUAAUUCUUAAAUGAGAUAUUAUCCGUCAAUCGUAUUAUAUUUUAUCAAGAGAGAACGGAGUGCAAUGUGGCUGUAAUUUUAUCGUUUAGUUUUAUCUCUUGGACCACUGCAUUUUUGUUAAGAGGUGCAAUAAUACACGUCUUUAUCUGCCAUUCAAUAUUUACAGUAAAGAGAGGGCACAAAACUCUUCACUUCGCACCAUAAUUAUUUUGUUUUCUGGACACCCCGGGGCCCUUUGGUUGGUUUGGGGGUCAGAAAGUGAACAUCAUAGGGGGUUUUUCCCUUAUGUGCAUUUGUAUCUGAUGGCUUUAACUCGCCUUGUUACUACAAAGAAACUGUCACAGAUAGGAACUUAUUCCAGGCUGAGUAUCUCCUCAUAGACCCUAUAAAAGAAGACAAGUCAUAAUGAACAUCUAACCUUUGUUCAAUUUGAUUCAAUGCCCCCAUUGUGUCCAUCUCACAAAUCUGAAUUAUUAUAUCCAUUGAAUACAUAAAUUAAUGAAGAAAAUAUGAAACCCAAGAUACAUCUCUGCACAACCUCAACCCUGGUUGCUAUGUUUCCCUUCUAUUCACAUGAUUUGAUGCUAAUUGCCAAACUUGCAACAAGCCCUGAGUUUGACACCUAGUAUCGAUGGGCGAAUUUAAAGUCUCCUCCAAACAUAUAUUCCACAGCUUGAAGCUCACAGAAGAUGUUACAGGCAGGGAAAAACCUUCAGAGUUCGCUACCAAAGAUAAUUAUUAAGGAGAUAUCACAAAGAGAAUUCCAAGGGGUCUGAAUCAAAGACAAAUUGGUCGUUCGUGGGGGUUCUUACUUUCUUUUGGGUAUAACUCACUGAGGGCACUGUCUUUGUUAUUUGCAUUUCACAUUUAGAGUUCUGUUCUGGAAACAUAUAAAAGGAGCAUCAUUUUGUUCUUGGGUAACCCAUAGUCGUGAGUGGGUCCAUUUGCAUGCUACUUAGUUGAAAAGUUGGACCAUUUGCUCCGACGCCUACCUCCCGGAUUCCAUGCUCGGAUAAAACAAGAAUAAAAAAAAUAUUUAUAAUUUACAAAUGGGGGAAAGAAAAAAAUGUCAACAACAAACCAGGAAAAAAGAGUAGUAAAAUUCAUGUCACAUGCUAGUGAGAGAAGGGGUUGUUACACUCACUCGAAGUUCUUUCCAAAAUAUCGCAUGGUAUUUUAUUUUAUGUGUCAGCGCAGUUGUGAAUGGAACGUGCAAAAGUCCAAAUUGGCGUUUUUCCUUUUCCCGUGUAGGAUGGCGACCUUUAAUAAAUAUUUAAAACAAAAAACGAAAAAAAGGAGGGAAAAGGGAUCAGAAAAGAUAAAACAAUGUGUACAAGAGCUCAAUUAGUUUGCAAAUUACUGUUUGGAUUUUGAUAGUAUUUUAUUUGUCCAUCUAUAUUUGAUGGAAAAGAGAAUUUAAGAUAUUUCUGAAACAAAAGCAUUAGUGUAAAACUAAAUUAAGGUAUAAUUAAGUUAGUUCAAUGCAUUAAUUUAAGAAACUUGAUCUAUCCAAAGUACAAAAUUAGAUGAAAUCCAUUUCAAUGGUUAAAAUGAUCAAAAUCAAACUUUUUCUAAGUAUUUUUUAAAAGCAUCAAUAUUAAAAGACAAUUUUAUAUUUAGUCGGAGUUUGGACAAAACCAAAAAGCACACAAAAUCCAAGCGACCAUCUCUAGCUUGGAUAGUCACUUGAUCCCACCUAGAGAUGUGCAUGAGUAAAAGGAUUUGAAAAUGGAAAUUGACUAAAUAUUUAGUUGAUCAAUUAAAUUUGCAAUGUCAUAUGCAAUCCUAAUAGCUAGUCAUCUAAUCAAUUAGGUAGUCAAUCAAGUGUUUGUAAUGACUAUUUUGUACAAAAAACCACAUGUAUAGUUAAAUAUAAUGCAUUUCAUUUAUAAAUCUUCUAAUUCUUGAAUAACGAUCCUAUCAUCCUUUGAAAAUUUUUAUUACACCUUUUUUACUUUUGUUCUAAAACUUACAUAUCACCCUUAAUUGUACCAUGAGAACCUAGCUAUUUUUUUUUUUUUUGUAAUUCAUCAAAGUUAGCUUUUGUAUUCAUUGUUGUAUUAUUUUUAGUAUAACUUAGAAAGCUAGUGUUUUCAAGUGAGUAAAAUUAACUUGUAAAUAUUGUAAAGAUUCAUUGAUAUGUAUCUUAAACUAAGUGUACAAAUUAAAACAUUUGCUAGUAGAUUUUCUCAAAAUUUAGAAUAGAGCUUGAGGCUAUUGAAAUAGGUGGGGUUACACCAAACCACAUCACAUCGUUGUUUGCACCUUUUUUCACUCUCUUUUACUUAGUUUCUCUAUAUUUGUUGUCUAGUAAUAUCCUAUAGGCUUGAUGGGUUAGGGAGCAUCCCUUUGUGAAAAAAUUUCAUUCAAUUCUUAGUUGUAUUACGCAUAUAUAAAAUGCCUCAUUGUUUUAAUGGUAUUCAGUCGUGGCAUCACAGAUAUGGGCAUCUAAAUUUUAAAAGUUUGAAACUUUUGUAAAGCAUGUUGAUAAAAUCCAUGAGAGUUGUGUACUUGGGAAGCAACAUCGAGGUGACUUUAUUUUUUUUUCCUUUUAUAAUGCCACACCUAAGUCCGGUUUCUAAAUGCUAAAGUGAAAGGGUAGGUAUGGACCAUUGAAAUGUGAUCACAACUUUUGGCCUUUUCCUUUCUCUGCAGCCAUGUUGUCUCUUUUUUCUUUUGCAUGAUUUUCUUACCAAAACAGAAUCAUAGACUUGUUUAGUCUCUAAGCUACUAUAUUAUAUCUCGGUGGACUUUUAAGAGUGCAACCGACAUAGAGCACAUGCAAGUGGGCAUAUGGGACAUGAAAUUUCUUCUUACAAAGAUUGCAUGAUUUUUAUAUUAGAGUUGUUCACGUGCAAUGUAUUUAGCUUGUUUUGCAGUUAAAUUAAUUGGAUAAGUAAACAUUGGCAUUUCUAAAUCGACUGUGAAGUGCUUCAUGUACGUGUAAAGUAUUAGAAAUUUCUUUCUUGGCAACUUGUUUUUUCCUUGCCAUCUACUGGUAGGUUUGACUAAAAUUAUAUUCCCUGUCAUGCUAAUUAAUUUUCAUGUGCAUGCUCAAAAGAAGAGUAUGACCUUAGUGCACCAAAAUCACUUUGAUUAAUUUGUGAUAGGUUUUUUUGCAUCAUUUAGAUAAUGUUUAGUUCUAAGAAAAAUUUAUAUAAAAAUGGUUUAUUUAUCUUACAUAUAUAUAUAUAUAUAUAUAUUUUUUUUUUUUUCAUUUUUUUUUCUUCUAUUUUAUUUAUUUAUUUUAUUUUCCUUAUGUUUUCCUCACAUUUUCCGGAACUAAACAUAGUCUUACGAAAUCAACAAUUGCCUUCAACUGAGUAGAUUCUGUUGUUUUAGCAAUGUUAGGCUGCUAACUUGUGGUGGUACGAACCAAAUGACCCAUGUUAAUCUUGGCUUGGUUUGAUUUGGCUCUAUCUCAGAGAGCUAAAGGAUCACGUCAACUCUGGUUUCUACUAUUCAGGUCCAUUCCCAGAUGAACUGGUUCAAAUUUGAGAAAAUGGUAACAGACCUUUAGUGAUGUUGGUUUGGAGCCAGUUGCCAAACCCGCCCUGAGCUUUACCACUAAUGUCAAGGGAGAAAGCCAUUUGAACAAAAACAAUAGCUUCAAGAGACUGAAUCGUGGAUGAAAUCUGAUCCACAUUUCUUCUCAUUUUGGGAAAAAAUGAGAACUUAACUACAAAGAUUCUACUGCCUCAUUCAUAGUGCUUUUCCUGAUCCAAGGUUGGUUCGUUUCCCAAAUUGUGAGGUGCACGUGCCACUCUCACGCUCAGGAGUGUAUCCACGUGGUGGACAUCAGAUGGUGGCUUAAUAUCUGGUGUCGGUGGCUUUACUUUACUAGGAGAGUAGUGUGUCUUCAUCUCAUUCACUGCCGGAGGGUGGCGUAAGCAGUGACGCUAAGGUGGGGCACAGUCAAUAUCAUUUGCAUUUGACCAUUAUAGUUUUCUCCCGGCUUGAAAGUAACCUUAUCGUGAUAAAGGAUUACUAGCACUAGUUCAGAUGACCGUCAUGUUAAUUCGGACCAUGUUUGUGUCACAUUAUCAGCAACCAUGUGUUUAUGGUUCAUGCUAUCUGCAACUAAACUUGAUAUAUAACCAGGUGAACUUCAAUCAAAAUUCUGGAAGUACUCUUGUGAUAGAUGGUGCCUGUCUGCAGAGUCCAUCAAUUGAAAAAUGGAGUGAGUGUAUCUAUAAGAGGGAAGGCUUGGCAAAUGUUCAGUUUUCUGGGAAUUCAACAAGGAUCUAAAAUAGAUUGUUUUCUUUGCCGACUUCAAUGGUUGAAAUUUGAGAAGAUUGUGUCCACAUAUCACAACUAUUACUGGUCCUUCUGUUGCAAUUUAUCCUGUAAGGCUCUAACAUGUCUUCCAAUUCCCACUUCCCUGUUACUCCAGGAAAGCUAUUUCUGUCAUUGUGAAGAAGAAAAGAGAAUGUACAUAUCGAUGCUUUUAAGUGACUGGAGCAUUCAUAUCAGGUGGUCUGCAGCCAUAUAUGCCACUUUGUGAAGGUUGGAACAGUCAAUCACUAGGCUAUAUAUUGGUGUGGCCCAGCCACUUCAAUCAAGGACAAGUCUUCAUACUUAAAGUCAAAUUCUGCCUUUAGUCUCAUUAUAAAUUGCUGUUUAAAUAUUAAGCAAACUUUUGUUUAAUGCGAUUAAGACAGUACUAACUCAAUACUUGUUCUAUUUUUGGAUGCAAAUGCUUGAUGGUUUCAUCAUUGGAUGGGAUAAAGGUGCAUUCAUGAUUAUGAAUACUUGUAGUUAUAUUUUCAUUCUCUUUUUUCUCAAUGAGACUUGUUGGCACAAUGUUGCUGUUCAGAAACCUACCUCUCCAUGGAAAAUAAGUUGCGAUUGAUAGUACUGGAUAUGUUCAAGAAAGCUAAAUAUAGAUAGCACAAAAUAUUAUCGAUAUAAAUAGCAUUAACAGCGUACGUAUGUCUCAAUGCUCAUCAGCUAUAAGCAUGGGACAAACACUUACUAUGAGCAACUUACGUCAAAAUUCCAGAAUAGGACAUAGAAGUGACAGAUCUAUAUAUAUAGAACACUGCAUAUGAGUCACAAGAAAGGAAAUUACGGGUGCAUAGCAGCUCUUAUUUUACAUACUACUACUCAUACUGAUCAAAGUCACUCAGUUGGGAUGGGUGGGAGUAGGAGGUUUGUGGGGUGGCUUGUGCGGAGGAGUUGGCAGCUUCUUUCCAGGACCUGGUUGCUUCUCUGCUGGAGUUGAAGGAGGCUUAAUCUUCCGAGGUGGCUUGUAUGAGUCUUCAGCAUUCUCAGCUGGAGGGUGACCAGGGUUGUGACCAUAAUGUGGUGGCUUCUCUCCCUUAGGUGGUUUGCCAACUGGGGUUGGUGGCUUGUAUGAGUCUUCAGCAUUCUCAGCAGGAGGGUGACCAGGGUUGUGACCAUAAUGUGGUGGCUUCUCUCCCUUAGGUGGUUUGCCAACUGGGGUUGGUGGCUUGUGUUCUGGGAGUGGCUUCUCCCCCUUGGGAGGUUUUUCCAAUGGGGUUGGUUUGUGUUCAGGAGGUGGCUUCUCCACUGGAGGCUUGUGUUCAGGAGGUGGCUUCUCCACCGGUGGCUUGUGUUCAGGAGGUGGCUUCUCCACCGGAGGCUUAUGCUCUGGUGGUGGCUUCUCCACCGGAGGCUUAUGCUCUGGUGGUGGCUUCUUGAAUGGGGGAUGCUGAGGGUAAUCAGCAAGUGAGGGGGCGGUGAGAACCACCAGGCCAAGCAACACCACUAGCAAAUAUGUAGGAGACAUCUUUGGGUUUGGGCUCAGAUGGUGCAAAACUAGGAGAAUUGGCUAGCCUUUUAUAGCGGAUCGUACUCAAUAAUGAAAUGACACGUGUCAUUAUGACCCAUGUGUAAUGGGGUCGAUUUGGGUCCUACAGUGUUGAAAACUUCGACAUCCAGUUUUGGCCUUUUGCUUUCUCUACAGCCGCCUUGCUUUUUCCCUCUUUCCUUUUGUUUUCCUCCUGCCCCAUUCUAUCAACUAAACACAAUUAUGUAGUUGUUUAAUUCUUAAAUGAGAUAUUAUCGGUCAAUCGUAUUAUAUUUUAUCAAGAGAGAACGGAGUGCAAUGCAGCUGUAAUUUUAUCGUUUACUUUUAUCUCUUGGACCACUGCAUUUUUGUUAAGAGGUGCAAUAAUACACGUCUUUAUCUGCCAUUCAAUGUUUACAGUAAAGAGAGGGCACAAAACUCUUCACUGCUCUGCAUGUGUCCCAAAAAUGCGAUUGGACAAAUUAUGAUUUGCAUGCUAAAAAGAGGCAAAUGAGGUUAAUUCGCACCAUAAUUAUUUGGUUUUCUGGACACCAUAAAAAGAUGUUAUACAGGCAGGGAAAAACCUUCAGAGUUAGCUACCAAAGAUAAUUAUCAAGCAGAUAUCACCAAGAGAAUUCCAUAGAGUCUGAAUCAAAGACAGAUUGCUCGCUCGUGGGGGUUCUUACUUUCUUUUGGGUAUAACUCACUGAGGUCACUGUCUUUUUUAUUUGCAUUUCACAGUUAGAGUUCUGCUCUGGAAGGUUUGUUCUGGAAACAUAUAAAAGGAGCAUCAUUUUGUUCUUGGGUAACCCAUAGUCGUGAGUGGGUCCAUUUGCAUGCUACUUAGUUGAAAAGUUGGACAAUUUGCUCCGACGCCUACCUCCUGGAUUCCAUGCUCGGUAAAACAAGAAUAAAAAAAAAUAUAUAAUUUACAAAUGGGGGAAAGAAAAAAUGUCGGAAAAAAUAGUAAAAUUCAUGUCACAUGCUAGUGAGAGAAGGGGUUGUUACACUCACUCGAAGUUCUUUUCAAAAUAUCGAAUGGUAUUUUACUUUAUGUGUCAGCGCAGUUGUGAAUGGAACGUGCAAAAGUCCAAAUUGGCGUUUUUAUUUUUCCCAUGUAGGAUGGUGACCUUUAAUAAAUAUUUAAAACAAAAGACGAAAAAAAAAAGGAGGGAAAAGGGAUCACAAAAGAUAAAAUAAUGUUUACAAAAGCUCAAUUAGUUUGCAAAUUACUGUUUGGAUUUUGAUAGUAUUUUAUUUGUCGUUCUAUAUUUGAUGUAAAAGAGAAUUUAAGAUAUUUCCGAAGCAAAAGCAUUAGUUUGCUCUGUGAUGUCCCACAUCGAAUAGGGGAGAAAGUUUCUGGCGCUAUAUAUGUAGAGGCUCCUCUUAACCAAGUAGAUGCGUUUUAAAACCAUGAGGGCCCCCUUAGGUCCAAAGCGGACAAUAUCUACAUGAUUGGGUGUAAGUCAUUACAAAUGGUAUCAGAGCCGAUCCCCGACCCCGGUGUGGGGGUUUGUUUGGCCCUGUAAGGGGUGUUUGUCUGUUUGACCCCACAAUCCCAUGGGACACAACGAGGACGUUGUGUCUGCAUGGGGGGGCGUUUGUGAUGUCCCACAUCGGAUAGGGGAGAAAGUUCCUAGUGCUAUAUAUGUAGAUGUUUCUCUUAACCAAGUAGAUGCAUUUUAAAAUUGUGAGGGCCUCUUUGGGCCCAAAGCGGACAAUAUCUACAUGGUUGAGUGUAAGUCAUUACAUGCUCCAUGUCAAUUUCAGCAUUUCUCAUAUGUUUCACACAUACACAGAAGAGCAUCGUUUUUUAAAGCAUGCAUUUAUGUUGGAUUAAUUUGGAUUUUGUGGGAACUGGGGCAAGGAUCACAUGGAAGAGAGGUUGACUUUUUUCAGUACUUCAAUGGUUGAAAUAUGUGAAGGCUUGAUUGAUACUAAAGCUUGAAAUUGCGACUCUGUCAUUUGUAAAAAAAUAUGACAGCUUCCAUGCUCUCGUUUGGUUGCAUUGUCCGGUCGAGAGGUGCAAAAAGCAUUCUCUCUCUUCUAAUAGUCUUUUCGUUUAAAUCAAGGGAUUUGCCUUCCCGGUCGAGGUCCAAUAGAGGGUAACGGUCACCUACUAAACAUUAAAUGCUCCAACAACUAGUGAACUGAUCGACCCCAGCUCGACUAGUUGAGGUUACUUUUUGGUUUUCUUGUCUCCCGAGGUUAGAAACCUAUAAAUAGAGAGCUUCACUUCAUUUAUGAGUAAGAGAACACCUAAAUUUAUUUGUUUACCUACUUGUUUUUGCCAUAAAAGCUCUCAUUUCUUUUCUUGGUGUAUUAAAUCUCCAUUUGCAUAUCCUUUAGUGCACCUUUGUGAUUCAUUCUAGCCUUGAGUUGUAUUUAAGCCUUUGUUGAGCUAGGUUGAGAGUUUCAUACUUGUUUAUUGAGUGUUAAAGCCUUCAAGUGAGUUAAAACUUGAAGAGAUUGUGUAAGAGCCCAUUGGAGUCGGAAUCCAAGUGUAAAGGUGAUUAAAAGCUUGGUUGAAGCUUCAAGUUAGUGGAACUCUCACUCGGUUAUGAGCUUGAGAAGAGUGGACAUAGACAAGGCAGUGUCGAACCACUAUAAAAUCUGAGUUUGAUUUCUCUAACCUUAUCUCUUUAUAUUUGCUUCUCUUGUGCUUAAAUUUUUUGUGUUUAAAAAGAAUUUUUAAAAACUCAAUUCACCCCCUUCUUGGGAGUUUUUCUCUUUUAAGAUCAGCUUUUAUUUUCUCAAUUGGUAUCAGAACUAUGCCUCUUGUUUAAGACUUAAUCGUCUAAGAGGAAAUGGCUAAUCCAUCAAGUUCAUCUCACAUUGAAAGUUUUGCAACCAAUAGACUUCUUUUUUUUUUUUUGCGGGAACUGAUUAUCCCUAUUGGAAAACUAAAAUGACUUGGUUUUUACAAUCAAUUGAUUUAGAUGUAUGAGAUGCCAUUGAAGAUGACCUAACUUUUCCUUCAAAACUAGUUGAUGGAGUCAUGGUUCCAAAACCUAAGCAAGAAUGGGAUGAGCGUGAUUGAAGAAAUUUUCAAUUAAAUGCUAAAGUCGUUUAUACUUUGCAAUGCUCUAUGGACAGAAAUGAAUAUAAUAGAAUAUGUCAAUGCAAAUCGGUUAAAGAAAUUUGGAGAUUGCUUGAAAUAACUCAUAAAGGAACAAAUCAAGUUAAAGAGUCAAAAAUCAAUUUACUUGUUCAUAGAUAUGAAUUGUUUUUUAUGAAAGAUAAUGAAACUAUUGUUAAGAUGAUCACUAGGUUCACCAACAUUGUUAAUGGUCUUAAAGCCUUGGGAAAGACCUACAAGGAAUCCGAAAACGUGAUGAAGAUCUUGAGGUCACUUCCAUCAAAGUGGCAUACCAAGGUCACCGCAAUUUAAGAAGCAAAAGACUUGAUCAAGCUACCUUUGGAGGAGUUCAUAGGGUCAUUGAUGACAUAUGAAAUCAAUUUGGCAAAGAAGUAACAAAAAGGUGAAGACAAAAAGAAGAAGAACAUAACUCUCAAAGCUACAACUAAGGAAGAAGAAGUUGAAGAAGAAAAACAAAUUGAAGAAGAUGAAGAUUUAGCCCUCAUCACAAGAAAGUUCAACAAAUUCAUGAGGGGUGAAAGGUUUAGAAGAAGAAGGUUCACUUCUAGAAGAGACUUUUCUAAAAAGGAAUCUUCAUCUAAUGGUGACAAAAAGAGAUGGGAAGAGAAAAGAGACUUGGUGUGUUUCAAGUGCAAGAAACCGGGACACAUUAAAUAUGAUUGUCCUCUCUACAAAAGUGAAGUCAAGAGGAAAAAGAAUAAGGCAAUGAUGGCCACUUAGAGUGAAAGUGAAGAUGAAUCAUCCGAAGAAGAAAAUGAGAAAGAAGUGGCAAACAUGUGUUUCAUGGCAAUAGAUGAACUUGAUGAGGUAAAAUCUAACCUUAGUGAUUAAGAUAUACAUGAUGCAUUUGAAGAAUUGUAUGAGGAUUUUUAAAAACUUAGUUUGAAAAAUAUUUCUCUUAAAAAGAAAGUUCAACAACUUGACAAAGAACUUAGAGAAGUAAAAGAAAAAUUUUCAAAUGUUAAAGUUUCUAAAACUCAUCUUGAAAAAGAAAAUGAGAUUCUAAGAAAGAAAAAUGAAUAGUUGAACUCCUCUCUUUCAAUCUUUUCUUCUAGACAAAAAUCUUUUGAAAUGAUUCUAACUAGCUAAAAAUGUGUUUUUGACAAACAAGGGUUAAGAUUUAAAUCUUCAAAAAAUCAAAAGUAUUUUAAAAACUAUUUUGUAAAGGAAUCCACAAGUGCAAGUCCUUCCACUACUUGCAACUUUUGUGGAAGAGAAUGGCACAUUAGUAGUACGCCCUUUAAGAAAUGGUUCUCAAAAGAAUUUAAAUGCAAAAACUAAAAAAGAUUUGGAUUGAGAAAUCCAAGGUCACUAACCCUCAAGGACCCAAAAAGAUAUAGGUACCUAAAUCAACUUGAGUUUUAUGUUGUAAGGUUCAAAGAAUGAUAAGUGGUUCUUAGAUAAUGGUUGCUCAAGACACAUGACCGGAGAUGAAUCCAAGUUUGCUUUUCUUAAAAAGAAAAAUGGAGGAUAUGUUACCUUUGGAGACAAUGCAAAAGAAAGGAUGAUUGGUCAAGGCAACAUUGGUAAUGGCACAUCCUCUCUCAUUGAAAGUGUUUUAUUAGUAGAUGGUUUCAAACAUAACCUUUUAAGCAUUAGUCAAUUUUGCGACAAAGGUUUUUAAGUGAUUUUUUAAGCAUCUCAUUGCAUCAUCAAGGAUAUUCAAAAUGAUAAAACCAUUUUCAUGGGCCAUAGAUGUGAUAAUGUUUAUGCUAUAAAUAUUUCAAAAUAUGAUGGCCAUGAUAGAUGUUUUUCAAGCAUGCAUGAUCAAAGUUGGUUGUGCCAUAGGAGAUUGAGACAUGCUAACAUAGACCUCAUUUCCCAACUCAACAAAGAUGAACUUGUUAGAGGCCUUCCCAAAAUAAUUUUUUAAAAAGAUAAAGUUUGUGAAGCUUGUCAAGUGGGAAAGUAAAUCAAAAACUCUUUUAAAAACAAAAACUUCAUUUCCACAUCUAGGCCACUUGAGUUGUUGCAUAUGGAUUUAUUUGGUCCCUCUAGGACACCAAGUCUUAGAGGAAAUUCUUAUGCAUAUGCUAUUGUGGACGACUUCUCUAGAUACACAUGAGUCUUGUUUUUUAGUCAAAAGAAUAAAGUUUUUUAUGAGUUUUCAAAGUUUUGCAAUAAGAUUCAAAAUGAAAAAGGUUUUUCAAUUACUUAUAUAAGAAGUGAUCAUGGGAGAGAAUUCGAAAAUAUUGAUUUUGAAGAGUAUUGCAAUGAGCAUGGAAUUGACCACAAUUUUUUGGCUCUUAGAACUCCUCAACAAAAUGGGGUAGUUGAAAGGAAAAAUAGAACUCUUCAAAAAAUGACAAGAACCAUACUAAAUGAAAACAACUUACCAAAAUAUUUUUAGGCCAAAACGGUUAACACUUCUUGUUAUGUUUUAAAUAGAGUAUUAUUGAGGCUCAUACUUAAGAAAACUCCCUAUGAGCUUUGGAAAAACAAAAAACCCAACAUUAGUUAUUCCAAAGUCUUUGGAUGCAAUAUUUUAUAAUAAACACCAAAGACAAUCUUGGAAAAUUUGAUGCAAAAUUGGAUGUUGGAAUUUUCCUUGGUUACUCAACUUCAAGUAAAGCUUUUCGAGUUUUAACAAAAGAACCAUGGUUGUAGAGGAGUCCAUCCAUGUUAUUUUUUAUGAAUCUCCAAGAAAGAGAGAGGAUUGAUGAUGAUUUAGGUUUGAAGACCUCUAUAGGAAGAUUGCAAAUCGAAGAUAGAAGACAACAAGAAGAAAAUGGAGAGAAUCCAAAGAAAGAAGGAUCACCAUUGGCACUACCCCCUCAUCAACAAGCGCAAGGUGAAUCAAGUCAAGAGCUUCCUAAAGAAUGGAAGUUUGUCAUCAAUCACCCACAAGAUCAAAUUAUAGGCAAUCCAUCUAGUGGGGUAAGAACUAGAUCCUCUCUUAGAAAUAUUUGCAAUAAUCUAGCUUUUAUCUCUCAAAUUGAGCCUAAAAAUAUAAAUGAUGUUUUAGAUGAUGAAAAUUGGAUAAUUGCAAUGCAAGAAGAGUUAAAUCCAUUUGAAAGAAGUGGAGUAUGGGAAUUAGUACCAAGACCUUCAAAUCAAAGUGUUAUUGGAACUAGAUGGAUCUUUAGAAAUAAAAUGGAUGAAAAUAGCAUAAUUGUUAGAAAUAAAGCAAGAUUGGUAGCCCAAGGUUUUAAUCAAGAAGAAAUGAUAGAUUAUGAAGAAACCUUUGCCCCCGUAGCUAGGUUGGAAGCCAUUAGGAUGCUACUUGCCUUUGCAUGUUUUAAAGACUUUGUUUUAUAUCAAAUGGAUGUGAAAAGUGCUUUUUUAAAUGGUUUUAUAAAUGAAGAAGUAUAUGUUGAACAACCACCCGGUUUUCAAAGUUUCAACUUUCCUAACCAUGUUUUUAAACUUAAAAAGACACUUUAUGGUUUGAAACAAGCACCUAGAUCAUGGUAUGAAAAAUUGAGUAAAUUUCUUUUGAAAAAAAUGUUUUAAAAUGGGAAAAAUUGACACAACUCUUUUUAUAAAAACCAAAGAAAAUGAUAUGCUCUUAGUUCAAAUAUAUAUUGAUGAUAUCAUUUUUGGUGCUACUAAUGUCUCUCUUUAUGAAGAAUUUUCUAAGUGCAUGCAUAGUGAGUUUGAAAUGAGCAUGAUAGGAGAACUCAACUUCUUCCUUGGACUUCAAAUCAAGCAACUAAAGGAAUGAACCUUCAUCAAUCAAGCAAAGUAUAUAAGAGAUCUUCUCAAAAGGUUCAACAUGGAAGAAGCCAAAACAAUGAAGACUCUAAUGAGCUCAUCCAUUAAGCUUGAUAAGGAUGAGAAAGGUAAAUCCAUUGACUCUAUUAUGUAUAGAGGCAUGAUAGGUUCUUUGCUCUAUUUGACCACUAGUAGACCUUACAUUAUGUAUAGUGUGUGUUUGUGUACUAGAUUUCAAUCUUGUCUUAAAAAAUCUCACUUAAGUGUCGUGAAAAGAAUCCUCAAAUAUUUGAAAGGGACAAUGGACAUAGGCUUAUGGUAUCCUAAGAGUGAUAACUUUGAAUUAAUUGGUUUUUUGGAUGCUGAUUUUGUCAGUUGUAGGGUUGAAAAAUAAAACACUAGUGGCACUUUUCAUUUCUUAAGACACUUACUUGUCUCAUGGCAUAAUAAGAAGCAAAAUUUGGUAGCUUUGUCAACAGCAGAAGCUAAAUACAUAGCAACUGGUUUAUGUUGUGCACAAAUCCUUUGGAUGAAAUAAACACUUAGUGAUUUUGAUUUAUCUUUUGAGCAUAUUCCUAUUAAAUGUGAUAAUAGUAGUGCCAUAAGUAUAUCAAAAAAUCUCGUGCAACACUCUAGGACUAAGCAUAUAGAGAUUAGACAUAAUUUUCUUAGAUAUCAUACACAAAAGGAUGAUAUAACACUUGAAUUUGUAAGCAUAAAAGACCAACUUGCCGAUAUCUUUACAAAACCUCUAAGAACAUUUUGUUGAUAUUAGAGGACAAUUAGGAGUGAUUUCUUUAUGAUCUAAUGUGAUGAAUUCUUGAUGAAUAUACUUUUUGAUUGCAUGAAUUUCAUGUCAUAUAUGCAUCAUAUAGAAAUAUACUUAGAUAAUGGUCAAAUUUCGACCAAAAAUCAAAAUUCCCAUGGCAUUAGGCAUAAAAAUUUUGGAAUUUCAACUGAAAAUGGUAGGAGGAGGAUCACAAAAUGAGAAAGUAUGCAAAAAUUGAAAAAUCAAAACGUUGACCAAGCGGUCAAUCGGACUAGACCGAUCGACUAGUUUGUCGAGAUUUAGGAUUUUUAAGAGACUCCAACGCUUCAAUUUUUGCACCGUUCUCCUCUAUUUCUUCACGGUUUCUCUGAUUUUGUCUUUUAGAGACUAAUUUGAGUGCGUUUUGGAUCAAUUGAAGCAUUUUGGAUUGGAUUUUAGGAAGAUUGAAAGUUAAGGUUUCGGAUUUGGGUCGCCUUCUCUUCCUCUCGCGUGUCACAAUCAGCUUUAGCAUUGUUCUCUUUCCAUUUUCACACACCUAGGGUUUCAGUUGUGAGCAUCUCUCUCUCUUUACCAACCACUACUCCCUUGCUUCUUCCAUAUGGCUCCUAGGCGAGAGUCCGCUACUUCUAGGGCACAAGGCAAGCACCCAACUGAGUCGUCUCAGUCAAAGGCACGUCGAAAAGUGAGAUUUGACAUUGCCUUGUUCAGUUCCAUGGAGGACUACCAACUAUACAAGCAACACUUUGCUUAGAGACGAGUAGUUCCCAAGAGAAAUAUUAAUUUUCCUCAACUUCAGCAUUUCGAAUUUAAGGGUCUAUUUACUAGGAUGGUUGGUUGUCUAUUGUCACAAUUUCGGAGCCGGUUUUCCUGACCUUAGUGCGAGUUUUUUACUCGAGGGCGACUUAUGGCAUGGGUGGCAUGAUCAUUUCUACUGUUGGAGGAGUUGAGAUCUGUCUGGACCCAGAGAGCAUCUGCCAUAUUUUCGAUAUUGCUCUGGUUGGACUCAAAGUAUACAAGUCCAAAAUGUGGCCCAUUGUGCCAGGAUUUGAGCUUAGAGAGGUCAUUCAGAGGAUUUGUGAACUUCCAGACGCCCAGGAGAUGGGCAAACCAUUGCCACACAGUUUGACGGUCAUCAACAGGGUGCUACACCAUAUAUUGUGCUCUAUCUUUCUACCACGAAGUGGACAUUGAGAUGAGGUCUCUUAUUAUGAGGCAUUCCUUAUUGACUCCAUUCUAACGGAGAGACGAAUUCAUCUACUAUGUCAUCAUUCACUAAGCCUCCUCACAGUGACAUACCACCUCAUCAGGCACCUCUUGCUCCUGACCAUGCUCCAUUGAUGGAUUUAUUUACUCAUAUUAGCUCUCUAGGCACUCGCAUGAAGGAGUUUGUUGUAGUUAGUGAUACAUGGUUCUACUCCAUAGAGGAUCGCAUGGAUCAGUAUCAGACUGGCUUCACGUCACAGUUUGAGUAUCUCCAAUAGAGGAUUGAGCAUAUUGAGGAUCACUUGAGCAUGAGAAGAUGAUGGCUUUUCUAUGCUCUGUGUUUCCACCUCCACCUCGUCAACCUUGAUUUCUUAGAGACCCAUUGUUUUCAUUUUGUAAUGUUGCCAAAAGGGGGAGAUAUUUAGGAUCUAGGACUCUAUAGGAGACUUACAUGCAUAUCAUUUUCAUAUCAUUGUUUGGAUCGUACAUAUUGGAUAGUGAUACUUUUUACUUAUAUAUGAUAUGCCUAUAUGUUUCAUGUCUUACAUUGUUUCUUAUUGCAAAUUAUCUCUAACAUGUCUUGAUUAUCUUUUUUUUAACUUCAUAAAUUUUGAUUGUUAACCCAUGAUUGGUUUGAGGGGAAGAUUCUUCUUCUCCUAGAUAACCAAGGUUUGUCAUCAUAAAAAAAUUGGAGAUUGUUAGCCCAAGGGUUCUCCUAAUCAUGUUUUGAUGAUAACAAACCAUGCUUAAGUUACUAAUUGGUUUGAAUUAUAAAGAAUUUCAAGUGUUAAUUUGAAAAUUCAUCAAAGAACCUAAUGGAUGCAAGAUCAAGAUUUUUGGAAGACCUUUAAUCAUAAGAAACAUAUGUAAGAUGAAUGCAUGGGUGCACUUAAGAUUUGCAUAUCAUUUCAUGCAUAUUUGGAAAACACGGUUUAUGCUUUAAAGUUACAUUUCCAUCAAAAUUUGAGAUCCAUCAAAUGAACCUUAGGAAAAAUGUUUUAAAAUUGGCAUAUAAUUUUACCUAAAGACCUUGCCUAAGUGUUAGAAGCAAAAGGACAAAAAAAAUAUAGGUUUUCUGGUCAAAAAUGGUGAACCAGUCAAGGCAUUGUCUAAAUCAGCUCAAUCGGCCAAGGUACCGGUCGAUCGGUUUCCCUUUCCCUGUCGAGAUCUAGUCAAGAGGUACAAAAAUCACAAUCUCUGUCUCUUUCUCUCUUUGUCUAUCUUCCAGUAGUCUUUCCUUCCCGGUCGAGGGAUUUGCCUUCCCGAUUGAGGUCCGAUUGAGAGUAAUAGUCACUUGCCAAAUAUUAAAUGCUCCAACAGUUAGUGAACUGGUCGACCCCCACCUUGCCCAGUUGAGGUUACUUUUUGGUUUUCUUGGCUCCCGAUGUUAGAAACCUAUAAAUAGAGAGUUCCACUUCAUUUAUGAGCAAGAGAACACUUGCAUUUAUUUGUUUACCUACUUGUUCUUGCCUUAAAAGCUCUCAUUUCUUUUCUUGGUGCAUUAAAUCUCCAUUUUGAUAUCCUUUAGUGCACCUUUGUGAUUCAUCUUAGCCUUGAGUUGUAUUUGAGCCCUUUUUUUAGCUAGGUUGAGAGUUUCAUACUUGUUAAUUGAGUGUUAAAGCCUUCAAGUGAGUUGAAACUUGUAGAGAUUAUGUGAGAGUCGAUUGGAGCCGAAAUCCAAGUGUAAAGGUGAUUAGAAGCUUGGUUGAAGCUUCAAGUUAGUGGAAUCCUCACUCAAUUAGGAGCUUGAGGAGAGUGGACGUAGCCAAGGAAGUGUCGAACCACUAUAAAAUUUGAGUUUGAUUUCUCUAACAUUGUCUCUUUAUAUUUGUUUAUCUUGUGCUUAAAUUUAUUGUGUUUAAAAAGAAUUUUUAAAUACCCAAUUCACCCCCCUCUUGGGUGUUUUUCUCUUUUAAAAUUAGCCUUUAUUUUCUCACAAACUAUUGUAGUAUAGUGGUUUUUAGGUGUCAUCCAUUAGGAUGAAUUGUUCUCGGUAAUUAAGGCGUGAAUGAGAGGAGAAUUAAUGAUUGUGAUUAAGUAAAAUUGAUUUGAAAAUUCAUGGUGAAAAAUCAAUUUAACAAUGGUUUCUAAUUGAGAAAAACAAUGAAAUGUGAAAUAAAAUAAAAUUAAUAGGAAAUGAAAUUCUCGAAGUUAGAAUUUUCUAAAAAACAAAUUCCAUGGUGAAUGGAUGUUGAGAUCUAAUUUUCAUCAAGUUAGAUUGAAAACCGAAAUUUUCAUAUAAACUGAUUUUUUAUUUAGUUUUAGGUCUAGAUUUAAUUUCCCUUAAAAUUAGGUUAUUUAAUCCAAGAAAUCAAUUCAAAUCAUAUAUUCAAUUCAUCUUAAAUUAUCUUCCAAUUAUUCACACAAUGCAACUAUUCAAUCUCAUCAAAUCUAGCUUUUAAGAAUUUAAUGAAUCUACCUAGUUUGCAUUGUAAUAGUCAUCCAUGACAAUUUGAAGAGAAAAAUAAUUCAAUUAAUCAAUCACUUGGAUCAAAUUACCUUUGCAAUUAAAGUUCAUUUCUCUAAUUCACCACAGAUUUUGUCUCUAGAUCCUCCUUUCUCAAAGAAAAAUGAGAUUUAGCCACACAUGAUUGGAGAUUUGGUCUCAUAAGGCAUGUUUAGCUAGUGAUAAAAUGAGAGAAAAUAAAGAAAAAUAGAGAAUUCGAUUAAGAAAGAAAAUCUAAAAAAUUCUACAAUUAGAAAUGUCCAAAAAGCUUUUUCAUGAGAAAAUCAAGUUUCUAUUUAUAGGCCAAGGUCAAGUGGACACUUGACAUCAUCUAAGAGGUCUUCCGGAAGCUUCUUCAUCAAGAAAUCUGGAGUUUAAUAAUAAAAUGGUCAUUUCACAAGAGCUCAAACAAUUUCGCAUGAUUAUGUGAAAUAAAAAAUGCAACAACAGCAAUUUACAUCUUCUUGGAGCAUUUCGCAUGACUGUGUGAAAUUUUCACAUGAUCAUGUGGAAUCGACUUGACAACUCUCAUUUAGCCUACAACAUAAUUCCACCUUUUGGUCCAUUUUUCAUAGUCAUGCGAAAUGGAAAUAUUUGAUUUUUAAGUUUUCUUUUGUCAUUUCUUUCAUUUCCUUCUCUUGAUUCCACUUCAACUACCUCCGAAUCCUGGUCCAAACCAAUUGCAUUACUUCUUUCAUUAUGCAUUUGGAUCAUCAUCAACAUUAUUUGUUCUCUUCAAUUUGAUUCAUCUCUUUUGUCACCAAUUUAUCAAAAUCAUACCUUGAAAUGACUCCAAAACUUCAUAAAACUUGUUAGUAACUCUUGCAAGGGCAACAACAUAUUAAUUAAGUGUUUUAGGCAUAGUUACUACUCAAAAGAUGCGAAACUCAUGAUAAUUAUUAUAUAAAAUAUGCUCUUUUUGAGUAGUAAUCAACUUUCUUGCAUAAGCAGACCUUUUAGGGUGGAGUACUAAAGACCAAUAUGCUUGUCCUUGUUGUAAUAAAGAAACUUGCUCUUAUUGAUUGCACCAUGGGAGAAAAUUUUGCUACAUGAGUUAUCAUCAAUUUCUUCCCACCAAUCAUAGAUUUAGACGUGACAAGAGGCCUCUUAAUGGCAAGGAGGAACUGACACUCACACUUAUACAAUUAUCGGGCAUUGAUGUGUUGCAACAAUUAGAAUAACUUACACCAAUUAUGUUGGGGAAGUCACAAAAGGCAAACAUGAAAACUAAAAGGAAAAAAGAAAAAUGUUACAUAUCACCACAACUGGAAAGAAAAAAGUAUUUACUUUCAUUUGCCAUAUUGGAAAGCACUUAUUUUACAUCAUAAUAAUUUAGACAUAAUGCAUAUUGAGAAAAAUGUGUGACAAUAUAAUUGAGACAUUGUUCAGUAUUGACGAAGAAACAAGGACAACCUAAAUAGUCAUCUCGAUUUACAAGCUCUAACUAUUAGAAAUGAGAUUCACCCAAUAGAAAGCAGGACCAAAUUUAUUUUGCUUGCAACAUGCUACUCACUCACCCCAAAUGAGAUUAAGGAAUUUUGCAAGUUUUUGAAAUCAAUAAAGGUCCCCAAUGGCUAUUCUUUCAAUAUCUCUCGUUAUGUGCAACUCAAUGAAAGGAAGAUAUAUGAGCUCAAAUUGUAUGAUUGUCAUGUCCUAAUGCAACAACUUCUCUCACUUGUAGUUCGUGGAGUUCUACAUAAGAAUGUUUGUGGAGUUAUCAUAGAAUUGCGUAAUUUUUUCAAGCAAUUGUGCUCAAAGGUGUUAGAAACAAAUCACUUACACCAACUUGAGAACAAUAUUAUUGUCAUACUAUGUAAAAUGGAGCAAAUAUUUCUUCCAUCAUUCUUUGAUAUUAUGGUGCAUUUACUUGUGCAUCUAGUAAGGCAAAGGUUGCAAGACUUGUGCAAUAUUGUUGGAUGUACCUAAUUGAACGAUAUUGUUAUAAUUUCAUAUGAAUCAUUUAAUUUUAUUUUAUAUUAUGUUCAGUUCAUUAACAUGUACAUUGGUCUACAUAUGGAUGAUGAUAGGUACCUAAGCACUUUAAAGUCAUAUGUGCGUAAUAGAACUUUUCUAGAAGGUUCUAUUGUAGAAAGGUACCUUGCAAAAGAAUGUACAACAUUUUAUUCUAGGUACUUGAAUGAUGUGGAAAUAAAGUAUAAUCACAAUGAUAGAAACUUUGUUGGUUUCAACACUAGAGGAGAUGAAAGGGGUUAUCUUUAAACAUAUUGGACAUGCAUUGGGAAAGCCCAUAUUUCAUUAACUUAGUUCAAAAGAGUGGUCACAAGCACAUUUAUAUGUGUUGACAAAUUGCGAAGAUGUCAUACCAUUCAUUGAGUAAAAAAUUUAUUUGAAUUUUAAUUAAAGCUCUAGUUUAUAUCCUUAAUCAAUGUUUUUUAAAUUCACAAGGAGCACAAGCAAACCAUCAAGGCUAGACCACAUAUACGUGUUUGAGACGUAGAUUUAAUUCAUAACAAGGAAUUUAUCAAGUGGUUUGAAAGACAUGUAAGUAUAUUCCUUAUUAUAAGGGAUUUAUUUCACAUUAUGUUUAUAUUGAAUCCAAACCUAUUAUUGAAUUGUAGGUUGAACAAUUACAUAAUGAAGGUCAUAUAUCUGAACACCUUCUCACAUUAUCAUGUGUUCCAAAUUCAUUAGUUACAUGCUUCAAAUGAUAUAUUGUCAAUGGAUUUAGAUCCCACAUUAAAGAACGUGAUAAAAAAGUUUUUAAAAAAAGACUCAGAAUAAUGGAAUUGUUGUAGUUGCAAAAACGUCAAGCUUUACAAGUGCAUGUGAUAUGAGUCCAAUUAUUAGUGAUGCUCUCUACUAUGGUGUUCUAACUAAAGUUGUUGAGUUACAUUAUCUUGGUGAAAAUAAGGUUGUUUUAUUCGAGUUUGAUUGGUGGGAUGUUACAAAUAUUGGAAAAUUGAUAAAAGAUGAUGAGUACAAUUACACAUUUGUUAACUUUGCAUGAAUUCUAACCACGAACGAACGAUUUGUACUUGCAUCUCCAGCAAAGUAAGUGUUCUAUGUGAAGAAUGCGAAUGAAUCAGAUUGGCAUACUAUCAUGGAGAUGCAACCUCAAGACCUCUAUAAGAUGAACGGGAUAGGAUCCAAUGGUGAUUUUGAACCAUUUCAACAAAGUGAACUACAUGAUCACUAAUAUAUCUCAGAUUUAGUUGAUGAAGAUAUAAUCAAGUGGAACAAAAGUGAUGUUUUAGGACUAAUCAUCCUAAAAAAUAUUGUAGUUUCUUAAAAAAAAAAUGAAAAUGAAGAAGAUAAUUGAACCUUUGUCAUACUUUAAAAAGCAACUAUGCAUUGUUCAUUUUGUAUGUUUUGGUUUUCUUCAUUUAAUUUCCUGAUUUUUGUGAUUCAAUGUCAUAUUAUUGAUCUUGAAAUAUUUUUCUAAUUUUUCAUUCUACGAUGGUUUCAACAAGGAUGACAUCAAGUCAAAAAAGGAAAUGUGGUCCCACACACAAUAUUGCAUUACAGGGAUUAAGGUCAGGGAAGAAGGUAAAAGUUGCAUUUAAUGAGUACAAUCAAUUGGUUAAACAGAAAAAUGGAAAACACUUAUCGAGCUACAUAGGGACACUUGUAUCUAACCAACACAAUGUACCUCUCCAAGCUAGUGAUUGGAAAAAUGUUCCAAAUGAUGCAAAAGAGAAAGUAUGGCCUUUGUUUUGGUAUGUUGUAUUUCUCACUAUAUGAUGUCAUUUCACUGUUAUUCUAUUUUGUGACUAACGUUUGAAUCAUAUGUAAGAAAAAUUUGAAGUAGAUAAAGACUGAAAAGAUUACAUGUUGGGUAUAGCCUCAAAUAAAUAUAGAAGCUAUAAAAAUAUGAUGAAUGCAAAAUACUAUGACCCUUGGCAUAAGGAUGCAUGAGGAGAGGUUAAUACAUAAAUCACCAUUUGUCUCUGAUGUUGAUUGGAAGUGGCUUGUCUCUGAUGCAUAAACCAAAUCCCCCACUGAAUGUUUGAUAUUUGAUAGCAGGAAAAACACACCCGCAGCUAUACACCUCCAUCAUUCAGAUAAUUAUAGUGGGGGAGAUGAUUCAUGGUUGCCCUUAUACCCUUUAUUUGCACCAUCUAUUGAGAUUCUUUAUCAUGGCCAGGUUUUACUGCAGCAAUAAGAUAUGGUGGCAACAAUUUUAUCUAUAGGUGCGGUUCCAGACCGCCUCCAUAGGUGCGGUUCCUGACUGCCUCCAUAGGUGCCUCUUCUUGUAAUGUUUGUUCUGGGAAUUACACUUGAAAGCCUUAUCGUGAUAAGGGAUUACAAACACUAGUUCAGAGGACAGCCAUGUUAAACUUCCACUAUGUUUGUGUCACAUUAUCAGCAGCCUAGUGUUUAUUGGUCAUGCUAUCUGCAACUAAUAUAACCCGGUGAACUUCAAUCUAAAUUCUGAAAGUACUCAUGUGACAGAUGGUGCCUUUCAGCAGAUAUCAUCAAUUUAAAAGUAGUGUGUGUGCCUAUAGGUGGGAAGGCCUUGGCAAAUGUUCAGUAUUCCGGUAAUUCAAGAAGGAUAUAUCUAAAAUAGAUUUUCUUCUUGCCCAUUUCAAUAGUUAAAAUUUGAGAAGAUUGUGUCCACAUCACACAAAUAUUAUUGGUCCUUCUGUUGCAAUUUACCUCUGAACAUGUCUUCCAAUUCCCACGGUCCUGUUACUCCAGGAAAACUAUUUCGGUCAUAUUGAAAAAAAAAAUAUUAAAGAAGGUACACAUGCUUUUAAGUGGACUGGGGCAUUCAUAUCAGGUGGUCUGUAUCCACAUAUGCCACUUCGUGAAAGGUGGAACAGCCUAAUCACUAGGCUAUUUAGUGUGGCCCAGCCACGUUAAUCAAGCACAAGUCUUCAUACUUAAAGUCAAAUGGUGUCUUUAGUCUCAUUACACAUCGCUAUUUGAAGAUUAACUCAUCACUAGUGUAAUGCGAUUAAGACAGUCCUAACUCAAUAUUUGUUCUAGUUUUGGAUGCAAAUGCUUGCUGGUUUCAUCAUUGGAUGGGAUAAAGGUGCAAUCAGGACUAUGAAUACGUGCAGUAAUACUUCAUUCUCUUUUUUCUCAAUGAGACUUCUUGGCACAAUUUUGCUGCUCAGCAACCUACCUUUCCAUGGAAAAUCAGUUGUGACUGAUAGUAAUGGAUAUAUUCUAGAAAGCUAAACAUAGAUAGCAUUCAAUAUUAUCGAUAUAACAUUAACAGCGUAUGUCUCAAUGCUCAUCAGCUACAAGCAAUGGACAAACACUUUGAGUAACUCACAGCAGUCAAAAUUCCUAAACAGGACAGACGUGACAGAUCUAUAUAUAGAACACUGCAUAUGAGUCACAGGAAAAGAUAAUACGGGUACAUAGAAGCUCUUAUUUUACAUAUUACUCAUACUGAUCAAAGUCGCUCAGUUGGGAUGGAUGGGAGAAGGAGGUUUGAGGGGUGGCUUGUGCGGGGAAGUUGGCAGCUUCUUUCCGGGAGCUGGUUGCUUCUUUGCUGGAGUUGAAGGAGGCUUAAUCUUCCGAGGUGGCUUGUAUGAGUCUUCAGCAUUCUCAGCAGGAGGGUGACCAGGGUUGUGACCAUAAUGUGGUGGCUUCUCUCCCUUAGGUGGUUUGCCAACUGGGGUUGGUGGCUUGUUUUCUGGGAGUGGCUUCUCUCCCUUGGGUGGUUUGCCAACUGGGGUUGGUGGCUUGUGUUCUGGGAGUGGCUUCUCCCCCUUGGGAGGUUUUUCGAAUGGGGUGGGUUUGUGUCCUGGUGGUGGCUUCUCUCCCUUGGGAGGUUUACCAAUUGGGGUCGGUGGCUUGUGUUCUGGGAGGGGCUUCUCUCCCUGGGGAGGUUUAGUGGGUGGCUUGUGUUCUGGAGGUGGCUUCUCCACCGGAGGCUUAUGCUCUGGUGGUGGCUUCUCGAAGGGGGGAUGCUCAGGGUAAUCACCAAGUGAGGGGGUGGUGAGAACCACCAUGCCAAGCAACAACACUAGCAAGUAUGUAGUAGACAUCUUUGGGUUUGGACUCAGACAGUGCAAAACUACGAGAAAUCGCUAGCCCUUUAUAGCGGCUCGGACCUAAUACUGACAUAAUAUAAAAUAAAUAUUAUAUUUUAUCAAGAGAGAACAGAGUGUAAUUUUAUCAUUAAUACCGAUCGAGGCCAAAGAAAGAAGACCCAUAAUCCAUUUCCCACAAGCAUACACAAUGCAGCUGUAAUUUUAUCAUUUACUUUUAUCCCUUGGACCACUGCAUUUUUGUUGAGAGACACAAUAACACAUUUUUAUCUGUCAUUCAACAUUUACAGUAAAGAGAGGGCACAAAACGCAAUUAGAUAAAUUAUGUUUUGCCUGCUAAAAAGAGGCAAAUAACUUUAUUUGCAACAUAAUUAUUUUGGUUUCUAGUGACCCCGGGGCCUUUCGGUUGGUUUGGGAUCGGAAAAUGAACAUCAUAGGGGGGGUUGUGCCCUUAUGGGCAUAUAUAUCUGAUAGCUUCAACUGGCCUUGUUCCUAGAAAGAAAUUGCCAAAGAUAUAAACUUAUUCCAGGCUGAAAGUAGAUGAGAGUCAUAAUGAACAUCAACCUUUGUUCAGUUUGAUUCAAUGCCCCCAUAGUGUUCAUUUCACAGAUCUGAAUGAUUAUAUCCGUUGAAUACAUAAAUUAAUGAAGACAAAUAUGAAACCCAAGAUACAUCUCUGCAUAACAACCCCAACCCUGGUUGCUAUGUUUCCCUUCUUCUAUUCACAUGAGGAUACUGGUUAUAAUUGUCAAACUUGCAACAAGCCCUUUGACACCUAACGUCAAUGGACGAAUUAAAAGUCUCCUUCAAACGUCUAUUUCACAGCAUGAAGCUUAUAAAGGAUGCUGACAACCUUCAGAGUUAGCGACAAAAGAUAAUUAUCAAGGAGAGAUAGUUCCAUGAGAAUUCCAAGGAGUCUGAAUCAAAGACAAAUUGCUCACUCAAGGGUUCUUAUUUUCUUUUAGGUACAAAUCUCUUGAGUGUUGUUAAAGAAACACGUCACUGUCAUUUUGAUUUGCAUUUAACAUUUCACUUUUGUUCUGGAAGGUUUGUUCCGGAAACAUAUCAAAUGAGCAUCAUUUUCUUCUUCGGUGACACAUGGUCGCGAGUACGUGGGUCCAUUUUCAUGCCACUUAGUUGAAAAGUUGGAAAGAAAAAACAUGCCAACAAGAAGAUAGUGAGAGAAGGGGCACUUCAAGCCUUUAACAUGAACAAACAGUAAAUAAAAGAUGUUUCUCCACUCAUAAAAGUGUGUUAGAUAGCAAUAUAACGAAUCACAUCCAAAAUCUUUACUAGGCUCAAACAUAAAGAAGACUCAUUUUUAAGAAAAGAUAAAAAUGGCAUUGUCUGAUAGUAUCCAAUACACGAGAUGGCACUUAAUUUGUACAAGAUCUGUCAAUGCUGACGCACAUUUUCUGAUUAAAAAAAAACUGAUCAGUCAAAAGCAAUGAAGAGAAGUGAUGACAAUGAAUGAUGCUUCCAAUAUUUUCACCCCUUAUAGUGUUCUUCAUGAUUCAGAUAUAUAAUUGGAAAUAGAACAACCCUAUGCCAUACAUUCGUCUAAGUAUGGUGUCUAAUUUUUUGUGUCAGCGGUUGCGAAUGGAGCGUGCAAAAGUCCAAAUUGGCGUCUCUCCAUUUCCACAUAGGAAGGUGACCUUUAUUGACAAAUACCCAAUAUUUGUAGACAUUCCUUAAAUAUCAUAACUUCUUGUUGAUUUGAAAAUCAUUUUUCAACUACCAUGUUUUAAUAAAUAUUUUUUAAAAUGUAUUUUUAUCAAAGUCCACCAUGAUGGAUAAUAUUCACCAUGCAAUAAUUAAUAAAGUACAAACUAAGCGAAAUGAAAAGCAUUUUCUUUGCUUUGAGUUGAUUUUGGUUGCAUUGAGUUGAUUUUGGUUUCAUGGUUUUUUCAACUCUUAUUUUGAUUGGAAGAUGUCAAGAAAAGAAAACAUAAAGAAAAAUUAAAAGGGAAAAAAGAAGAAAAAUAAAAAAAAAUAGAUUUAAAAGUUAAUAAAUUAUUUUUUAUAUUUAUUUUAAUUCAUUUCACUUAUUUUUCUUUUACUAUAUAAAAUUUAAAUAAUUUAAAUUUUAUAAUUAAUUUAAUUACAUUUCAUUUUCUUCUAUAUUUAAAUAUUGGAAAAAUAUUUUACUUAAUAUUUUUUUCUUUAAUUUCUUUGGCAUUUUGGGAACCAAACUUAGCCUUUAAAAUAAAAAACAAAAAAAAAAUGAAAAUAAGGAGGGAAAAGUGAGAAAAGAUAAAAACAAUAUGUAAAGGAUUUGAAAAGUAUUAGUUUGUAAUUACUAUUUGGAUUUCAAUAGUAUUUUAUUUGUCUUUCUAUAUUUCAUGUAAGAGAGAAUUUAAGAUAUUCCCCAAGGCAAAGCAUUAGUUACCUGCAAUCAGUGGUGAUAAGGCUCCAAGCCAAUUUUGGGCCCCAUAUCUUAAGACAGUACAAUUUCCAUUUCAACAUUUCUGAUUUCUCAGAUGUUUCACAUACCACAGAAGAACAUUGUUUGUGAAAAUAUGCAUUUAUGUUGGAUUUUGUAUGCUGUGGGGACUGGGGCAAGGAUCAUAUGGAAGAGUGGUUGACUUUUUCUGUACUUUAACGGUUGAAAUAGGAUAAGCACGGGCAUUUGUGAGGCUUAAUUGAUUUUGAAGCCUGAAAUUGCGUUUCUGUCAUUUUGUCAAAAAAAUGGCAGAUUCCAUACUCAUAUGUUUGGCCUGUGGCCAUGUACAGAUGCCAUUUAGUGACCAGUUUGUAACUGUCAAUCGUUGCGUUUUGACUCUGCCUCAACAACAUCUGCCAUUGACGGGUUUUCAUACUUGCAAAUCAAAUAGUCUUUCGUCCCAUCAGGAAUUUCGGUUUAAAUAUUAUUAAGCAUACGUUUGGCUGACAAUCAUUAUCCAGUUCAUGAUUUGGUUUCUUACCCUUAAUCAAUGGUUUCUAAGUGAAUAUAUGUAGAAGGAAAUCCGAAGUGUAGACAGUAGUAUCGAUAACUCUCAAUAUUCUCUAUAUAAUAGAAUAAACAGCGUCAUAGUGAUCGUCGCCUACAAGCAAGGUACAAAUACCAAAACGAGUGACUCACAUAGACAUCUCCCAACAAGAUGUAGUAGUGACUGACACAUGGACACAAUUAACUCGUAGAAAAGGAUAAGACCAUUGCACAGCAGCUCUUAUUUUACAUACUACUUAUGCUAACCAAAGUCAAUUAGUUGGGAUGGGUGGGAGAUGGAGGUUUGUGCGGUGGCUUGUGGGGCGGAGUUGAUGGCUUCUUUCCAGGAGCUUCUGGCUUUUUCAUCGGAGCUGAAGGAGGCUCAAUCUUAUGAGGCGGCUUGUAUGAGUCUUCUUUACUCUCGACAGGAGGGUGGCCAGGGUUGUGAUCAUAAUGUGGUGGCUUCUCUCCCUUAGGUGGCUUGCCAACUGGGGUUGGUGGCUUGUGUUCAGGAAGUGGUUUCUCUCCCAUGGGAGGUUUAGCAAUUGGGGUUGGUGGCUUGUGUUCUGGGAGUGGCUUCUCUCCCUUGGGAGGUUUAGUAGGUGACUUGUGUUCUGGAGGUGGCUUCUCCACCGGAGGCUUGUGCUCCGGUGGUGGCUUCUUGGUUGGAGGGGGCUUGGGGUAAUCAGCAAGAGAUGGGGUGGUGAGAACCACCAGUCCAAGGAACAACACUAGCAAGUAUGUGGGAGACAUUUUUGAGUUUGGGCUGAUCAGAUGAUGCAAAACUAAAGCAUUACGUGACCUUUUAUAGCAUGUAGCUCCCAAUACCCACUAAGUAUUGUGGGGUCCAUUUGUGCCCUACGGGGUUGAAAACUUAGACAAUUGGGCAAGGACCCACCUGACUAUGGAGGACUAGUGAGGUGUGAUCAUAGCUUUAGGAUUUUUCUUCCUCUGCAGCCGUCGUGCCGUUGGCAUGAUUUUCUUAAUCUUAAAUAAAGGCAUAGUUAUAGAGUUGUUUAAUCUCUAAAUGGGAUUUUAUAUAUAUCUUCAGAUAGCCAUUAAUAUAUUUGAUGAAGAAAGAAAGACAAGUGCAUACAACAUGUAUACGACUAGCUUUCAUGGAGUUCAUUUAUGAUCAGUUUUCCUGUACAUGUAAACCAGGAUCAUAUAUAUGUUUCUGUUCCACAACUAUUUUGGAAUCUUGUUUAUCAGUUUUUAUCAUUAUAAUGUCACAUAGGCUGCCAACUUGGGCGCUAAAAGAACCAGUUGGGCUAGUUCGUUUCAGAAUUUCAAUGUGGAUUCAGGAAUUGUUUUGUAAGAUAUGCGAAAUAGUAGAGGGAUGAAUAGUGUUUCAUUAAUAAAAGUGUCCUGUAAAUUAGAAGGUGUCAUAGAAACUAUAAUCAAUAAAUAACUUUUUUUCCCCACGGGUGGUGUUUCUUGUGGGGAUCAGUGACUGGUUUAGGUUCACCCAAAAUGAGUUCAGACUAAAAUUGGUUUGAGUCAAUGCCGUGUCUCUUUUUUCCAGAAAUCAACUAUUUUAUGCAUUGAAUAAAUCAUACAAAGAAAAUAUGAACGCCCGCAAAACCUAAACCCUGGUUGCUAACUUUCUAUGUUUCAGUUCUAUUCACGCAAGAAUAUUAGUUUAAGUUUGGGAAAAAUGGCAACUUACCUAGUGAUUACUUGGUUUUGGUUUGCGACUAUUUACGCAACCAACCAUGAGUUUGACUUUAACGUCAUGGGUUGAAGCCUCCUACAGGAAGGGAGAAAGCUCCACAGCUAGCUCCAAAAGAGAAUUAUCACAUUGAUAGCUCCAGAGAUUCCCAAGGGGACUGAAUCAAAGACAAGUUCCUCACUUUUUCUUCUUUUGAGGCCAAAUAUGAACCAAGGAUCACACAACCUCAUUCAACUUCAUAAGUUUGAUUUCAUGCAGUUGAACACUGGGUGAAGGCCAUGACAAGAAUUGAUUCAAAAAUUCUAUCACUCUUUUAAGUAAUGGAAGAUUAUUAUCUCUGAUUGGCAUCACAACAGCACAUGCUCCUAGAUCUUUCUAGACACUCCAUGCAAUGAAAGCACAAUGGAUCUUGUAACGAUAGAAACUAAGCCAUGCUACAGUACUAGAUGAUGAGGUAAAACUAGUAGACACGGGUGGCAGCCUAUAUGGGAGGGACACAAGUCUAAUUGAUUUGCAUUUCAGCAUUAUAGAUAGGUAUGUUUUGGAAGAUUUGUUCUGGAAAUACCGCACCAAGUAGGAUUCUUUUUCUCUUUAGUGGGUCCACUUGCAUGCCAAUUAACGAGUUGAAAAGUAUGAGCACCUACCUCGUGCUCGUGGAACCGAAGGUCAGUGAAGUGGGGCUCCUUUUGGCCUCGUGUAAACUUGAUUCAGAAGUGAAGUUAAUAGUCUUCCAUUCAGAUGGAUACAUGGGAAUUUUUCUCUUUUAUUUAUUUAUUUAUUUUUUUUUUGUGUGUGUAUGUCAAAGGAUAAUGAAUGAAGCGCGUUAGCUUGUUUUCUGACUGGAACCGCAGAUGUCCAAAUUGGAGUUCCUUCAUUUCUUACUUAGGAUUGUUACAUGUAUAAACAAGGUAUAAGAAAUAUGCCAACGUGUCUUGAGGAGUUAUUGAUUAGAAAUAACAAGUCACCCGACUGUAGAGUUCCAAGAUUUGAAUCUUCAGACCCUAUAGCAGCCUCUGGGGUACGUGGCAUCCUAUAGCAUAUUAAUGAAGGCUUUUUCGAUUUAGACUUCACAAUACCAAUUAAUAUGUAUGCACAAAAUGGAGAUGACCCCAAAAAAAACAGAAUCGCCAUAGUUUAUGAGGUUAAGGUGAUUCUCCACUUAAUAUCUACAUUAGCUAAUUAUGUAAAUCAAAUGAACUUCUAUUUUUCCUUUUUUUUUUUGGUUUAUGUCAAAUAGUAGCCCAUAAUUAACCCAACCAUUAGCCUGUUUGAAUUGAUUUCACAUGCACAAUGUUGUAGUAGUUCAUAUUUUGAAUUUUAUUUUUACAAAGGUAGUUAAGGAAAAUGAAGUAUAAUAAUUAUAAAAGCAGACUAUAUACACUACAAUAAUUGUUAGAAUGGUAUCUCAAAUUCUAAUUUAAAAUAUUAUUUUUUGUAAAAGAAAUAUUAUAUAGAAUAUUUCCUAAUUUUAUAAAUGAUUAUAAUUAGAUCUUUAUAAAAUAAGGAAAGUUGGUAAGAAUAUCUUUAUAAAUAUUUUAGGUCAUGAGAGAAAGAAAUGGGAUAAAAAUGUGAUGAAGAGGUGAAAUAAGAGAGUUGAUUAGGAUAUAGAUGUGAAGAAGAAAGGGAUUCAAUAUAUAUAUAUCUUUCAAUUACCACAUUAAAACCCUGUGAACCUUUUAUAUGGUUUACUUUAUUUUUAUAUUCCUCCUUUAAUAUAUUUACAUUAAUGCUUCCAUUGGCACAACAAUAACGAAUUACAAAUACAAGCAACAAGUCCCAUGUUUUAUUACCAAAAGCAGGUAAAAUCCACCUAAUAUAUUACAAUAUAUUCAUCCAAUAUUUUAGACCAAUUCUUCACCAUAAAUAUCAUAAUGUGGCUUUUGUUCUUUCUUAAAUUUAAAUUGAAUUGUCUUAUAUCAAUUUGUUUGUGAUUUUUUCAUUAACUUCACUUUCAUUUGGUUAUCUUUGGUUUUUGAAAAGUAUUAAGGAAUUAAUUAACAAAAUAAUGUUAAGAAAAAUAAUUUUCUCUCUUUUGAUUUUGAUUUUGUAGUAGAAAAAUAUAAUUAAAAUUAUUUAAAAAGUAUGUAAUUUUAAAUUAUUUAAUAUUUAGAUAAAAAAAAUAAGUCUAAUGAGUUUAAAAUAACAUAUAAAAAUAAUUUAUUUAUUUUAAAUUUAUUUUUUAUUUUCCAUUAUGUUCUCUUUCUCUUUUACUUUUUCAUAUUUUUUCUUACGAAGAAUCAAACACAACCUCAUAUUAUAUGUCAAGUGUUUGUCUAUAUUUGAGCAAUGUUAGAUACGGCCAUGGAUUCAUCAAACUAAACUGAUUUUAAUAGAUACUUCACAAAUUGAUUUAUACACUAAAUCAUUGGAUAGCAAUGAUGCAUUGGAAUUAAACGUAGGAUGAAGCUCGAAGAACACUGUUUGUGUAACAACAUAUUUAUGAAAUUAUGCAAAGGAUGAGCUUCGGGGUAGUAGUACAAGGUCAUUAAUGGAGAGCCGUGUUAAACCUUGAUUGUGAUUGGAUUCCGUUAUCAGCAACAGCAACCUUGUUUGUAACCUUGAAAGUCAUUCUGUCCACAUCGAAACUCCAAUUUGACGUUUGUAAUUACCAUUCCUGGAGUGUUCCUUGAUUGAAAUUUAAAUAAUAAUUGCGGCCCACAAGGAAUAUUUUCGAUUCUGUGGGAAUUUGACAAGGUUUGUUAGAGAAGACUGGUGACAUGUUGACUUCAAUGGUUCAAAUAGGAGACGUAUGUGGAUUUGGGGGGUUUAAUUGAAACUGAGUCCCUAUGGCUUUUUAAUAUUUGCAUUGAGCAGUCUCCAUGUGACUUCCUAAUUCCCACCAACCCUCCUGUCCAUGCUGUGAAACUAAAUUGUAAUUUAUCAGCCUUUGUCAAUGGUUUCUAAAUUAAAGAUAUAGACCAUGCAUGUACUUUAAUAAAAGCAAAUCUAAAGUGUAGAUAGCAGCAAUGGUGACACCCAAUAUUCUCCAUAAAAUAGAAUUAGAAUAAGCAGUGUUACAUUGUUCAUGAUCACCUACAAGCAUACAAGAACUUCCAUGAAUAACUCAUAGCAAUUGCCAACAGGGCGUCGUAGAGACUCAUACAUAGAACACUAUCCACCCAGAGGAAAGGACAAGACCAGUGCGCUGCAGCUCUUAUUUUUCACAUGUAUACCACCACUCGUAAUAACCAAAUUCACUCAGUUGGGAUAGGUGGGAGAUGGUGGUUUGUGGGGUGGCUUGUGGGGAGGAGUUGGAGGAGGCUUUAUUUUCUGAGGCGGCUUGUAUGAGUGUGCAGGAGGAUGCCCGGGAGUGUGACCAUAAUGUGGUGGCUUCUCUCCCGUAGGUGGUUUGCCAAAUGGGCUUGGUGGCUUCUCUCCCUUAGGAGGUUUACCAAUUGGGGUUGGUGGCUUGUGUUCUGGGAGUGGUUUCUCUCCCUUGGUAGGUUUGCCAAUUGGGGUUGGCGGCUUAUGUUCUGGGAGUGGCUUCUCUCCCUUGGGAGGUUUGCUAAUUGGGGUUGGCGGCUUAUGUUCUGGGGGCGGCUUCUCUCCCUUGGGAGGUUUGCCAAUUGGAGUUGGCGGCUUAUGUUCUGGGAGUGGCUUUUCUCCCUUGGGAGGCUUGCCAAUUGGGGUUGGCGGCUUAUGUUCUGGGGGUGGCUUCUCUCCUUUAGGAGGUUUGCCAAUUGGAGUCGGCGGCUUAUGUUCUGGAAGUGGCUUUUUUCCCUUGGGAGGUUUGCCAAUUGGGGUUGGCGGCUUAUGUUCUGGGGGUGGCUUCUCUCCCUUGGGAGGUUUGCCAAUUGGAGUCGGCGGCUUAUGUUCUGGGAGUGGCUUCUCUCCCUUGGGAGGUUUUGUUGGUGGCUUGUGUUCUGGAGAUGGCUUCUCCCCUGGAGGCUUGUGCUCCGGAGGUGGCUUCUGAAAUGGCGGGGGCUUGGGGUAAUGAGCAAGAGAUGGAGUACUG